rnacentral:lncRNA from 1 species
CUUCUUUUUGUCCCUUAGCUUUGCUCCAUCCUCUGAGGAAACUUGUGGUUUUUUGAAGGAAUCUUGUGCAGGAAAGUCUUUAACUUCGCCAUUGUUGCAUACCAUCUGAGAAGGCUGAUCAGAGACCCUCCUGUUGGUAUUCUCCUUCCCAAUUGGGACAUUCUUUCUAGCAUCGCCAUCUUCCUUAUCCUUCUUCUCAGACACACGCUGUCUUCUAGUGUUCUUGUUUCCACAUCUCUCUCUGGUUCUCUGCCUCAAUCCUCCAGAACCCAUCUCGCAUUUCCUCUCUUUCUGUCUCAAUUUCUUGGUUUCACCUUCAUUCCCGAAGCUGAGCAACAAGUACUCCUCAUUUUCCAUCUCAAAGAACACUGGUGUCUCUCGAAACGACAAUGAGGACUUGACCCGACGAUGCUUUCCCUGCAUUGCCUCAGAGUCUGGCCAGCAAUCCAUAGAAUUCAUGGAUCUGCUUCGCACAAUUGAAUUGCCUUUUAUCUGACUGCAAACCAAGUUGAUCUCUGGCAUCGAAUCCAACCCCAUUAGCCUUGCUACUAUCCCGGGCGUGGCUACACCCUCCAUCUUCUCCCCAGCCUUCAAAUUUUCGUCCUUACCAAACACUACUAAGCCAGAAUCUCUAAUGUGAUCAGAAGGGUGUGUAGGGAGACUACCAGAGCAAAGAAGCCGCCGCAAGACGCUGGCAAAGCACCCGGCAGUGGCAUUCCUUGAAUUGCACAUAUUUGCAUUGAAAGAGGCAGUGGAAGAAGAGGAGGAAGAGGAGGAAGACGAUAAGAACUUCAUACCAAACACCAAAAAAGAGGGACAGUAAGGGUUGUGAAAGAGAAAAAUAUAAGUUGGGUUUGCUGAAUUUCAACAAAAGAACAGUGCUGUCACCAAAAAAGGAAUGGCGAAAAGGGUAAGAUUUGAAUUGUACAGAGAGAGAGAGAGAGAGGUGGCGGGCUUUGUGUUUGAAUGGUAAUGAGGGUGACACAGAGAAAAGGGUAUGCUCCCACUGGCUUUGUAGAGUCAAUUUUCGGCAAAAAAUGUUGUCUCCAGCCAAAAAAAUAAAUAAAGAAAGAAAGAAAGGCUAGGAUUUUGGUUUUGGCCUCAUUUGAGUUUUCCUUAGGCAGUGUCUGCAGGGAGUGCACCACCGAUUGAGAGAGUCUUUUGCAGACUGUAAUGUAUCAGCCAAUAGCCAUAGACAUGGGGCUCUGUGGGUUGUGUCAGGACUGGGGUGAGGCUGAGCUGACCAUAUUCUUUUGCUGUACCAUUCUUCUUCUCUGGGUUGCAGCUGCAGUUGCUGACUCUAGGUUGUUCAAACUGGGCCACUGAUGUCAAAAGGGAUAAUAGUGUGUUUGGCUCUGCUGGUUUAUGCAUUGCUCCCCACCGACCACCUCUGAACUUGUGUUUCAUCUACUUUGUGGUUGGAAACCACCACCCCCCCUCCCCCCCCCCCCCCAAAAAAAAAAUUGAAGGGCUUUAUAUAUUCUUAUGCUUGCUCCUUUGCUUUUGAAUCAAACAUGUCAGAUCUCCACUUGNNNNNNNNNNNNNNNNNNNNNNNNNNNNNNNNNNNNNNNNNNNNNNNNNNNNNNNNNNNNNNNNNNNNNNNNNNNNNNNNNNNNNNNNNNNNNNNNNNNNGGUGGCAGCCGCGGUUGCUGACUUUGGGUUGUUCAAACGGGGCCACUGAUGUCAAAAGGGAAAAUAGUGUGUUGGGUUCUGUGGGUUUAUGCAUGGCUCCCCACGGCCCACUUUGGAACUUGUGUUUAAUUUACUUGGGGGUGGGAAACCCCCCCCCCCCCUCCCCCCCCCCCCCCAAAAAAAAAAUACAAGGGCUUUAUAUAUUCUUAUAUAUUUUACAUACAAUUUGGCAUAUACACUUUUUUCCAAGCUACACGUGGUGUCAACAAAUAGCUCCAUUUGAUUAAUGUGUUCAUUUUUUGAACUUCUUUGGCCCCUUUAAAGGACAAACAUUAAAGGGCCUAGGCUCCAUCCAUCUUGACCAUCUACUUUACGAUAGAAUAAGAAAGUUGAGUGUGAAUUUCUAGUGGGGUUAGGACAUGCCCUUACUGAGUCUAGUUACUCUGAAUUUUCAAAUGGAGUGGCUGCACUUCGAAUAUUUCUCUUUUUGUGGGGGGGAUUAAUGACUCUGUGCCAUAACAUGUUGCUAGCUUGUUAAAUAUAGGGCGUUAUGGAGAAUUUUUGGUGAAGUUGACAGCCAACUCUAGGCAGUGGUGCCUUUGUUGCAAGACCUACUGUCAUGGUACCCAACUUAUAUGUACUAGGUCUCAAUUCAUUGUUCAUAUGAUAAGUAAUUCAUUCACUCAUGGAGAUAUAGUACUCAUAAUUGAUUGCAUUGCUAGCUGAAGUUCCAAAUGCAUUUGAGAGAACAUUCUACAAUCAUCAAACUCGGGUUAUCAUCCCUUUAUCCCCUGUAAUUCUAGUAGGGACCCUUAUUGCAGAGAACAAGCCUUUGAAAAUGCUAUUACAGAUUAUACUAAUUUUCAGUAGUAAUAGUGGAAUGAAACAGCUGCAAGAUGGUUUCAUCUCUUGGUGUUGAGCUCUCUAAACUUCAGUUGGACUUGUAAUGAGAGGAUGGAUACAGCUCAGGAUCAGUCUGAUAGUACAAAAUGUCUCCAGUAUCACUAACAUAGUGGUCUUCCUUCAUGCUUUUGAUUAGAGUCUUGACCAAGUGAGCUGGAAUGGGCCCAGAUUUUUUAGGUUCUCUGUAGUAUUUUCCAAGCACUGGCUUUGCAGCCUCUGUCUGCAGGCAAGAACAUCAAACAGUUAGAAUAAGCUCUUGAAGUUAAGAGUGUUUUCCACUGGGAAUUUCAUUAAUGGAGUUGGUACCGCUUCUAUUAAGUGAUAGUGUGGGAUUUGGGGGAAGAGAUGGUGUAUAACAUGCGUGCCAGUGUUAUGUUGGAUGCUAUUAAACCAUCCAUAGUCACGAUCAACCGUCGUUAGCCCUCCCCUCAAAUAGCUCCAUUCCUGUUCCACACAAAGACAUCCAUUCUAGUUGCAGUUAAACAAGAAAAAUCCAAGUAGAAUUUAAGGCUUUUUGUCGAGCAGGGGAUGCAAUUAUCAGUACCUUGCCACGGUACCAGGGAAGUUUUUGCUCAUAGCCAUGGUGCUGCAGAUAAGUGACAAAGUCCAACCACAUGAUGAAAACCUGCAAAUAGAGGUGGAAUCAAGAGGACAGUAAAUGAGAUCGACUAAUUCAAGAAGUUCAUCGACAUGAAAGGGAUAAAUUUUGCAUACCCAAUAGGGGACACCAUAGAGCUUAAGCACUUGGACAGGACCGGCAACAAAGGAUAGAACAAGAAGCAGAGCAACCAUUAUAGACCAGCAUACAGUUGAAGUGAGCACGGCCUUUCUUUCACUGAUUGGGAACAUAUCACUGUAAGGAUUGAAGUGGGAGCCUUCCUUUCCAGGGCUUCUAUACCACUGCAAUGAAAGCAUCCAAUUGUUGUAAGAAUAAUUCUUAAGUAUAUAAGACAUGGAUCUGAUUAACGAAAGAGGGGCAUUCUCACCAAGUAGAGAGGAUAUGCAAACAUGGGGAAAGGCAAUGUGAAUCUUAGAGUUCGGGUUUUAGCAUCCAAGCUCCGGUAUAAUUUCUCAGGGAACUGAACAUAAGUUUAUGACAUUAGAAAUAUGGAAAAGAGUCUAUGAUAUUGAAAUGGCCAAAUGAAGAGAAUAAACCAUCUUACUGGAACCCAUGAUUCAUCAUUUUCAACAUGACCUUGGUUCUGAUGGUGAGUUCUGUGGCUGAUUCUCCUGUAUCAUCAUUCAUUGAUAAUUGAGACAUACAUCAAACAUCUGGGUCGUCUUGAAAAUGAAACAAUUUGAGUUUGUCAGUGACCUACCAUCCAUUGUAGGGAACAAGGAUUGUUGAAUGUAAGAGGUGCCCCACCAUACUAUUCAGCAUAGGGUUAUCAGAAAAGCUUCCAUGUCCACUUCAAAAAAUAAAAAUCAAGAAAGGACAUUCAAGUUCAUUGCCAAAAGCACUCAACAAAAGAAGCAAAGUAAAAUUAUAUUACGUUACUGAAAGAAACUGAAGAAGUAGGAUUUCAAGUUUUGCUUUCUUUUCUUUUACUACCAUUUCUCAGCAACCAAGCAGAAAGUGUAAAGACCAUGUGAUUACCAGUCAUGUCCAAGAACAAACAGGGCCCAGAACAUUGUUCCCUGGGCAGCCCAGUAGAGUGGCCAAACCACCCAUCUGUCCAAGUAUAUAGCUGCUAUAGCCAGUCCAAAAAUCACAAUGAAAUCCCUGAAAACAUAACUCAUAGACUUCCAUGGAUCCUUAACCCAGCAAUGCUUGGGAAUAACAGCUCUGACCUCAGCCAACCGGAAUGGAGGGGGAGCACUGGGGUCAAAUUCAUCAUCCUCAUCAACUCCAUCAAUGGCUUUUCCUUCUCCUCUCUCCCCAUUGAUAGAUGAGGCCUUCAGUUGAGAGCUUGCUUCAAGUCCCAGGUGUUCCUUGCCUGCAAGGCCAAGAAAGAUGGUUAUAGAUAUAUAGCACUCUGAAAGGAUGAAGAGAGAACCAGAACUCCAUGCAUUGCUCCUUUGCCUUUGAAUCAAACAUGUCAGAUCUCCACUUGCUUAUUCCAUUAUUUAAGAUCAACCAGAAACAUCUCAACUACUAGACAUAACUUCUUAACAAUACAUAUUGUAAUCUUAAGAAAUUGACCCAAAAGCUUAAAAUUGCAAGCUAAAUUGGAAACUUCAUAUAAUAUCAAAGCCUUUGAAGUGUGAGGAGUGUCAAAACUUUAGCUUAAAUCAACUUGAUAUUCUGGCCCUUUAGCUAACAAUUUAUCCUUUUAUUAUUUUGGCAUAGCUGUCUAAUAAGAUUGUUUCAGUUGUGCUGUUCAAACUUCAAAAAUUAAGCCAUCUGUAGAACUUGAUGAAAAACCAAAUGACUGAAAUGAUAUUUAUCUUUCUCCAGUAUAUGGUGUGUAGUGCACUUAAAUUAUGUGUUCACUUGGUGAUCACACAUCAUUGUGGGCCCCAAACAAACCCAAUUAAUUCCUAGGUCUCUCUUUUUCUUGUUGGCCAAACAAUAGAAGAAAGCUUAACCCAUCACAACACUACAAUGUCACAAUCCAAGAGUCACUUUUGGUCCUACUCUGUACUGUCUGUUUGAGAUGUAAAAAUCCUAGGAUCCAAUUCACCUAAUAGGUUAUAGCUAAUUGUUUGUAUUUCCCCAUCAGCAUCACACUGAGGUUUUAUAGUUUUUCUGUUUUCUUCAAGGUGGAAAGCAAAAACGAAAAAGAAAACCCAAAAAAGGAAAGAGCAAAUAUCCUGCAUUCCAUGUUUUUCCUAAAGAUACUUUUAGAAAAACCUGACUUGAAAUACACGCACCCUUUUACACAAACAAUAAGGGAAAGUCUCAAGCAGAAAAAAUAGCCGCAGAGCCCAUAUACAUCACACAUGUCUAUGCUGUUUGUAGAGACACAUAGAGUAUGUACCUUGGCUCAUCUUUUAAGUUGCUCUUGGGUGGCCUCACUUCAGUGACCCUGACUACUUGACACUCUUCUUUGUGAAUCAGUUUGGAUUACCAAUCUUCAUUUAUAGGCUCAAUCCUGGAUCUGAAUGUGAUUUUCGCUCCCUAGAAUUCACAUCAUAGUCAGAUUGAAUUUCAUUUCCUGCCACCCAGACUAUUGAUGUCAAGACUUUCACGCCCUAGAAUACACAUUAAAGACAGAUAAGACAAUAAUUUUUUUGCAUAAUUUGUUCCUCCUUUUUUUGAAUAUUCUUGAUUUCAAGAUUUUUUUCUCCCUAGACUUCGCCUUAAAUACAGGUAUGUUCAUCCCUUUUCAUGGAAUUUACACCGACCUGGGCCUAAAGUUGGCUACCUGAUUUAUUACUGGUCUUCCCUGCAUAUGAUGUACUCAAGUGGACAAUCACAACUAAGCAGGAGCCAGUAUUUUUUCCAUUCCUGGAGACGUUAAUUCUCCUUCUUGGGUUGUUCCCAAACAAGAAGAAGAUGCAUGCAUUAUUAUAAAUUCUCAGUAUCCAAACAUGAUAAAACAUUGAUUGGAGACUCAGCUGGGAAAAUUUUGAUUGCCAUAAAAAUUCAAGUAGCCUCAUGGAAAGCUGGGCAUAGCAUACUCAAAACUGCCCUAUCUAGAGUAUCUUCUACCGUAUUUCACACCAAUACCAUAUAAAAAAGAAUUCCUUUCUCCUCCAGAAAAUUGAAUAAUCUAGAUUUCCCUUUUUUUUUUUUGUUAAACUUAAAAUUCAGAAUAAGAAAGCUUCACAAAAUGACAAGAUUAAGAAAAGGUAUCCAAGAUAAUUUGGUAUAAGCAAUAUAACCCAUGAAGAAUGCCUGGACUUUUUUCAUAAAAUGACAAGAUUAAGAAAAGGUGUCCAAGAUAGUUUGGUAUAAGCAAUAUAACUCAUGAGGAAUGCAUGGAUUGAGUGUUAUGGACUUUCCAUCCAAGGCAUUGAUCUCCCUAUCUAUAAGGAAAAGUCUCAACUCCAUUGAUAUUUGUUAGGACUUUCUUGUUACUAUUGUUGUUUCUACUCAUAAACACUAUUGAAUGACCAAUUCCACCUUGGCUCUAUUUCCCAAAAAUAAUUUCAAUGGGUGUCUUAGCACUUGAAUACAUAAAGAAAAUUCCAUGUCAAUUACUUCUUCUCCUUCUUGGUUUUGCUUAUUACUUUUUGUUCAUCAUACACCAUUAAUAGAAAUAUUUUUUUGCUUAAAUUGCCUCUUACAUAGCUGGCCAAUCUGCUGUUUUCAAUGAAAGUAAGCAGGUGGUUCAUGCACAAGUGAAUCUUUUUGAAGUUAAGUUCUGAUCUUCUUCUCUUUUGAGCAUUCUUAUUCUUCUCACGAAGGAGAAAGUGAUCAUUUAAGAAAGAAAAAGGUGAAAGAGUGGACUGAUUUUUUCUUAGUCCUAUCAUCACCUGCAACCCAUAAAGAUGGUAAAGAAGAUGGGUGGAGUUGAUUGAAGAUUAAGUAGCUUCUAUGCCAACUUUCACCUUACAUACUAGGUUCUCAAGGAUAUGGAAAUGGGCUGCACCUGAGUGUAAUUCUUGUACCUAGUAGACAAAUACCAUCACAACCAUAAGCCAGAAUGCAGUGAAAUACACGGAGGCACUGUUACAUCAACUAGAACUAAGAUGAUUCUCGAAAAAUUCUGGGGGUCCUCAUCUGUAAGAAGGUCCACCAAGGAUCCAAUGGAAUUGCUCUUAGGCAAAACACAACUGGGAAUCUUCUUCAUUCUGUGCUGCACAUAGAGGGGUUCUGAUAGUUUGUCUUUAAAACAAGGGAAGAUUGUUAGCAGGUUUUGAGCUGUAUUAGCUAAAUCUAGGUCAAACCUUCCAAAGGGUACGCUAGUAAGCCUGAAAGCAUAAAUUCUGGCAACUCUACAAUAGGUUAAGCAAAUUUCCUAUGAAUUUCUCAUGGGGCUGCAGCCAUGCCCUUAAACAGAGACAAAUCUUAAGUUCAUUGCUCUUAGCACCAUAGGAUAAUCACUCUAAAUUCAUAUGAUGGGUGUGGCAACAUUUUUUGUUUUUUUGCAUGUGGUUCAGUUAACCUUCUAUUAUAGUGUGUUGCUGAUGUUGGGACGUCAUUUGUUUUGAGUAUAUUUGGCUCUGUGAUGCCCAUGAUUGGCACAGAGCCAAAUAUACUCGAAACAAAUGACGUCCCAACAGUUGAUUUGCUAAAUUUUUCAACAUUCGUUUCAUUUAUGUGGAAAAAACUUAUGUGGGAAAUUAUUAUAAAUUACUUAAUUUUAAUUCUUGUGUGUUUUUUAAAAUAAUUAAAUAUAAAUUUAUAAAUAAAAUUAUCUAAAAUAAAAAAUACUUAUACAUGCAAUAUCAUCUCUUUUAUGUUACUGAAUACAUUCAAAUUAGAUAAAUAUCUAUAAAAUAUAUUUUAAAAUUUUAAAUAUUAUUAUUGAAUGUCAUAAAUUAUAUCAUACAUAUACUAAUUUCUUUAAUAAAACAAUAUCAAAUUUUCUAUUAUUACUUUUUAUACCAUUUAUAUCAAUAAUAUUUCAUUAAUUUCUUUAUAAAAUGCACAAUAAAAAGUAGUUAAAAAUUAAAAUGUUAAAAGUGAAAACUAUUAUGAAUUAAAAAAAAUGUAAAUAUUGUAUGAAACAAAAAAAAUCAUAAAAUUGGUUUUUCACUUGUUAGAUCAUAUUUAUCAUAUAAUUAUGAUGAAAAGAUUUUAUAUUCAAAAGACAACAAUUAUUUUUGAAACAAAUUGAGUAUUUGCAAUGGUUUAAAUUUAUCCCAAUGAUAUUUUUGUUGACGGAUAUUUGUUGUUGCAAUUAUUGUCAGUAAAUAAUUACAUAUAAACGACAAAUAAUUCAAUUUGCAACGUAAUAUGCAUGUUAGAAAUUUACAAUAGCUUAAAUCUAUCACGAGAGUAAAUAUUAGUGAGUUGACAAUACUUAAUUUUUUGGUAGUAUAUAUAUAGAAGCAGUUUUUGAAUAGUUUCAAUUCCCAAAAACUGUUCCCACUCCAUCUCUUUUUUUCUUUUUCUUUUUUGGAUCAGGUCGGGUCAGCCCCGCUUAGGACCCAAACCCAACUCCAACAGUUAACAUAUCUACUGUAUGCCCCCCAAAAAGUGUAUUAAGGCCUAGCCGGAGUUGUUCUAUAUAAUUUGAUUCCACACACAACAUAAUACUCAUGAUUGAUAAGCAUCUCAGUAUCCCUUUCUGCUUGAAGAGGGAUGGGAUUCACAUAUUGAAAUCAGUAAGACACUGAUGCAAUGUUGAGAAUUAACAUAAUGAAAAGUACUCUUCAAGACUCUCUGUUUGCAUUGCAAUUUACUUCUAUUCCUGUAACUGAUACCUGAUAUUAUGUUUGAUGAACAUCACAUCUAUACUUUAUUCAGAUGUGAAAGCAUAUCAGAAACUAAGAGUUCCAAUCCCAUUGUUAAGACUUAAUAGAACAUCCCAUGAUCAUCAUCCUGGUAUCAUUCCUUUAUGCCCUGUGGCAGGAGAGUGUAUUGAACAUAACUUUAUUGCAGAAAAUAGAAGUACAUGCUAAUACAGUCUACUUCCGUUUUCUCAAGAGUGAGGCUACUAAAUAGUUUUUCCAGGCUACUGAAUGGUUUCACCUGUUUCUUCUGAGUUUUUGUAGUUUAUUUGGAUUUGUCAUGAAAAAAUUGGUAUAGGUGAGGGUCAGUCUGAUAGUACACAACAUCUCCAGUGUCACUAACAUAAUGGUCUUGUUUGAUGCUUCUUGUUAGAUUCUUGAGUAAAUGUAUUGGAAUAGGCCCAGACUUCUUGGGUUCUCGGUAAUACUUUCCAAGCACUGGCCUGGCUGCCUUUGUCUGCAAGCAGGAAUAUCAAACAGUUAGAGAGUAAGCUCUUAACAUGGAGUUUAAUCCUCAGGAUUUUCCAAUUGGGGAUUGGUUAUUUUCAUCAAUGGAGGUCGUACCGCUUCUAUUAAGUGAUAGUGUGGGAUUUGAGGGAAGAGAUGAUGUAUAACAUGGGUGCCAAUGUCAUGGUGGAUGUUGUUAAACCAGCCAUAGUCACGAUCAACCGUUGUUAGCCCUCCUCGUAGAUAGCUCCAUUCCUGUUCCAUACCAACAUAAUGACAACUAAAGCAUUAGGCUCUAUCCAUUCUACAUAAAAUGUACUUCUCAGCAAGGUUGGACCCCUGAAAUCUAUUUUGGUUGCAGGCUGCAGCUAACCAUCAAGUUAAGAAUCCAAGAACUCAAAUUAGUGUUCUGACCAUAUCUUUGUUUAUCAGUACCUUGCCCCGAUACCAUGGAAGUUUUUGCUCAUAGCCAUGGUGAUGCAAGUAAGUAACAAAGUCCAGCCACAUAACGAAAACCUGCAACAGAGGUGGAAUCAUACUAUUAGUCUUUUUCAAAUAAGGCAAAAUACUUGAAAUUCCAGCAGUUCAUCAAUAUGAGAUGACUAAAUUUUACCCACCAGAUAUGGGACCCCAUAGAGCUUAAGCACUUGGGGAAGACCCACUACAAAGGAUACGCAAACAAGCAGAGCAACCAUCAUACACCAACACAGAGUUGAAGUGAGCACAGCUUUCCUUUCACUGGUUGGGAACAGAUCACUGUUAGGAUUGAAGUGGGAGCCCUUCUUCCCUGGGCUUCUAUGCCACUGCAGUGAAAGUAUGAAAUUAUCAUAAGAAAAAUUCUCAAUGACAAGACAUGGGGUGUGAUUAAUCAAAGAGAAGCAUUCUCACCAAGUACAUAGGGUAUGCAAAGAUGGGGAAAGGCACUGUAAAUCUGAAAAUUCGGGUGCUGUUGUCCAAGUUCUUGUACAUUUUCUCAGGCAACUGAGAGAGAGUAAAGUAUUAGAAGGCUAAAAAGGAUACAUAGAAACGAAGAAUUUAUCAUGGAUGACAAGAAUAAGCCAUUUACCGGGACCCAUGAUUCAUCAUUUUCAACAUGACCAUGGUUUUGAUGGUGAGUUCUGUGGCUGAUUCUCCUAUAUUAUUCAUUGGUAAUGGAAAAUGAUUAUAAAUCAAACAUGUGGGAUACUAGUUCCUAAGAAUUAAAGAAAAAAAUUGAGUAUCAGGGCCUACCAUCCAUGGUAGGGAACAAGAAUCCAAGAGUGCAGGAGAUGCCCCACUAUACUAUUCAGCUUAGGAUUGUCUGAAAAGCUUCCAUGGCCACUUGAAAUCAAAAACCAAACACAAGACAUUCAUGUGAAAUCAGGGAAAAGACAUUCAAAUUCCAAAUCAAGAAUACUCAACAAAGUAUAAAACUUAGUUCGGUUUUGAUUUUUAAGAGAACCAAGGAAAAGGAAAGCUAAUAAAGUUUUUGAGUGUGACAUUUUAGCUAGAUUAAAACUAAUCUCAAAUCAGCCAAGUAGAACUGUUUUAUGUUAUUAAAAGAAACUUGAAAAAGUAGAGGUAAGAGUUUUACUUUCUUUUAUUUUACCACCAUUUCUUAGCAACCAAACAGAAAUAAUGGCUAAAAUUAAGUGAUUACCAGUCAUGUCCAAGAACAAACAAUGCCCAGAACAUUGUCCCCUGGGCAGCCCAGUACAGUGGCCAAACCAACCAGCUGUCCGAGUAAAUGGCAGCCACUGCCAACCCAAACACCACAACAACAUCCCUGAGGACAUAACUCAUAGACUUCCAUGGAUCCUUGACCCAGCAAUGCUUGGGAAUCGCAGCUCGAAUAUCAGCAAUCCGGAAAGGAGGUGGCGCACUGGGAUCAAAUCCAUCCCUUCCACCAACCCCAUCAGUAGCUUUACUUCCUGCCCUCUCCCCACUGAAAGAGUUCUCUUUGUCUGCAAGACCAAGAAAGAAGAUUAUUGUGUCACAUUGCAAUCUCAAAAGAUCGAAACUCAGGCAUUUAAGACCAUAUCCGGAGAGAAACAGACCUCUCUCAAACUUCCAUGCAUGUCAAAACCUUUAAAGAUCUAAUGUAACCUUUUUAUACUUACUGUAUAUCAGAUCACAUAGUUUAAUCUCCAUAGAUUCAUGUCAUAAUCUAUGAAUUCUGGGGCCCUAAAGGCCACAAACUUUUGAACCCAAUGGCAGUUUGCCACGUAUAGACUUAAACUUCAACUGGGUAUUCCCAGGAUCCUCCCACAAAUCUUGGAGAAGAACCCACUCGUCCAAUAAGAUUGCUUCAAUCAAACAAACCUCAAAAUAUUUCCAAUGAAGAGCAGCAAAUGAUAAAACUAAUCGAUUAGCGUAAGCUAAAUUAAAAAUUGAAACAUAGAACUUACCCCCAGCCAUUGAUGAUGGAUGUGGAGUCACCAAGAACUAGUGCUUUUUCUCUUUUCUUCUAUCCUCAGGAGAGAGCUCUUUGAGCAGCAAAGGCCAGAACUCUAUUAUUUAUAGCCAUGAAUGGGCCACUCAUAGCAUCCAGAUGUGACUUCUCUUGCUCGGAGCCAUGGCGUGUGAGAUGCACAAAUCUAUAAUUUUGGAACAUGCCCACAUAAUAAACGAGUUAUAUAUUUAUAAUUACUUGUCCAAAAGAAACACCUAUUACAAUGUUCCAACAGGCAAGUUUAGGAGGCNNNNNNNNNNNNNNNNNNNNNNNNNNNNNNNNNNNNNNNNNNNNNNNNNNNNNNNNNNNNNNNNNNNNNNNNNNNNNNNNNNNNNNNNNNNNNNNNNNNNGAUGCUCUGGGAGGAAUGCAUCGAAGAGGAGUGCCAGUGUCAUCGCCAAGUGGGGAAGCAUGAGACUUUAUUUGCCCUUUCAAGGUACCUAAAGUCCUAACAACCCAAUUAACUUUUACCAUGGAAGAAACUUUGUGUCUAUAAAGUUCAUUUUGGUGUGAAACUCCGGGUGAGAAGCAGAGAAAUGCACGACUCUCUGCCAUACAAAUUCCUUGAGAAAGAAAAAGAGAUUGUACUAUAUAUCAGGGACACCACCUUGUGGGCCAAACUUUUGUCAGGACCAUGUUCAAUGCACCAGUGAAUCAUGUGGACCAAUGAAUUUCCGCCCUUCUUUCUUGGUUGCCAAACAAUAUAACAGUGAGUCCUUUACUUGGUACCGUUAUGAUCUCAGCUUCAGAUCAUUAAAGCUACUAUUUUAUGGGUGAGAAAUUUACUCUGUAAUUUAAAACAAAAAAGGCUUGGAGACAUCAUCACUGCUUUCCAUGCUCCUACUCAUGCCACCACCAUCACUAUUACCACUAGUGUUGGUGUCCCCCAUCACCUACCACAGUAGGGUUUCAGGCUUUUACCUUUUUUGGGAGUUCCAAACCGAAAGAGAAGACAAAACCCAGAAAGAAAAAGUGAAUAUGUUGCAUGCCAUGUUUUUUCAAAGUAUACCCAACAUGAGAAGAAAUUUUCAAGCAGUGAUUUUUAGUGAUUUUUUGAACCCUAGAAUUGCCUCGAAGAUAUGUAAGGAUCAUGGUUUUCAUGGAAUUCAAGGCAAGGUGGGCCCAAAUUAGUUGGCAGGUUCGUACAGUAAUAUAAUUAUAUUUAUUGAAUCUGAUGUCCUGCAACCACAACCACAAGUGGGACAGGAGCCCAGAAUCAUUUUUCCAUUGCUCCCAGACAAGGAGAAGAUGCAGGCAUUAUGAAUCUGCAGAGUCCUAACAUGGUGAAGACAUCAGUUGGGAAAUUUUUUUAUUGCAAUAAAUGUUUGAGCAACCUCAUGAAGAUACUGCAUAGCAUGGUAAAAGCUGCUUUCCCCACCAGAAAAUAGCUUUUGUGCAGUGCAGAUGAGAAUUGAGUUUCUAUUUUAUCAAAUUUCAGAUAAGGAAUUAAAACAUCUUUUUUUUGUUCUUAAGACUGAAAGCAGUUUGCCAACAAUUCUAGCAAUUUUUGGAUUGAAAACAUUUAUUAAAUUUAUUAUUACUUUUAAAAUAUUUUUCACACCAAUCGACUAAGAUUCCACGUAUGAUAAAUCUUACAAACUCAUCACUUUUCAUGAUGGUGAGUUUACAUGUCUCUUUCAACAAUCAUUUAACGGAUUCGUAUUGUGUUUAGAUAAGAAAUAAUAAAAAAUAUAAUAAACACAGAUAUCUGUCUUAAUAAACACAGAUAUCUGUCUUAAUAAACACAGAUAUCUGUCAUUUUUGAGUUGUUUUUGUUACUUCUACCCUUCCUAUACUUAAUAUGUAGGUAGAGAGGUGGGUUGCUAUGGGUGGUAGUCAUAUUUCAAUAUACAUAGUAAUAUGGAUGAAAAUUUUACCGAAAUUUCGUAUAUCGAUAAUCAGUGAUACAAAACAGGCGAAAUUUUGGAUCUUUUUCGGCCCGUUAAUGCCUAAUCAAAGGUUCAAAAAUAUGAUGGGUGGUAGUCAUAUUUCAAUACACAUAGUAACAUAGAUGAAAAUUUUGCCAAAAUUUCGUAUAUCGAUGAUCAGUGAUACAAAAUAUUUUUCACACCAAUCGACUAGGAUUCCACGUAUGAUAAGUCUUACAAUUUCAUCACUUUUCAUGAUGGUGAGUUUACACAUAUCUCUUUCAACAAUCAUUUAAUGGAUUCGUAUCGUGUUUAGAUAAGAAAUAAUAAAAAAUAUAAUAAACACAAAUAUCUGUCAUAAUAAACACAGAUAUCUAUCAUUUUCGAGUUGUUUUUGUUACUUCUACACUUCUUAUACUUAGUAUGUGAGUAGAGAGGUGGGUUGCUAUGGGUGGUAGUCAUAUUUCAAUAUACAUAGUAAUAUGGAUGAAAAUUUGCUGAAAUUUCGUAUAUCGACGAUAAGUGAUAUGAAAUAGGUGAAAUUUUGGAUAUUUUUUUACCCGAUUAACACCCAAUCAAAGGUUCAAAAAUAUGAUGGGUGGUAGUCAUAUUUCAAUACACAUAGUAACAUAGAUGAAAAUUUUGCCGAAAUUUCGUAUAUCGAUGAUCAGUGAUAUGAAAAAAUUUCGAAUCUUUUUCGGCCCAAUCAACGCCUAAUCAAAUGUUUGAAAAUAUGAAACUGGGCAAACAUUAGGACUCAACCCCGCCCAAACCCAAAAUAAACACAUCCUCACCUUGGUGAGUGUCACACCCCUGGUUAUCUCACUUAAUUUUUCACGAGUGUGCCGUGCUAAGGACCCUUCCUUAGCCAACCUUCUCUUCCCAUAUUUAGAAGAACAGAGUAGAAUAUAGAAAUAACAAAGCAACAGGGGCACACGAGGUUACGGGAAUCCUUUCCCAACUUGUAUUAAUCACUCUUACAAGACAAAAUUGCUUCUUGAACCAGAGUACAAUGCACUCACCCAAUGCAUACGAGAAGGAACCCUUUCCCCAACUCUCAUCCUCUGUUUCAAGGCUGUAGGAGCCCUAUUUAAAUGACUCAAUAUGCAGUUACAAAUUUGAAUUCCCUCAAUUCAAAUCUUGGAGCCAACUAGGUGGUCAUGCAACUGGCCAGAACUGCUCUCAACUGCCCUGCAUAACCACCCACCACCCCAGAUAGUGGCCUGCACAUGUCACCCACUUGCACUAGCCAUCAUCCUUCAGCCAACUGCAGGUCAAUGACGGCUUGAUUUGGUCACUGGUUUGUUUGAGCUAGCUGCCACUAGCUAGCUACACUGCCAUCUCCUUCAGGUCUUGCUUGCCAAGCUGCUGGUGAGUCCCCCUAACAAGUCGACCCCUCCCCCUCAAGGCGCCUCUUGUGACCGAGUGCCCAUCAGCAUGUCUUUGAUCAAGUCCCUCCGAGCCAAGCAGCGUGCACCACCCAUCUGACCAAGUGUUUGGUGCAUCAGCGUGCCUUCCUCACAUUGGUGUAUGAGCCCGUGCCAUGUCUAGGUGCCCAUGGCUUGGGCUUGUUGCUUGUUUCCCAGCUUCCCAGCAACGAACCAUGGCAUUGCGCCCAUGGCUAAUCCUUCUUGUGCACAGGGCACUACGCCCCUAUGUUGUGCGUAGGCAUCUCGGUGCGAGUCAACUACUAGAGCCAUCAAACCAUGACAUUGCGCCCAUGGUUUCAUCAUCUGGCUCACUGCACAAGGCUUAAGCGCCCUCGUGCCUUUGCGGGGAAGGGGUAGGCCGCACCAGGCCCCGUGCCAUUGAGGCCACAGGGUGCACAACACAUAUGUCGUGGAGCCCAUGUGUGCGUGCUUGAGUCGCAUCAUGUGUCUUUGGCACGCCAAGGCCGUGCCAUGGUGCCCCCUUGGUGUGGUCAAGGCUUCUCUUGGUGGCUCCCUCCUUUGAGUCACCUACCCUCCCUCCCCCCCUUAAAGAGCAAUACGGGUUGUUUUCAUUGUUUCUUGAGGAGACAUUAAUAUGUCUGAGGAUGCAUAAUGGAAUAUAAUUUUAAUUAUAAAUUAAAAUUCCAAGUCAGAUUUCAUCUGCACCACCUAAGUUAGGUACGCGCGCGAUGCCCAUCUGGUGUGCACGCGGUGCAUGUCUGGCUCGCGCGUGGUGCGUGUCUGGCUUGCUUGCGGUGCGCAUCUGGCUCGUCCGUGUGCGCGCGCGGUGCGCGUCUGGCUCGCUCGCGGCCUCUUCACAUGGCUCCUGGAGUUUGAACCACCAAACCUCCAAGAUUUCUCUGCUUUCAUCCUAGGCUUUCAUGGGUGCAAGGCCUACCCAUGAGGCCUAUUCCUCCAUGGUUAACUCAAGGGUCUAAGGAGCUGACAGUGAGCCACUAGGCUAACUUGCCCACUUGUUAAAUAUUAGACACCAAAUAAUAUAUAGUAAAACUAUCACAAAACAAAAUAUUAAAAAAGAAUUUUAAUAAACAAAUUAAUUCUAAUUAUUUUAUUUUUAAAUUUCAUUUAAUUAAACACUAAAAAUAUAAAACCUAUCAUUAUAAUUUUCUUAAUAGUUUUUUAUAUCAUUUAUAUAUUAAUUAAAUAUAAAAAAUGUAAAUAUUAAAAAAAUUUAUAUAUAUAUCAUCAUUUAUUUUAUAUCAUUUUAUACAAUUAAAAUUAAAUGAAUUAUAAUUUUAAAAUAAGAUAGAAGUAAUCAAAUAUCACAAUAUUUUGUGUGGAUGCAUACGAUAUUAUUAUCAAAUAUGAUUAAUUAUAUCAUAUACAUAUAUUAUUUUUUUAUAAAACAACUUUAAAAUGUAUAUUAUUGUUUAUUAUAUCAUUUUUUGAGUUUUUAUCAAUAUUUUCAUUUUUUUUUAUAUCAAUUUUAGGCUAUUGAAUUUUUUUUUUCCAAAAUAUUCGUCGAUAUAUCUCUGAUAUAUUUGAUAUAUUUGUAAAAUCGAAGUUUCUGAUAUAUCCAUGAUUACCGAUAUUUUCAUCAAUGCAUAGUAAGUAGUAAGAAUGUGGGUUAAGUAGUAAAGAGGUGGGUUGUGAUGAGUGGUAGUCAUGUUUCAAUAUACGUAGUAAAUAGUAAAGAGGUGGGUUGUGAUGAGUGGUAGUCAUGUUUCAAUAUAAAUAGUAAGUGGUAAAGAUGUGGAUUGUGAUGGGUGGUAUUCAUGUUUCAAUAUACAUAGUAAGAAGCAAAGAGGUGGGUUGUGAUGGGAGUCAAAUUUCAAUAUAUAUACUAAGUAGGUAAAGAGGUGGGUUGUGAUGGGUGGUACUCAAUUUUCAAUAUAUAUAGUAAGUAGUAAAGAAGUGGAUUGUGUUGGGAGUCGAAUUUCAAUAUAUAUAGUUAAUAGGUAAAAAUGUGGGUUGUGAUGGGUGGUAGUCAAAUUUCAAUUUACGCAGUAAGUGGGUAAAGAGGUUCUACAAAAUGUUGAAUAUCUUCUUAGGUCUUAUUUUCAAAGUGAUCAAGGCGUCGCCAUGUUUAGAGAUUUCUUAAAUCCAGAGGGUGAAGAAGUAAUCUCUAUUUCCAAUAUUUUGGUAACUCUGUACUGAGGCGUUAAUCAAAACAAUGACUUGAUUUCAUCAAAUUCAUUCAUGGCUUUCAAACUAUUAAUUGCAAUACAUUUAAGAGAUGUUUUAUAAGUACACUCAAAUUCCAAUUGGUUUUUCCUUUAAAUAUUUUGUAGUAUUUAUAUUUCCUAAGCUUCCAUGUAUCAUCUUCUAUUUGAAUUGGGCGACAACUAUCCAUAAUAGAAAAGAAGAGCCUCAUGGGCUUUCAUAACCGUGUUAGUGUGAAUUGUAUUUUAUUUAAAUGAAUGAUUUGUGUAGUUGAUAAUGUUGGAGCUGAGAAUUUCUUGAACAAUGGUCAUUUUCUCGUCACGCGUUUCCUUAUACCUGUCACACAAGGCUUGCCCGAUUUUACCCCCAGAUCACCUCAUUCGAUGAUUAAGUUAGCUGAGGUUUUCAAGAAAAGGUAAUAUAUUUAAUGCUAUUAUUUUUUCUUUCCUCUCCUAGACUUGCUAGUUGCAUUCAUAUACCUUUUAGCUAUGAUAGGCAUAGAGAUCGCGGAAGCACUUUUUGGUCACUUCAAGUAGUUACCGCCUCAAGUGUUAAUUGUUUCCACUACUCCACGUGGGUUGUUCUCCUAUGUUCUAUUUCCCACUUUACCUGUUGGGCUAUUUAAGUUAGUUGGGCCAUUAGGCUAGUUGGGCUUUUAACUCUGGCUUGAACUAACCCGACUCAGUUGAUAGUUUUUUGGGUAGACCCAUUAUCCUCAUUUACGGGGAUGCCCACAAUUGCCCUCAAUUUUUUGUUGACCUUUGGUUGAGGUCAAACGGAAAAUUCUUUUUCAUUUUAAGCGGGAACAUAUUUUCCUUGAUUUUCUGGAUUUUCCAAUUUUUGUAUUGGACGUACAUACCAAUGUACCCUUUAGUCAUCUUUGGGGGUUUCUUUUGCCCUCUAGUGACGACACACGUACCAUGCUUUUUCAAAUUCCAAAAGUUAUCAUAUCCUUCCUUUUGGAGUCUCAACAACAUUGUUACCUCACCGCAACAUUCUUGAUUUUUCCUCUUCUAUUUGCAUCAAGCUACCAAUCCUGCGUUAUUGGUGUUCAGGUAAGGAAAACUCAUCUCUUUCAUCAUCUUUAUGUCCUAAUUCCGGUUUUCGUUAUAUUUGCUUCAUUCACAUUCCUAUUUUCCUGGAUAAAGAGUUCUCUUAUUCGUUUGGUUCCUCGAACUCUGCACGAAAGUGCACUAAGAAACCUCUUUCUAGGGUUUCCUUCUCCUCUUCAUUUUUCUGCUAGUAAUGAGAACUCUUACAGAAUGUCGAAGCAAUCUAAAGGUUCUAUGAAAAGGAAAAUACCCUAAAAGGGUUCCUCUUUAGAUAACACAACCCGCACUUUAGUUCGUAUUGUAGACGAUUUUGCCACUGAUGAAUUCAAAAGGGAUUUUAAUAUUCCAGACAAUGUUGAUAUCCAACUAUUGUGCAACACCACACCCCUCCCAACUGAUACACACAUGCAACACUCCAUAUGUUUCACCAGGGAACAGUUCCAUGCCGAGCUACGCUAACUUUUGCCUUCAUUAGUGAGGGAUUUUUUGCACUAUACCCAAAUUUCGCCAUCAUUUGUCCAUCUGAACUUGAUCUACAUUCUCAUGGGCUGCUCUAUUUUAAAUCAGUUAUUCAAUCUCGAGUUGUUCUUGCUUGAGAUUAUUUUCAUUUACACUAUUAAGUUGAACAAAUGAGGAAAAUUCAUCAUUUCUACUUGUAGAAGGCAGUUGCAAUUGAUCACAAACUUGUCGAAUUCUAGGAAAGGUUGGGCCAUCAAACACGUGAUUGUUUCUAGAGAAUGGGAAUUUGCAACUCCAGAUCCUCGCGGUCCUUACCCCUUGAAUCAUACCCUUAAACUGCCCAGUAAAUGCCCUGAUACCAUUUAUUUAUUUAUUUAAUAUUUGUCUAAUGUUGCUUCUCGAUAGUUGAAAAUUACCGAGGAUGCCUAGUAGAGUGGGUGGAAAAACCUUACCGGGAACGGCUUACCAAGCUGUUCAACAUUGAUUUCAAGCAACUAAGUUUUUCUUUUUUUACUUACCAAGACCAAUCUUCAAAGUGUGCUCUCGAACCAGGACUCUUUCACCCCUCAAAUUUUUCUAAGGAUUGCUCCUAGCGACCUAAUCCUCGGGGUGAAUUUUAUUCCAAAAGACUUUAAAGUAAACAAACCUUCUGGCUCUUUUGACACUAGCACAAAAGCUACUGGGGAGAACGACCAACCUAUCCCAAUAGCAACUACUAAGCAAACUACCCCGCCUGGUUCCUCUGUCACAAUUCCACUCUCUUCGCCUAGAAAUUUACCAAUUACCAAAUUCUUGUUCAGAGUAGUAGGACAAAAUUUUAAAAUCUCCAAGUAUCAACUUUAAAAAAAAACUAAUACAUCAACCAAAGUGUUAUUGUCUAAAUAACUCCAAAAUCAAAAUAAUUCAAAUGAGAAUUAAGUUUUAACAUCUAAACAAGGUCCAAAAUAAAGAAAGUUUAAACAAAUGUCCUAAUAAAGCCAAAUUUCCCUUCUAACGGUCACUUAUCGCCCAAACUGAGGUUACCUGAAAAAUUAUCAACAAAAAGGAUGAGCUCAAAGCCCAAUAAGGAACAUUAAUACAGUUUCAUAGAUCAUACGUUUUCAAUCAUGCUUGCAAAUAAGAGAUAUAACAUAUACUUAUUUUCAUAAAAACUUUUGAGUUCAAAAUACUAAUAUAUUCAAACUUUGUAACAAAACUUUCUCAUAUCCAUUUCAAAACAAUUUCUCAUCAAAACUAAAUCGAAUACUUUCAAAAUAUCUUUACUCUAAUUAUCGUAUGACAAAUGGUGCCUAAUUAGAUGGGAAUUCCCAAUUGAGUAACUAGUUUCAAAUUUGUUCCAUUUAGGGUGAACAAACCAAAUGUCAACAAUUAUAACCCACUGACUAAGGUCAUAUAAUCCAGAGUCAAACAUUUUAUUUUACUAAUUCAAACUUACAAAACAAAAUAUCAUAUCUCCUUAAUUUUUCAUGUUUCAUAAACAGAUAAAAUGUUUAAACAUAUUUUUCAUACAAAACAUAUAUUUUAUCCAUGCAUAGAAAUAAAAAUAACAUUUUUAAACAUUUCAAAAUACAAAAUAAAAAGAAAAUUAUUUCCUUUUACAAAAUUUGCAUUAAUUUCCCUUAAUUUGAAGAAGCACUCAAAAUCUUGAAGUAUUUAAUUUUGAAGAAUUUCCUCCUCAUCUAACAUAAUAUCAUACACAAUAUUGAUUAUUAAUUAUUUAUCUAAAUAUAUAAAUUUGACAAUCCUAAAAAUAUUUUAUUUAGUAUUAGAGAUCCUAAUUAAUUUCUCAUGGUAAUAUUAUUACUACCCAAUAUUUUUUCAACUUACUAAACAAUAAUAAAUUAAUUUAGUGAGUUUCCAAAUUAUUGUAAAAUUCAUUUUCUUUCAUAAUCUUACCCUCAUUAUUUAUUUCUUUAUAUACCUAAAUUAAAUUAAAACCUAUACAACAAACUAUUAUUAUUAUUAUUAUUAUUAUUAUUGGUUCCAAAUCCAAUUGUCACUUAACCACAAUUCCACCCCCACACCUCAUUAUAUAUGUAUUAUCACUUUCAAAGACUCUGCAACACCAUUAUUCCAAGCCACCAACUACACCCAUUAUUAUUAUUAUAAUCAUAACAUUUUUUUUUCUUUUUAUUAUCAUUAUUAUUAUUAUUAUUAUUAUUAUUAUUAUCACCAACUACACCCAUUAUUAUUAUUAUAAUCAUAACAUUUUUUUUUCUUUUUAUUAUUAUUAUUAUUAUUAUUAUUGUUAUUAUUAUUUUCUUUUUAUUAUUUUUAUAUUAUUGUUAUUAUUAUUUUCUUUUUAUUAUUUUUAUUAUUAUUGUUAUUAUUAUCACCAACUACACCCAUUAUUAUUAUUAUAAUCAUAACAUUUUUUUUUCUUUUUAUUAUUAUUAUUAUUAUUAUUAUUAUUAUUAUUAUUAUUAUUUUCUUUUUAUUAUUUUUAUUAUUAUUGUUAUUAUUAUCACCAGCUACACCCAUUAUUAUUAUUAUAAUCAUAACAUUUUUUUUCUUUUUAUUAUUAUUAUUAUUAUUAUUAUUAUUUUCUUUUUAUUAUUUUUAUUAUUAUUGUUAUUAUUAUUUUCUUUUUAUUAUUAUUAUUAUUAUUGUUAUUAUUAUCACCAACUACACCCAUUAUUAUUAUUAUAAUCAUAACAUUUUUUUUUCUUUUUUAUUAUUAUUAUUAUUAUUAUUAUUAUUAUUUUCUUUUUAUUAUUUUUAUUAUUAUUGUUAUUAUUAUCACCAACUACACCCAUUAUUAUUACUAUUAUAAUCAUAACAUUUUUUUUUCUUUUUAUUAUUAUUAUUUUCUUUUUAUUAUUUUUAUUAUUAUUGUUAUUAUUAUCACCAACUACACCCAUUAUUAUUAUUAUUAUAAUCAUGACUUUUUUUUUUCUUCAACAUUUGUUUUUUCUUUUUUAUUAUUAUUAUUUUUUUUUCUUCAACAUUUUUUUUCUUCUUUUAUUAUUAUUAUUAUUAUUAUUAUUAUUAUUAUUGAGAUAUUUCAAAGAAUAUCUAAAGUGUUCAAAACUAAUUAAUGAAUAUAAAAUAUUAAUUUAAGGAUUAAAAAUCUUACCUAAAAAAAUUGAUCUUCAAAUCCUCAACCUCCAAAUCUUCAGCCAUAUACUCUGAUAUUUAUGAUCUCUAUGUAAAAAGGUUUUAUGAAUAAAGAAGAUAGGAAAAAUCUAAUUUAAAUUUAGGGGUUUUAAAUACGAAAAAACUUUUUUACCCUUAUUAAAUUACUUUAAUUAAUUAAUAAUUUUCAAAUUACAAUUUUACCCCUAAAUUGGGUUUGGGACAUUACACCACUACUGGUACUGGACAGUGAUUCUAUUGAACAUAACGAGUCAGCUCCUUUGAUUGCGAAGAACAUGGACGACACAGAAGGUGAGGUCGUUGACAUAUUUAGUUGGGUUAGAGAGAGAAAAAAAAACUAAACUAAAGAUUGUCCCGUCUAAGACCACCCAACCAACUUCUAGCACACUUUAAAAGACGUCGACUACACAAAGUGCUUUAUCGGAUACUACUCCACAAAUGGCCCCUCACGACAAUAUUAUUGUUCUUAACCUGCGUCAAAUGAAGAAUCUGCACUUUCACAAGAUUGGUCCCAUUUCAACUAAGGAGGUAGGGGAAAUCCAAAACCAAUAUUCCUCAUUUACCACUGUUGAUCCUCUUUUAGCAUAUAUGGACUACUAAGCAGAUCACCAUGGAGGUUCUUGGUUGGCUAGACUUGAACUUUAUUGCAAAUGUUUCCAUUGGGGCACCUGCUUGAGUUGUGCAAAUGGUAGCUACUAUUUGAGGACUAGAUGAAGAUCAAAUUACCGAAAUGGUACUACGGCAAACCGAGCACGCUUUUGAUACCCUUCCUUAAAAUUCUUCAAUACAUUUAACACUAUCAUAUUUAUAUACCAAAUGGGUUGUUGUUGGUAGAGACUUGAAACACCAGUUUUAAACCACCAAUAAGAAGUUGAAGGCUGCCAAUAAACUUAGACAGUACGUUGUUGAGUCCAUGGCCAAGCAGGAAAACCUUGAAAUGGAGUUGGCUUCAGCUAAGUUGCAUAUUGCUGAACUUGGGAACUCUAAUAAAGUCCUUUAGGCCUCAAUCCAAACUCUUCAGACCAAGUACGGGGACUUGAAAAAUGAUCAAAAAAUGAAGGUAAAAGAGAUAGAACGACUCCAUAUUCAAAUUAACUAGUCCUAGUCCGCGCUAAAAGCUCAACAUGCAAAGUUAAUUGCCAAGUACACCGAGCAGGUAGAGAAAAUGUAUUGGUGCGCAUACCGGUGUUUCAAGCAAAUGCAUGCUAUCACUGAAGACUUUGAUACUAACGAGGACUUUGUCACCGAAGAUGAAGGUUCUGCCCUUGAAACCUCACCGUUGGGUACUGGCAAGGCCGACAAGAGAGUGAGGUCGACUAUUACAGACGAAGACGAAGCCAACCCUACUGGGGUGUCAGCCCUGUCGGAUGCUUCUUUGCGAGAAGAUAUCGCCCCUUACUUGGAUAAGGUUUCUCCUCUAUGUCACAUUGGUGAUGUGUCUUCCAUUGUUGAACCGAUAGGUAGUCAAGAGAACGUCCUUGAGAGGACUGAAGAAUUAGAACCCCUAUUGGCCAGCUUGAAUCCCAUUACAUACAUUGAUGACCUAGAAGAAUGAAUUGAAGUCAUAGUUUUUUUUUUUUUUUUUUGGUAAAAACUUAACAGUUACACUAGUUCUUUGACAUUUGGUGGGUUUUACCGUCUCUUUUCUUCUUCUUCUUUGGUUUUGUUUUGUUUUUUUUUUAAAUGUUUGCAUGAUAUUUCCUUUACAAUAGGUUUUUGUGCCCUACUUCUUUUGCCCCUACUUUGUUUGGCUUUUUAUUUUAUUUUAUAAUAUUGAAUCUAUCAUGUAAUGUAUUUUGCUAGCAUGUUUACACUUUUUACUUAAUCAUAGGAUUUUUACUCAAGAAAAAUAUCUUUUUAGGUUUGAAAUAUUCUAUGGACGAGGUAAAUGUUCCUCAGUUAUUUUUUCUAGGUGGUAGGCUCCUCCAUGUUUUAUUUUUAUUACAUUGUAAGGACCUUCCUAAUCGGCUUGCAAUUUGCCAAGCCCGAGAUCUGUCAUAUUCUCAAACAUUUUCCUCAAGACUAAGUCCCUGACUUGCAGUUGUCGCGGUUUUGCCCGCUUGUUGUAAUAUGUCAUUGCUUGAUGACAAUAAGUUUCCAUUCGAAUCAGAGCUGCCUCCCUCAACUCAUCAACCCAACCCAAACUAGCUUGGAUAUCUUGGUUUCUUGUUGGGUUUUGGGUUGUUCACAAUGUUGGUGUUCUUAUUUCAAUUAGGAUGACAACUUCCAUGCUAUAAGCUAGGGAAAAAAAAGUCUCCCCGGUUGGGUGUCGUCAUGUGGUUCGAUGUGCCCACAAUACUUCGAGCAACUCUUCCACCCAGUGGCCAUUGGCUCAUUGAAGUCUUUUCUUUAGUGUAUCAAACAGGGACUUAUUCAUUGAUUUCCUUUUCCCAUUAGCCUGUGGGUAGCAUGGUGAGGAAUACAGGUUCUUGAUCUCCAACUCAUAACAAAUUUUUUUAUAAUUAGAGCUAUCAAACUAUGGCCCAUUAUUUGAGAUUAUCACCCAUGGUAUCCUAAAACGACAAAUAACGCUCUUCCAUAAAAACCUUGCUACAUCCUUAUCUUUUAUUGUUGCGAAAGCCUCUGCUUCAACCCACUUUAUAAAGUGGUCAGUUGUCAUCAACAAAAAUUUCUUUUAGGAAGAGGCUACUAGGAAAUGACCCAUUAUAUCUAUUAUCCACUGGGCAAAAAGCAAAGGACUAACCAAUAGAGUGACGGACUUUGAUGGUAGCCAGGGAAUGUGUGCAUACCGUUGACAACUGUCACACGUUCGCACUAACUCCUGGGAGUCCUUAUGUAUGGUGGGCCAGUAGUACCCUUGUGUGCAUGUUCGAUGAGCAAAUGUCCGACCGCCCAAGUGGUUUUCGCACACUCCUUCGCACAAUUCUGAAAUUACAUACUUCGCUUCUUCUGGGUCCAAACACCUUAAAUAUGACCCACUGUAAGACCUUCUGUAUAAUUGACCCCCGAUCAUGCGGACUUAAUCCUAAUCCAAUGUGUCUAGAGUUCAUCCUCUAGUAGCUCCCCUGCUUCCAGAUACUUGAAGAUCAGUUCCAUUCAACUUCCAUGGAUAUCAUAAACUUGAUUCACUUGUUCUUUUUCUAGGAUUGAUGGGUCAUCUUGGUAAUAAACCAGCAAAAUAGUUGUUUGUGUCACAACUAAGGAAGUUGUUAAUCCAGUUAAUGCAUCUACUUAGACACUCUCUUCCUUAGAGAUCUGAGUCACUUUCCACUCACUAAUCUGAAGCUAGUUUUUCUUCUAUCCUAUUCCGCUUGAUGUCUUUCGAAAUCCUCAAGAAUAAUCUCCAAUGUUGCAGCCUUCCAAGGAGUUGUCAUACUAAUUGAAUCCCGCGAUUGACUAUCUCCCAUUGCUAAGCUUCCAACUCCAAACAAAAAUAGGGGUCUACUUUCAGCUCAAAGUAAAAAUGUUACUAAAAUGUAGAACCUUCCCACAGACGACACCACUUGUUAGAGCUAAGAAUUUCUUGAGCAAUAGUCAUAUUCUCGUUGCACGCUUUCUUAUACCUGUCAUACAAGGCUCGCUUGAUUUUACCCCAGGAUCACUUCCUCCAAUGAUUAAGUUAGUUGGGGGUUUCUAGAAAAGGUAAUAUUUUUAGUGCUGCUAUUUUUUUUCCCUCUCCUGGAUUUGCUAAUUGCAUUCAUAUACCUUUCAGUUACCGAUAGGCGUGAAGAUCGCGGGAGCACUUUUUGGCCACUUCAAGCGGUUACCUCCUCAAGUGUUAACUGGCUCCACUACUCCUCGUGGGUUGUUCUCUCACGUUCUAUUUCUCACUUUACUUGUUAGGCUAUUUAAGUUAGUUGGGCCAUUUGGCUAGUUGGGCUUUUAAUUCUAGCCUGACUUAGCGGAUAGUUUUUUGGGUAGGCUCGUUAUCCCCAUUUGCAAGGGUGCCCAUAGAUAAUAUGGUUAUAAGAGAUAUCUUUCUAAACAAGUGGUUCGUGUCAAUUUUCGAUAAUGGCUAUUAUGGGAAAAUUUUACAAAGUGGGUGUUGUAAACCUAGUUUGUGUGGGGUUUUUAGCUGAGGAAAGAUUUAAAAGGAGAUUGGCCUUGAAGAAGCAGCAUUUCUUGAAGGUGGAAAGACCAGCCCCUAUCAAGACUUCAAGAGUGUUGAUAGAUCUUCCCUCUCCUCCAAGAAUGUUGAAGACCGAUAGGAAGAGAAGAGGUGGGUCAAUUUUUUAGGCUUAUUAAUGCUGUGAGUUUGCAAGCAGAUGGGGAAGAUACCUCAUUGUGGAGGGAGGAGAACAAAGGGAGAUUUCGAAGUGUAAUCCUUUUCUAGAUUCUCAUGUGAUGAGAGAGAGCUUUGUUGGGGCACUGCUGCUCUUUUGAGAAAUUGUGUAUUUUUUUAUUUUUUUAUUUUUUGCUUGGAAAAUAGUUUCAAAAUUUUGAAACCAGUUUUAAAAAACUCAUUUUCUAGGUUUUUGGAAAAUGCGUAUGUUUUUUAGAAGAGAAGAUUGCCUUAAUAAAACAAUUAUUAAACCGGCCUAAGAUUCCAUCCCCCAAUUCGUUUCCAACCUUGGCUGAAUAUGUGGCUAGAUAUCAAUGUGAUAAAAUCGCCAAAACAUCUGAGAUUAUUAAAAAGAACUCAAGAAAACCAUGAAAAUCGGUGAUUUUCUGGUGACUUGAACCUGAACCUGAUUUCAUUUCGGGGCCAAUAUGGACCAACACGCAGUGGUAAAUACGAUAAACAGAAGGGUAUAAAAUUAGAACAUUUGAUUUUGGUACCUCAUAUUCAUAUAUUUCCAAGAGCAGACAAGUUAAAAUCAAUGAUAAGACCAAGCUAUUUUACCUGACUCUGCCAUUCAUCUUCUUCAACAUGACCAUGGUUCUGAUGGCGACUUCUCUGCUUGAUUCUCCUCUAUUAUUUAUGAACAAUUUGAAUGGAACAUAAAUCAAACAUCAGGGGUAAUGAUCCUGAAAAUGAAAAAAUCUAAAAAGUUAUUAGGAACCUACCAUUCAUGGUAGGGAACAAGAAUUGGAGAAUCCAAGAGCUGCCCACCACAAUAUUCAGCAAAGGGAAGUUUUCCAAGCUAUUUCUCAGUAGCCAAACACAAAGUGUUAAAAUGAUUACUAGUCAUGUCCAAGAACACAAUGCCCUCAAUAUAUUCCUUCAUUUGAAUGCCUCCAAUUUUCAGUGAAUCACAGCAAAAACAUUUAACAAAAACCUUGUUUCACAAAAGAAAUAAAAAGGACAUCAGUUUCUAUGCUUCAUAACGAGCAAUACUCUUGCUUCUUUUGUAAUAAUGAAUGCAAAACUAGGCAACUGUGACUGAUAUACAACAUGAGAUUUUGACAUGAAUAAUACAACAUACACAUGGUAUAAUACAAGCAAUCCUUUAGUGUCAGUAACUACCGCCGAGGACGAGAUUGACUCGAGUUCUUUCCACUGACUCCUGAUAACUGUUUUAGGUUGGUAAGAGCGUCCUGGGCAUACCCCUUUGCAUUGGCAUUGCCGUGCUUAAAGGCUUCUACCAAGGCCCUGACCAGAGACUGAUUUAGCGAGUGCCGGUUAAUGUCACUCUCUACUCUUAAUAUUCUCUCUAUCAUCCAAAGUAACCUCUCUUGAAGAAUACCAGGGCGAACUUCUGUAAAAAGAGUAAUAGCAGCUUCAACCACACCCAGAUGUUCAAGCUCAUCAACAGCUCUCUUAAAGUUGUUGGAAGUAUCUAUCACGAGAGUAGAAAGUGCCUCCACUGCAGCAAUUUGAACAUUGGUGUCCUCAUCUGUUAGAAGAUCUACCAAGGGUUUAAUGCAAUUGCUUCUAAGCAGGCAAAACUGAUUAUCUUCUUCACAUGAAACAUUGUGUAUGGCGCACACAGGCAGUUCUGGAGGCCUCUUCCCACACAUGAACACCAAGGAGGAGCAGAAGCCAUGGGAAAGUUGCACUUCUAAGUCCCCAGUGCUGAUUAGUGUCCUUCGAGACUCUGACAAGUUUUUCAAUCCAAGGGCAGCUAGCUGUUUAACUCUUGGUUUUAAAGGGAAGUUGAGCUGCUCACGGAAAAUAUUCAUGAGGGAAUGCUCUUUGACCACACUAACAGUUUGCGGAUCAGGACUCUGAGUAAAGUGGAGUAGGAGGCCAAGAAGCCCUUCCUCCAAGCAUGAGGAGGAUCGAGUAGUUCUCCAAUUGGUGCUUCGGAGACGAUCUUUGAGAGUAACAACUGUCCAUCCCACAAAACUAGAACCUAGGACUGUUUUUACUUCAUCUUCUGAGAGAGGAAGGUUAGCCAGUAUGCAUGCAGCAUCGGAUCUUUCACCAUCUGUGGAUUGGUUGUCAAGUAGUUUCUCUUUAAAUAAGGGAAGCUUGUCAGCAGGUUUCAGUUCAUUAGCUAAAUCUUCGCCAAACGUUCCAGAGAGUAUCCUUGUAAGCCUGAAAGCAUAAAUUCUAUGUUCAACUUCUGGGUGCUCUAGAAAUGGUAUAAUGGUUUUGAUGCCAUCCCCAGACUUUAUAUGGGUAACUACUGACUCUGCAAAAAAAAAAAGGGAUGAAGAAAAUGAUACCCAUCAAUCUUUGUUGUAUAGGUAUUUGUUUUAUGCAAAAAGAAGCAGUUAAUCCCAACUAUAUAUGUAGGAAUAAAUCAUGCCCAUAUCCAAGAGGUUGAGAACUCAUGAAGACAUUUCUGUUCAUGAUCUCAUUCUCCAUUUAAGCAAUUGGAGCUGAGAAAAGAAAACAGUGUGGACACCAUGACACCAUGACUUUGGUAAAUGUGUGUACAUAAUUCAACAUCAUGAAGAAUCCACCAUAAAAAACAAAUGUUGGCUCCAGCAUUCCCAUGCAUGAAGGCAUAUGACAGGGAUAAUAAAAAAAAGAAAUAAGCAUUCAGAAACUAGUGAUUUAGGAAACACCUGAAGCCUGGGGUGAAGAUGAAAUUCCAUAAAGGAUCCGGAGAACAGAUACUUGACAUUGAGGGGAAACAUGAGCUAGAAGCCCCAAAAGACGGAACACAGUUGUCUCUGACUGCAUUGAAUGUCCUUUGUUGUCAAUAGAUGAAUAUUCCCAGUGCCCUGGAUGCUGUACUAUGUUUGCAAUUAUUGAUGUAGCUAAUUCCUUCAGCUCUGAAUCAUCCAUAUUUUCGAAAAGAAUAUCUGUAAGAGCUGGAAUCACAGCAGAAUCAACAAGAAUGGUUGCAUUGUCAUCCAAGACUGACAAAUUACACAAUGCUUGCAAGCUUGGAGCUCUUCCUUUUGGCUUAGAUAACAGUUGAACAAGGGUUUUAGCACAUUUCCUUGCAAUUUGUUCCUUACUGCUAUUUGUCAGGGUCAUCCUCCCCAUAAUACGAGCCAUCUCUAUUUUAACAUCAUCGGUACCUGUUUUCAGAAAUAACCCAAUUCUAAUUAAUGUCAAGAUUGACAGAACCCAAUAAAAAUAAAUAGCCAACAGAAGUAAGAUGGAUCUCUAUAAAGUUUGUGUGUUUCCUUCUCAUUCAAAUGUGAUUCUUUUCUGAGAGGUCACUUUCAAUAAUGUUGGACCCUCUCUAAAGCAUUAACAACUAGGCAAACAUCAAUAACAACUAAAACAAUGAGUUUCUAUUAUUUACAGACUUCAUUGUGUAUCUUCUGGGUUAGGCAUUAUUUAUCUUCUAUUUAAGUGUUCUUAAAUUUGAUGUCUUUCUUUUCCCUGAUAGGAAAGCAAAUCUAUUAAAAGAGCACCAAAGAAAGGGUGCACAGCCUAUGCAUACAGGAAGUAUACUAAAAAAAAACAAAGAAAGAAAAACAAACAUGAAACAGCCAAGACAGCCAGAAAACCACCGCUACCCACAACAAAGACUAUCUAGGAAAUCAAUCAUUGACAAGAUUCCCAAAUCUAGCAAGGUGUUUGUCCAUUCCAAGAGGACCAUAAUGAGGAAGUUUUAACUUCAGCUAAGAAAUAAUAAAAUCCCUGAGGAUGAGAUUUCUCCUUUAGUACUCUUCAUAACAUAGAUUAUGGGAUCAAGGUUUUUUUCUAAAAAAAAAAUAUAUAUUUUUGCUGCAAUUAUUAAGUCGAUAACCGAGAGAUAAUAGAAAUAUCCAAUAAUAACCCCAGUAAAGUGUUUUAGCUUCAAGGAUGGUUAACUAAUUCUCACAGAAAAAAAUUGCUUCUAAUUUUUGCUCACAAUUGUGUGGUCUCUUCAAGAACUUUUUUCAUCAGUCCACUUACCAUUAAAAGAAAAAAAGAAAAAAGAAAAAUGGAAGACAAGCACAAGACAUACAACCAGCUUAUGCAGUAGCAUGACUACCCACAUGUAAAGAGCUGUGAUAAAUAGCUGUUAGGGUCCAAAAUUCAAAUGGUUGGGUGGAAUCACAAGUGACUAAGAUAUUAAGAACAACUACCAAUCACUUAACACAAAAUAAUUUUCUUCCAACUGAUCUAAACUCCCUUCCAAGGGAUGUGAAAAUAAGGUGUUGGUAAUUAAUGACUGAAUGCUCACCAUUUUGUCUAGGAAGUAAGGAAACACAAUAGUUCAUAUCACUAGGAAAAGAAGAGUCAGAAAACUGUUGGAGAGUGUAGCAUCACUCCUAUUUAAUAUUACACCUAAUACACGGUCAGAUACAGCAUAAAACAUACCUUCACAUAACCGGCUAAGUAAGGGUUCAAAUCUUCCAGCUGCUGCCAAAUGCUGAACAUUAUCCUCCACCCUCUCCAUCUGUUUUAGCACCUCUUCAGCUAGAUUAGAUAAGGCAGGAUGCUCCAGAUUUCCUGCCAUGCUCGAAAGAAGAACUAGUGCCCCUUUUUCUGAUGCAAUUUUUGUGCAGUAAGCUUCAUCCCUCGAGAACUCUAGCAAUAACUUCACAGCAUACUCUUUCUCUUUCUCUGAACUCCCAAUAAGACUAUGUAUUGCCAAUCUAGUGAUACCCUCUCCAAGCAUUAUGUUCUAACAAUAUAUGACACACUUCAUCAGAAUGUCAAACAGUAUGAUAUCAAACAACCAGAUAAGAUUUGCGGAGAGAGCACUUAUUUAGAUGCAUCGUCAAAAGGUAUGUAGUUUUCCAGCUAAAAAAUUCACCAAAAUGAAAUCUUUUGGCUAUAGUUAGAGAUGAAGUGAGUUCAAAGGAAUAAAUAAAUCCUUGGGAUCAAUUGUAAUGAUAUAUCAGCUCAUAAAGUUGGUUUACAUUGUAGAUCAUCCUCUAUAACUGCUUAGAAUGUCCUAAAGCUGUUAGAUGAUUAACUUUCAAAGAUUCAAAUUGCAAACACUAAGAAAUGAAGUUGUUUAUUACCAAAAGGGAGUCAAGCCACCUUAUGACAUUGAAGUUAAUUUAUCAAAAAGUAGACAGACUUAUAAACAAGGUUUCCAAGAUACAGGGACAAAUCCAACCUCUACUAUUUUAUUUUUCACAUUUUGAAGUCACAUCAAAAUAUAUUCGGAAAGAAGCUCAGUUUUUUUAUUUGCAUUCUUUGCCUUUCAUCUAGUAACUUUAGUCCUUAAAGAUUGUAGUUUUUGCAACAAAAUUGGUGUCUUGUUAUAUCUUUCAAACAUUUCCCAAAUUUUCAACAGAAACCUCAAUGUUUUCCUUUAUGUUAUCUAAAAUCUUUCCCUAGAACAACAAAAUACCCCUACAUCAAAUUUUCUAGUAAUGCAGCCCAUUUGAAACUAGUGCUGUCUAUCUUAUAAAAGUGUCAUUUGAAACCACAUAACAACAAAUAACUGAAGAAGCUAAUUGUUAGAACUUUGGACAUCUAUCCAAGGAGAGAUUUAAUGAAACUCACCUUGCUUUCUUCAUCCUUGGCCAUGCUAAGCAAAGUCAUAAGAGCUUUGCCUCUCAUAUGUGUUCCCAUGCUCUUCGAACAGUUUCUAAGAACUUUAACCAUAAGAAGAACAACACCUGCAUGUCUCACUCUGUAUCUAUUAGAUGGGUGCUCUUCUGAUAUCUUAUAAAUGACAUCCAAAACCCAUUCAACAGAAUCCACUGGGGGUUGAUUCUCAGAAAGACACUGCACUGCUGACUUAAGUUGAAUUUCAAUAUUCCUACUAACCCACUCUUCAAUUGCGCCAGCCAAUCCGAUGUUUGGUUUCAUCUCCGUAGACUUGAGCACCUGCCCCGUAACAGGACAAGUUGGAUCCCGACCAUCCUCUAUACAUCGUCGGAACCAGUACUCAAUUGCAGUCCGCUCAUAAUUCUGAGAUGAUUCCAACACCACCGGAUCCUUCAUCACUUCCUUUGUCAAUGGGCAUAGAAAAUUCUUAAAGGGCGACAUUUGGGCAUCCUCUUCAAAAUCAAAAUCCAAGUUCCACUCUGAAGUGGCUGGAUGAACAGUCCAGUUAUCCAUAAUUCUCUCCAGGGACAUCAAAACCCGCCUUUCUGCAAGUGGAUUCGAGCUCGCCAAGUCCGUCUUCAGGAGCUUGACCUGCUCCGACAACUUUGCAUGAUCAUCUGCCUCGAUCCCGAGAGCUCGAGCUAAAUCCAUGACAAUGGCACUUUGCACUGCUUUGCUGGUCGGCCUGCCUUGUCCCUCCUUCUGCAGUGUACAGUGCACUCUCUCUUCGUUCUCCGAAACCUAAUUCACUAUGAAGAAUUAAACAAAAAUCUACAUAUAGCACAUAUUUAAAUUCCAACAGGAUACACAAGGAAUGAUAGAGAUUUUGAGAAGAGCUUACUCUGAACUGCGCUUGUUUCAUAUCCUGGGAGAGAUCGGCGACCUUCUUGCGAAGAUCUGAACCCUCCGGCAGAGUCGACUCCAGCAGAGCCAACCAUCCUCCGAUUGCUACGGUGUGCUCCUGAAGGGACGCGCACAGAGACUGACAGUUGAUGAGGACGAAGAUUUUGCUUCUGUUCCUAUACACUGACACCGCCUCAACCGCCUUCGACAGAUCACCAGAAACCCCUCUCAAGGUAGUUUGUACGGACGGAGACAAAGCCUCCGGCGACGACGAUCGCAGGAACUGGUUCAGAACAAGCUGGAGGCGAUUGGCGUAGGCAGAGAAGCGCCUAGGGUUCUCCCAAGCGAAGUUAUCGUCGGAAAGGCAGAGUUCCGAUAAGGAGCGAAGAAUGGAUUCCAACGCCGGCGCCGUCAUUUCACGGCGAGAAGAGGAAGAAUCUGGCCAAGACAAGGCAUGUAUGUAAGAUUCUGCAGUAAAAACCGUGCCGAUCCUCACCUCGUUGCCGGCUUAUAUACGCAAUGGUGUUCAACAGUUGAAGCCCACCUAGGAGGAGGAGGAGGAGAAGAAACAGUCAAACAUUGACCCAGUGCAGACCCGCCAGAUCCCACUCUCAAAUCCGGGUCGGACAAGGAUUUUCUCUGUUCCUGGACCUAACUACAAGUCUACAAGUCGAUGCGUGCAAAAGUCAAUUGCAAACGUGGCAGCAAAUUAGUAACCGUGGUGGAUCCCACACUCUGUCCUCUCAAUGUUCAGCUUCGCCGCUCCCGUACGCCUCUCUUUCCGCCCCGUCCGGAGUCCUUAUCUUUCCUGGAGACGACCGGCAGCAUCGGCGGCUGAGUCUAACAUUAAUUAAGUCUUUUUAAAGAAUAUACUUUUUAUCUUUUAUUUUUAAAUAAAAAACUUUAAUAUAAACCUAUAAAAUCUAAUCUAAAUAAUAAAUUUAUCCUAAACAAGGAGCUUUAAGAGCUUUCAAGCAUGAUGAGAGCUACAACAAAUGAAAAUGGAGCAAUGCUAGCAUGAGAGAUGAAAAAUGAAUAUCAUGGAGAGAUAUGUAGAGCAAGUAAAAACGAGGAAGAAGAUUGGAUGUCAUAGCUCAAAGUUCAAUAUGGGAAUUGAUAUGAUUUUUGACGUACUUCCCAAGGUUAAUUUUGAGCAAAUUAUAUAUCAUUUCAAAGAUCAAAAAGUUAGAAAGAGUCAAAAGUUCAACGUUUUAAACAAUAUGCAAAUCAAAGUUGAAAUGAAGAAGUUAUAAUCAUUUGAAGAUAACUUGGUAGAAUUAAAAAGUCAUUUUCGAAUUUGAAACGAUGAUUUUGAAAAUUUAACUUAUGAUUUCAAAUCCAUCUCGAAAUUACCAUAAUUUCAAGAUCACCCACUAUCACUUUGAGUUUUUACUUUCAUCACCUCGAGAAUUAUGUCUUAGGCACUUCAUUAGCCCUAAGAGGGCCUCACAUUACUAGAAAUCAAGAUUUCAGUAUUCUUUUGUUAUUUUUAAGUAAUUAUUUAGGAAACAAGUGACUAAUAAGAACAUGUUACAUGCUAGUUUUUUUAUAUUUCCUAUAAAAACUCCAAUUUUAGCUCCUAAAAAAAAAAUCUUCGAUUAAUUCUUUACUUGAAACCUAAAAUUGGAGUUUUUAUAGGAAAUAUAAAAAAACUAGCAUGUAACAUGUUCCUAUUGACCACUUAUUUCCUAAAUAAUUACCUAAAAAUAACAAAAGAAUACCAAAAUAUUGAUUUCUAGUAAUAUGGGGCUCUCUUAGGGUUAAUGGAGUGCCUAAGACAUAAUUCUCGAGGUGAUGAAAGUAAAAACUCAAAGUGAUAGUGGUUGAUCUUGAAAUUAUGGUAAUUUCGAUAUGGAUUUGAAAUCAUAAGUUAAAUUUUCAAAAUCACCAUUUCAAUUUCAAAAAUGGUUUUUUAAUUCUACCAAGUUGUCUUCAAAUGACCAUAACUUCUUCAUUUCAACUUCGAUUUGCAUAUUGUUUAAAACGUUGAACUUUUGACUCUUUCUAACUUUUUGAUCUUUGAAAUGAUAUAUAAUUUGCUCAAAAUUAACCUUGGGAAGUAUGUCAAAAAUCAUGUCAAUUCCCAUAUUGAACUUUGAGCUAUGGCAUCCAAUCUUCUUCCUCGUUUUUACUUGCUCUACAUAUCUCUCCAUGAUAUUCAUUUUUCAUCUCUCAUGCUAGCAUUGCUCCAUUUUCAUUUGUUGUAGCUCUCAUCAUGCUUGAAAGCUCUUAAAGCUCCUUGUAUGCAUAUUAAGUCCUGUUUGUUCUAAAGCUCUUAAAGCUAAAAAACUGUUUUUUUCUUUUUCUUUUUUUUUUUAUAACUUAAAAACAGUUUUUAGAAACAAGCAUGUUCAGAGUUAAAUUUCAUCCUGUUUGUUCAUUUGAAACUGCAGAAAAUCAUGAGAUACCAUACUCCAAAACAAUGUGAGGAAGAAACCCAUGACACCCUCUCACACAGAAAUCUUAUGAACUUAUCCCUCGUACUAAAUUCAAAACAAGAACACAGCUACAUGCUUCACAACAACUAUCAUCAUUGCUUUAAUUCAAGAAGAUCAGAUAUACUAUUAAAAUGAAAUGGUUCAAAUGUAUCACAAUUGAUGUGCUUAAGACUAACCAAUACCUAAGAAUAUAACCCCAGUCAAUAAUAGGCAGAAAAAGACCAUGGGUACUUGGGGGAAAAAAUUGAGGGAGAUAAAAAAAAAAAAAAACAAUAAAUACAUAUCUUUUGUACUCAGCAACCUUCAUUAUUCAAAUAUGUUCUGUUCUUCUCUGCUCUGCUUGAUGGAGCCGGAAGAAAAGCAUGGAAGCAUGCUGAGCUGCGCCUCUAACAUCAUCAGGAAACAUUGCUUCACUGCUAAUUGAGCCAAAAAAACUGAUUCCUGGAAGCCAUGAUGGAAAUCUGAAUUAGGGGGAGCCAAAUUACAUUUAUUGUAACAGCCAUUUUCGAAGAGGUGGGAAAGAAGAGAAGGAAAACCACGUUUGGGUUGGAGUCUUAAGCAUAAAAGGGUACCUUCCUAGAACUCUAUAUUCGGCUUAUAUCACGACCAAACACAAAAGUUGUUGCCCAGUUGAUUGCAACAUAUAACCGGUUCCUCCAGCUUAAAACGCGCGUGAGAUAUGCUGAUCGCCAAAUAAUCCAACUUGUAAAUCCUGCCAGAGAUAAACCUUUGCCCUCCUGUGGAAGAAUUUCCAUCAGUAAGCACCUGAUUUAAUUGUUAAUCACAGUUCAAGGAAAAAUUGCUUUGAAGGAGUCCGAAUUUCAACCUUGCCCUGCCUAAGGUCCACAAGAGCCUUGUAUCUGCCAAGGGAUGCCAUGCUUCCCAAAUGCUUAUAAACAAAGGGCUCUCCAAAUUCCAUGUCUCUUGCUCUGUUUGCAUACCCUCCACCAGCUUUGCCAAUCCUGUUCAAUUGUUCUGCUAGAUACUUCCCUUGCCUCUCUGCAACCUGUUUCAAAUAUUCCAGAGAGGUAGACUAAAAAUUAUGGAAUUACUAUAAAUAGAAAAUUUUCACAUUAUUGCCAUAAAAAAAAAUUUAAAAUAAAACAAAAUAAAAGAUCCAGCCAAAUCAACAAUAGUUCCAUGAAUUAUAUUUCAGAUUUCUCAUAGUCAGAAGAAUUCUUUUGCCCUUAUCGCAGAGUAAAGAAGAAUUUUUUCCUCUCUUGCAAUGUGACUUCUUUCAAGAAGUAUGCAAUAUCCAAUUCAUGUAUUUCCAAAUUUUUUGAAUUGUGAAAAAGGGUACACAAAGGGGAAUUAGAUUAUACACAAUAGCAACAAUGGCAUGAAUUAAUUGAGAGAAGAAACAACAGUAGUUUGUGUUUUUCUUUUGCCUAGCAGAGCAACUAAUCACUUGGUUCAAAUGCUCCCUUGGGCAAUUCAAGGGGGUAACAACUAGAGCGUGUGUGUGUGUGUACAGGGUCAUGUGGCAACUUGCACCUGCAAACCCUUGCUUGAGAAUGCAAAUUUGUUCAACACAUAGAAAACCCGAAAAAGCAGAAUUUGCUCGCUACUUACCUGUGCCAGAGCUGGAAGAACUGGUUUGCCGGUACUUUCAAGGAACCCACUGCAGUCACCUAUUGCAAAAAUGUCCUGUGCAGAAGGAACGCGUAGCCACUCAUCGAUGCCAAUCCUGUGAACAAAUGGUAAUCAUUGGAUGAAGAUUAAAAAAAAUGGUAAAACACAAGUACAUAUUUGUAAAGGAAAGGACAGAGGAGUCUAGGAACAAGAUGGUCAAAAGUUAAGGAGGAAAUGCAAUACAGGAGAACAGCAACAAAUUAGAUGGAAUACCAAAAGAAAACUAUACUGAGAAACUCAAGAUGGAGAGGUGGCAGUAGAAGAGCACAUAGGAAACCUAAACUCAAAGAGAUUUUACCCAUAGAAAAAACCGGCUUCUUGGAUGCAUGGAUGAAAACUGAGGAAAAAAUGUCCUUUGAGGGGAAACAGAGAAUAAGGGAGUUACCUUCCACCAGGAGAUUUUGGGACCUCCAUAGACUUCACAAAAGAUGAGGGACCAACACCUGUAGACCAUACCAACAGCCCAUAUGGAACCUCCGUGCCAUUAUUUAGAAUUAUUUUGUCAACUUUAACAUCUUUAACAAUCCCACGAACAAGACGAACUCCUGACUGAGAGAAACCAUCAAAAUGAAAAAUGGAAAAUCCAAAACUAAAAAGAAAAUUAAGAUAAAUCAGAAAGAAUCAAUGGAGCCUGGUAAAUAAAUAAAGAAGCUAAAAUAUUUCAACAUAAACACUUCCAUAAAGAACUAAAACAAGUUCCACAAAAAAAGUCAAUCAAAAAUCCUAUAAAUAAUUCAAAUCAAGAAAGAGAAGUUUUUGUUUCAAACAUGGUAAUUGUGGAACAGCAUGCAAGCAGCAACUAACAAAAACGCUAAGCUAUAUCUUUGAUUAGAUGAACGUAUCUUCCAUGUAGUUUCCAAAUAAGCUAUAUCUUUUAAUGCAAAAAUACAUUAAAAUUCUUUGUAUUAACGGAGUAUCUUGAUACUCACCUUAGUCAACUGCCUAGUAGCAUAGUGCCGAAGGCGAUCAUCAAAGGAAGACAAUAUCUCGUUUGCCUGUAAAGAUAAGAGAACUUAAUUAAUUAAACAUUUCCACUAGACUUUUUGCAAAUCUGACAUAAGUAUUUGUUUCAAACUUUUGCCAUCCAAGGAGCAUAGUGAAUCUAGUGAAAGGCAAUCACUGAGUCAGAAAGUUGAAAACAAUAAAGCCAGAGUCUGGGUUUUUGACUUUUUGGAAACAAACCUCAAUCAAAGUAACAUGGAUGUAAUUUUUCACAUGGGCAUAUCUUUGAUGAACGUCCCUCGUGAUAAAAUCACUAAGUUCACCACUGAACUCAACACCUGUUGGACCACCUCCCACAACAACACAGUGUAGGAGCCUCUGCUUCUCUGCUUCCGAAAUUCCUGCCCCAUCAACAAACCCAAAGAUCAAGUUCACAGAGAGCUCAUGCCUCAUAGCAUAUUAACUGGUUCACACCCAUAAAUGCCUUGUUAUCAGUAGCAUACCAGGCACAUCAGACAGCAUCAAGUUUAGGAGCAGCUUCCUCCUAAUUUCCUGAGCAUGAUGGACUUCACGAAGAAAAAAGGCAUGUUCUUCCACACCAUGAAUUCCAAAUGUUAAGGGCAUUGAACCCGAAGCAAUAAUCAACUUAUCAUAUGAGAUCUCAAAGUCCCAUGGCUCCCGGACAUUUGCUCCAUUAGUUAGAGUCUGGCAGUGUACCUUCAUCAAUACCCAAUACCAAUUAAGCCUUUACACUCAAAAUCAACAUGGCAUCCUAAAAUGUAUGACAACUGAAUCUGAGAACUGGAAGUUGGAAUAAAAGUUACAAAUAUGAACCACUCCAAGAGGUGUUCUCUCUAUCAGAUUUGACCCAGAGAAUCAUUAUCAGAUCUUCACAUAACCCCAAAAUUUUAUAAAAAUACUUAUAAAUCAUUAAGCUAAAAAUGCAUUAUAUAGUAAAUCACAAUAUGGAAUGCAAAAAUAGGAAUCAAUCACGGAUUCACACACAUUUCCCUUCUAUUGUAUUCAACAAAUAACCCCAAUGCUUUCCAAUCAAUGCUCCACCCAAAACACAAAAUCAAAAGCCCAACUAGCAAAAGUUCAACCAGCAUACCACAUGGUUAUCGGGAUCAACCCGAUUACAAUUAGCAAGAAAGAAGUAGGACCCAGUUUCCCUUGAAAUCACCGGCUGGAUCCGCGCAAUGGGUUCAGCCACGGACCGGAACUCAAGAGUCCCAACACAAGUAGAAGCCAAGAGAGGAGUGAAGACCAUGUGGUUCCUUGGCGACACGCACACCACAUCAUAGAUGUUGGUGUCCAAGCCCUUCAUGGCCCUGCACCCAGCCCACCCAGACCCCAACACCACCACCCUCGGCUUCUCUUUCGACGAGGUGGGUCCGAGCCCAGAGCUCGGCACAUGGCGGGUGGGCUCCGAAUUUGGCUGAGAACUAAACUGCAAGAUGGAGACGAAUUGGGUGUUUGGAAAUGGGGUUGUGGCGCUUCUGGAUCGGAGUGAAGAUUUCAGAGAUGAUAAUUGGACGAGAUUUCUGAACCAGGCCAUGGUCGUUCACUCGUUCCUAGAGGCUAGAGGUUCCUGCUCAUGCAUCACCCAUGAUGGUGGUGAGAUUUGUAGGGAUUUUUGACUCGGAGGCGAGUCAGCUUCGCUAUCAGCGGUCUGGCAGGCUGAGACGGUUACAGGUGGCGGCGGGAGGAAAGGAUCAAUUGUGGAUAUUAAAAUAUAGUACAUAUAUUAUUUAGGAAAAUAUAUAAAAACUAAUUUAGGGAAGAAACUGGUUUUCUUCUAUUUUUAUUAUUUCCUUUAUCAUUUUUACCCUUUUCCAUUUUGAACAAACAUAUUUAAUUAAAAAUAUAUUCUAAUUUUCUAUAUAUUAAGAAGAUAAUUUAAUUAAAAAAUACUUCCAGAAAACAAAUGAGAAAAAAAAAUAUUAAUAUCAAAAUUUUAUAAUAAUAUAAAUUUGUGAAGAUAAUAUUUUAUUCAACCAAAUUAUUUUCUCAUGUAAGAAAUUUUUUUAAUAAUUUCUAUCUUGAAAGAAUUUUAUAAAAUUAAUUUCUUUAUAAAUAAAAUAUUUUUAUUUUUAUUUUGUUUAAAAAAUGUGAAUGGUAUCGGUAAUAAAAGUAAUCAAGAUAUAAGAAAAUGACACUCAGGUUAUAUUAUUUUGGGAGUACUUUUAAUGCUUAUUUGGUACAUGAGAAUAAAAAAUAAGAAUAAAUAUUAUAUUUUCAUUCUAUUCCCAAGAAUGAAUUUUAUAAUUUUAAUUGUGUUUGAAUGCACAUAAGAAUAUAAACUUGGGACGAUAAUUUGUUUUUAUUUUAAUGUAAAGUAAAAAUAUGGAUGAAAAUAGAAAAAAUAAAUAAGUUGUCUAUAAUAUUCCUACAUAUGAUUUAAAAUAAUUUUAAAAAUAAAUCAAUAAAAUGCCAAUAAUAUCCAUGUUUUAAAAAAAUCAAAUAAAAAAUAAAAACAUAUUUGGACAUGUGAUUUAAAAACAAAAUUGUUUUUAAAAAUUUAUACCACUAUUUAGUUAUUAUUCUUUUGAAACAAGUUUUAAAAACAAAGUAAAAAUAGAGAACUAUUCUUCCAAUUUUUAUUUUUUUCAUUAGAGAUAUAAAUUUUAAAUUAAGUGACACUUUGAAUUAAAUUUAUUAAUAAGUUUAAUAGUUCUAAAAAAUAAUUUAAAACUCAAGAAAUAUAUAUAAUAAUUAUAAAAAAUAAUAGACAUAAUUCAUAUUUUAAAUUCUUUAGUAAAUCUUGUAAUUUUUAAGAAUAAUUUGAAAUUCAAUAAACAGAUUAAUUAAUUAUAAAUAAAAUAAAAUAAUUCACAAAGUCAUUUUCAUAAUUCUAUAAUAAAUGUAUACAUAUAGUGAAAAAUGUAGGAAAAGUGGCUAACAAUAGGUGAUAAAGUGAGACCUGAUAUAAAUUUCCUUAUUUGGGAGUGAAAUUAAACAAAUGAGGAGCGCAACUAGGAGGCAUGAGAGUAUAAUGGAAUCAUAUGGGAGCAAAAUCAUAGAAAAUGUUCAAAAUUCAUAUUUAUUUGCUUCCAACAACACAUAUAUUUCCAAAUUGAUAAAUUAAUCAUAGGAUUAAAUUUAAGGUCAAGGUGAACUUAAAAACAUCUUACUUUUUAAAACAUUCAACCUAAAGUACAACCAAAAGGGACCUAAUCCUUAUUUGGGAGCGAAAUUGAAUAAAUUGAGAGUGCAUCUAGAAGACAUGGAGCUAAAUGGGACCACAUGAGAGCAAAAAAGAAAUGUUUCAAAAUUCACAUUUUUUAGAUUUCAGCAACACUUAUAUGUGUCAAAAUGAAUAAUCAUAUAAUUAACUUUCAACUCAAAAAUGAGUCAAAAGCACUCAUGUUUUAAGAACAAUCAAUACAAGCACAAAGAUAUAAGACAAGAUCUAAGGAAGUGGGGUUCGAGUAAUAACCCAAUGGAAGCCAGGUACAAACUCAUUGGUACUAUCCAAUGGACUGAAAAACAUUUUAUUUUUUAAAAACAUUUAGAGUAUAGUGUCACGACCUGCUCCAAAAAGCCUAACUUCGUGACACUAGGGUUAUUACUUAUGCUCCAAAAAGCAUAAGUAAUCUCAAAUAUGGAUUACUUAUGAAGUAUUUGACAGCAACCAGUCAGAAUAAGGGAGCCAUGAAGGAGGCCUCAACCUUGGGUCAGGCCCAAUUAUUUCAAGGCCCAAACCCACUUUCCUAUUCUCCUCCUCCCUCCGUCCCAUCCUAUACUUUCGUUGGCACUUUUUGUUGAGCCAUUUGUAUGUAUCCCCCUCCUAAGGAUUUUUGAUUGAAGAGUGGAUUAAAUGAAAACAGUUUUUUAACGGUUAUAUUUUCAAAAUGAAAGAAAAAGCAGAAACAUUUUGGCAAGUGAUGAGUAAAUAAAAGGAAAUAUGAAUAAACGAAGGUGGGAAUGAAAGGAAAUUGGUGUGGUUUGGAGGAUCACAUCCACGUAGUUUUCCCAUUGAUUCGCUUUACAAAGUUUCCCUUAUUAUCAAAGGAUUCAAACUCUGAAACCACAUACUCAGAUCAUACUGCAUACAUAUAGAUGUAGAUCAUUUAAUUCAAGGCGCGCUGCUGUCUCGGCCUUUCCACCCCCCGCCGCCGAUUCUGUUCCGCGGAUCAUGCCCUUUGUUCGCCGACGGAUCACUGUAAUCGUCCGUGCUCACCGCCUUCAGCCUCCUCCCCACGGCGCCCGCCGCCUCCUCAUCUACUGUCAUAUCAGUUUCCGAUGUUAUUGUCUUAUUGAUAACCGCCAUCAUUUUAUUUUCAUCAGAGGAAGAUUAUAAAAGAAGGGGGGGGGGGGGGGGAAAUGUAUACCUGGGAAAAUGAGAGUAUUCCGGGCAGUGCAGAUGAGGAAAGAAGCGAAGAAGACACACCACCAGAGACGAUUUCCGAAUCCCAUCGCUCUCUCUCUCUCUCUCUCUCUUUCUCAGUGUCUCGUGGGCUGUGUGAGUAAAGAGUAUUGAGUUGUGGGACAAGAGAUAGCCCUGUGAAUUUAUAGGCGACGAUAUCUGCAGUAACAACGCGUGGCGAGGGGUCAUUGGAAGAUGAACGAUCGUGGGUGACACGUUCGAUGCAUGAAGGACCCUUCUUCUGGCUUCAUAUCAGCCGUUCAUUUGUGGUCAAUAGGGUUGCUGUCGCUUGCUUUACUCGAAAAGGAAACAGCUUACCCGUAAUCAUUUGCCACUGAACUCUAAGUCAAAGCCCUAAAUUACAUUUGUUUAAAGGUAAAAUGUAGGGACUAUCAUACCAAAAAGUGCAGAAGGGUUCACAAGUCACAACGGACGGCUUCGGUUUGCGUAGCCCGAUCGCUUCCGACUCCCGUUCCGUUCAAUCUAUGAAAACCUAUUUCCAUUUUCCACAAAUUAAAAAUUAAAAUAACGUGGAACCGAUGUCAGAAAUUUUCAAACCCUUUUGGCAUGUUUGAUAGCUGUUUUUAAAAAUGGCUCUGAAAACAGUUUUUGAGAAUAGAGUUUAUAUAUUUUUUUUAAAAUUAUUUUUGGAAACUAAAUUCUGUAAAAUAAUUUUUGUUUUAAAAAAAAAAUAUGUACAUAUUUGAAAGUUAUUUUUUUAAUUAAUAAAUUUUUUUUUAUUAACUUGAUAUUAUAAAUAUAUAAAUAAUUUUCAUACGCAUAAUUCAUUUAAAUUGAAAAAAAUUAUUCUAUUUUAAAAUUUUAAUACCAAUUAUAAUUUUCUUAAAUAAAAAAUGAUUUUAUAGUCAUGAGUAAGUAUAUUAAUUUUAAUAAUUUAAGAAAAAAGAAAAGAUUUACUGGUGGGGUGUGGUAGUUCGAUGGAACUCACCACCUUUGUGGAGAUAUAAAAACGUAGUUAGGAAAAAAAACAUGAAAAAUAAUUUAUGCUUUGAACAGUGGAAAAAAUAAUAAAAACAUAUUUUUAGUGUUUUCAAAAAAAUGAUUUUUGAGAAUAUAGAAAACAAAAAUACACCCUCUUCCCCAAAUAAGUUUUUUGUGGUUUUUAUUGUUAAGAACAAAAAACAAUUAUUGAAAACAUGAAACAAAUAAACCCUUUAUUUUUAUUUUUAUUUUGUUAUAAAGUUUUGAUAUUAUUAUUAAAAAUAAAUAGAUUUUAUAAAUAAGUAAAUAUUAUAAUUUUUUAUUAUUUUAUAUGAUGAAAAAAUAAACUAAAUUAUUUUUUAAUUUUUAUACAAUCCAAAAAAUGUGAAGAUGAAGACAAAUUAGCACUCAGAAAAUCUCAAACCCGUUACUAAUUCGGAUGUUUCAUCUUAAAAUGGUCUUCGAGUGUAGUCUGAGUAUGUAGUCAUUGUUGCUUGCAUAAGGCCGUUUUAAGACGUGUAGCGAGUCCAUAUUAUGAUCACGUGAAAAGGGAUUUUGGAUGGGACUUAAUGGCACAGUCAGGCAUUAUGUAGGUAGUGUGGUGGAACUCGUUUUCAAUUGGACUUUUAUGGCAACAGCAGGACGAGAUGAAUAAGCAAAACGAAAGAGUCGGGAUUAGGAAAAAGAUUGACUUCGUCCUACUCGCCAUUGGUUCAAGGGAAAAAGUGUUACCUAGUUUUUCCACUCUACCAAUAAAAAAAACCACCUUUUUUAUUCAGCAAUAGGGAUUGAAAUGUGAGCCACCUCGUUUUCAAUUCUAUGAAAUAUUUGCUUACAAUCAAAAUCACUUUUGAUAUAAAUCGUUUUGAAUUAAUCUAAAAAAUCCUUAGUAGUGAUGAUUUUGAGAGAAUUAGAACUACUUUUCUUACCAAAAAUAAAAAUGUUAUUUUAAAAAUAUCAUUAUUUUACAAACAAAUAAUGCUACAAACUAAGCAGGGACAUACAAAAUGGGCUACAUAUCCGAGUUGAAUAUAAUAUACAUAUGUAAAUAUGUGUGUGUUUUAUUUUUUUCAUUUUUAUAUUUAUUUUAAAAUAGGGAUUCAGUGCAUCAUAAUGGGACACCAGAAUGGAAGAAUGUGGGUGUACAGGAGUCAAACCCAUUAGUUGAGAUGGGGUGUGUGAGAUGAUGUCAACAUUUGGGAGGUUGGGUGCCAUAUGAGAGUCUACAACAUCAUCCCAAUAAUAUAUCAUCAAGUAUCAAGUAUAACCAUGCCAAAGCGUACAAGGUGUCUACCAAGCAUUGGCCCCGCUGAUAUUUGGACGCAAGGGAAAACACAACAAUUCCAAAACCAUUUUUCUUUUUGAUAGACAACAAAAUCAUGAAUUAAUAAACGCCAUAACCAACAAUUCGAGACUAUGCUAAACUCGAACUUGUUCUAAGAGUCAUCAUUUAACCGACUAAACUCGAACUUAUUCUAAGAGUCAUCAUUUAACCGACUUAGAUGACCCGUCAUCCAAACUUACCGAGCAACAUUCUUACAUUCCAACUAUGGAACCCCGAUGUGAGGCUCCAAUGACUUCAAUCAUUCAACUUAAAAACAACAUUAUUACACUAUAAAAAUCCUUUCCCCAAUAUAACCUAUAAUAACAAUUUUUAGAUAAGGUUUUAACCAUCACGUCCAAAAACCAAUCAAUAUCCAAUGAGGAUAAACUAAACCUUUUAUAGCGCAUUUAACAUCACACUAAGAAAGAUCAUUUAAAUGACUCAUGACAUUACUCUUAAUACUACGAGGUCUACCAACUAAGAAGACAAAGUGUCAAGACAACUCAAAAGCCUGGCUAUAAAAGAAUCAAAGGAAGAAUCAUCUCGAAUUGCUGCAAAAACCUGUAAUUGAUGAACACCAAGAAAUCUAGAAUUUGAUUUUUGCAAUAUUAGAAAAAGCAUGAUGAGCCAUCAAGAUAGUCUAAGUUCAUUGUCAAAUCCACCAAAAAAGUGCCUAAAUAUACAGCAAGAUCUAACUAAAAUGAUCAUGAUUAGGUUAAGAGUCAAGUCAUAACUCCAUCCACAAUCUGAUAGUUACUUUGUACGUGUCCUGCAAAAAUAAGGCAAUUGCAAAGUGAUUCUAAAAAUACAAUCACCAAUUAUUAAAGGGAGACUUUUUGGAUGCUAUUGGUGCAAUUUUCUUGCCCCCAACAGAGUUCACCUCAUCACAAUAGAAAAUGACAUCGCAACUAAAGCUUAUCCCUAAAGACCCCAUCACCCCACAAUGGGUGAAUAAUUUUACAAGCACUUCUUAGAGAUCAGUCACUAAUGGGUAAUGGCACACUAACAAAAUGAAGCACCAUUACCAAAGGGAGAUGGAUAAAAGAAAAACUAAACAGCACCACUAAGGGAGCUCUCACUUUCUAUAAAUUCAAAAGACCACAUGGAAAAUCUCUUGUCAACAUAACUCAAAUCUACAAAUGCUUUCAAUCAGCAAAAGAAAAAUCACAGAGAGAUUAAACUACAAGACUUCCAGAUUAAAAUAAUAUUCCCAACUACUUAAAAAAGUGUUGAAAAAACCAAUCUCCGCAUACUGAGUCAAUACAAUGGAAAGGGUUGAUCAUGAGCCCGCAUAAGAAACCUAAUUAUGAAUGAGAGAGAAAAUCUCUACAGUAAAAAAUUGAAAUCUGGAGUGUAGGAAACCAAGAUUUAGUAAAAAUAGAGUAGGUAAGAGAAAAACUACAGAAUCCACACUUAUAGUUCAAUCAAUUCAUUAUAGGCCAUGAUUGAUAGGGUUUACGAUGAUUAGUACCCUCCAGCUACAAUUCUCAGAAACUGGCAAAGUCCUACGAAUACAAAAUGAAGCCCCAAAACUUUGUUUCAACACCUUAAAAUGCAUCAUCUCAGUCUAUAGAAUAUGAGGGCACAGAGAGAACACGUAGCAAGAAAAUUACCCAAUGUCAAUCUCAUCGUUUCUUAAAACCAUAUUUCUUCCGUUCGUAGAACAGGUCUGUUUUGGCACUCCCUAAAUUGACAAUUUUCGGACACCCAUCCCUAUCCUUCUCUUGUUGUGUACACUCUUUGCAGUAGUAGGCAUCUGAGAUUCCAACUCCUCCACAGAUGACACAUCGACCCUGAAAGGAUCCAUAGUUGCAUUCAUCGCAAACUCGCACAAGUGUGCAAGGACGCACAUAGGAAUCACAGAUCACACACUUCCCAUCACACUUUUCACAAAGCCGUCCAAUUGCAAUUCCUGGCUGCUUUCGGCACAUAAUCAAAUCGGGAUGAUGCUUGGCCAUGCUUUCUACAACAAGCUCUCAGCCCUUGAAUGUCCCUGUGACCUGCAGGUACACACUCCACAGUGUUAGAACUUAGAACGUAUUGAUUCCCAAACAUUUUAUCUGAAUUGGGAUGAUAGAUCAGGAAGAUGACAAACAUCAAAACGAAAGUCAAUAGUCAGAUAAACAUAAUUAAUUAUAAAAAAAAAAGUAAUUUUCUCUUUACUCCUUUUUAGGGGCAUGCACACAGAUAAAGAACCAACUUAAAAGCGAAAGAACAUAUUCAUGUUAGCAUCAGAAAACAUCCGGAAGCAGUAAUCGCUCGGAGCAGGAAACUAUGAAUGUAAUCAUCCAAUAAUAAAGCACACUUCAAUACCACCACCAUUUUUACUCCCCAUGUGGAUUUUCAACAAAAUAAAUUUUAGGAAAUGAAAACAAGAAGAUACCAUCAAAAAAGAGUUUGUUUUAAUCUUUCAAACUAAUUUCUUCACUAAUCCAAAGGUUUUCAAACUAAAAGAAUUCCCACCAUCACGCUUCUCUGUACCUGUCUGGUAAGGCUGAGGCAUAAACAUAAAAUGCAUAAAAAAAUUUGACUGCUAUUAAUGCAGUCUAAGAAAACCGGUAGCAGAGAAAGACAGUAUACUAUCAAAUCAAGAGAUUUCAAAAAAUUUGUCAAGAAUAAGGAACCCUAGCAACAGAUUCAUGACUAUGCUUCAACAAUUCAACUUAUAAUCACACAUGAAUCAAGCCAUCACCCAAUUUCAAGAACUGCAUACAAGACCCUCUUGUCAAUACAUGUCAAUUUUCAUUCAAAUUAACAGGUCACCUACCACACCAAGUCAAAAAUAAAAACAAAUGUAACAAUAUCCAAAAAAAUAAAUACCCUUGCUAUCUUUUCUCCUGUUUACCCCACCAUUUCAUGAGACAAACUCAAAGCUAGAUUCAUCAAUUCAAAAUCUACUCCUGAACCAAACUACAAGAAUUGUGUCAAAAGUUGAGCACCAUCCAUAGCUAGGAACCCAGUUUGGGAUUCUAGGCCAGAUAUCCACAAGUGACCUUUAAAUCGAUGGGAACAGAUACCCAGAAGUAGAACCAAUAUUUUCUUAUCAUCUAAAAUCCAAAAUCAAUGAGGAAAAAAGAGGAAAAGCAUUCGCAGGGUUUAGGGCGUGUAACAAUCAAGGAAAAAAUUAAUUUGAGGAGGCUAUUAUGGGUUAUUUACUAAUCAUGUUUUCCUUGAUUGUUGCAGGGUGAUUCUUAAAUACAUAGAAAAUCAAUGCAAAAAUUUCUACAAAAUGGGUACAACGCCAACAAUAGGGUUUCAACAAAGCUACCUAAAGCAAUAAAAGAUUUACCUCCACACUUGUUGCUCCUUCUCCUUAAAUUUUUUCUAGACUCGAAUAAAAUUAUUUUCUUAUCUAAAAGGUGAAGUCAACAUUUUCAUCGAAAAAUAACAAACGAUUAUCUCUUUUCUCAAUAACCUCAUGUUCCAAUGCAUUCUCAUCCACAGCCAUUUCUUCUUAAAUAUUUAGGGCAAAAUCAUUAGGAAACUUACAGCUUGAUCUCAAUCUGAGAUUUGAGCCGGAAAAAAAAAUUAGGGUUUCGCCGCGAUUUUAUUUUGUGAGCUUAAGCUUUCUGAAUCUUUCCAAUCCUUCCACUAAACCCUAAUGCAGAUGUUUAACAAUUUUCAAGAAAGAGAUCUAAGUAAGGGAUGUAAAGCACUAACCUGAGCGAGUGUCGGUCGAGCGGUAGGAAGCUACUAACGUGCACCGGGUGUGGAGCGUACUCACUCUGAAUAAUGCUGACGCAUGGAGGAAGGAGGAAUAUGCAGAAAAUAUGAGAACAAUCGAGACAAUCCGUGACCCGGUUGGGUAAAGUCGGAGUCGGUGGGAUUGGCCUUAAGAGAGUCGGGUUGGAUAAAGUCUGAGUGAUGGGGUGGGCCUUAAAGGCCCAUUUAGUGGCCCAAAAAAUUCCAAAAAGAUAAAAACUUUUGAGUCUGUCAGACAACCGUGCGACCAUCCCAGUCGAGCCAAAGCUCGGCUGAGAACGAUCCUCUACAGCCCUGACCCAACAAAGCAGGUUAAGCAGUUAAUCACGCUCUGAUCGCACGGUCAUUGUUCAUCCACCAGACUGAGGUUCCUGUCUCCUUAGAACUCAAGGAUACAGAGGUACGAGCCUAUAGAACAGAUCCUGUUCAAGUAAGGUCGUGGCAUGUGAAUCUCCUAUCCUUUGUUAUAUAGUCAUUAAAUGUUUCCUGCAUUUCCGAUGUGGGACGGCUAGUCACCGCGUGUUCUCAUUGGCCAUAUAUUUGCAAUGAACUUCUUGGUAACAACGAUUGACAGCUGAUGCACGACAGAUUGCCAAAUGAAAUUCUUGCAAACUUCUGGAUUCAUUUAAAAUAAUUUUAACGGCCGAUGUAUGAUAUUUUAAUUUGCAAAAUUAUUUUGAUAAACAUUUUUUUAUUUAUAUCGUUAAAGAAGAUAAUAGUUGUACGUGUAAAGUAACGGAUCUGUCACUUGAAUCCUAUUUUUAAGAUUCUGCGAUUAAAUUUUUUUGAGAAAAUCAUGUUUAUCUCAUAGUAAAAGUUUUUUAAAAAUUAAGGUAAAUGAUUUUUUUCUAUUCCUAUGAAAGUACUUUUAAUUCGUAAAAUAUUUUUUAAUAAUAUUUUUAUUAUAAAUACUUUUCUAAAAAAUAAUUAUUUUUAACAAAACUAAAAAUAAGAUGACAUGAAUUACAAUUUAACAAACUAAAAAUAAGAUUUACAUUACCUUGUAAGAUUGUGAUAAAGAUAACUAUACGAUGGUUUACAAUGUUGCUUUACUUGACCCGGUUGGGUAAAGUCGGAGUCGGUGGGAUGGCCUUAAGUGAGUCGGGUUGGAAAAAGCCUGAGUGAUGGGGUGGGCCUUAAGGUCCAUUUAGAGGCCCAAAAAAUUCCAAAAUGAUUGGGUUUGUCUGUCAGACAACCGUGCGACCAUCCCAAACGAGCCUAGAGCUCGGUUGAGAACGAUCCUCUACAGCACUAACCAACCGAGGCCGGUCAAGCUAUUAAUCUCGCUCUGAUCGCACGGCCAUGAUUCAUCCACCAGACUGAGGUUCCUGUCUCCUUAGAACUCAAGGAUACAGAGGUACGAGCCUAUAGAACAGAUCCUGUUCAAGUAAGGUCGUGGCAUGUGAAUCUCCUAUCCUUUGUUAUAUAGUUAUUAAAUGUUUCCUGCAUUUUCGAUGUGGGACGGCUAGUCACCGCGUGUUCUCAUUGGUUAUAGACUUCCAAUGAGCCUUCCUGGGAACAACGAUUGACAGCUGAUGCACGAUUGAUUGCCAGUGAAAUUCUUGGAAACUUCUGGAUUCAUUUAAAAUAAUAUAUACGGAAUAUACCAAACAUUAUUAUUUUUCUUUUAUUUUUCAAAACAAGAAAGAUAUUAGAAUUAUUAAUAUUUGUUAGUAUUUGUAAAAAUUAAAAUAUAAUUGAAAAAAUAUUAAUGAUUUUUGCUUUUAGAGAGAGUCAGGAUCGAAGUGUAUCACAAAGGUUCAUUUGAAACCUAUUCCUAUGAAAGUACUUUUAAUUUGUAAAAUGUUUGUUAAUGAUCCUUUUAUUAUAAAUACUUUUAUAUAAAAGUUCAAAUUUUAAACAAAAUAAUUAUUUUUAUUAGCAUUUUUAUAUUUUGUUAUAAAUUAAAAUUGAUUUUUAAAUAAAUAUUUUAAUGACAAUUAAAUACACUAAGACAGAGAAGAUAUGUGAGAGAUUUGUUAUCAUCGUGGUCAAUACCCAAAAAGUAUUGGAGAAUUAUAUUGAAAAAAAAAAUAUAGUUUUAAAAAUUUGUUUAAAAUAAUUGAAAUAUUAGAAAAUGAUUAUUUUGAAUUUAAAAUUUUUUGAAAAAAAUAUAAGAGAAAGUGUAUAGGAUUUAUAUACUACUUUUCAAUUAAAAAAUAAAAAAAAUGGAAAUUGCAUCCAAACAAGCACUUAUGAUAUAAAUAUUCAAAACUAUAUCAAAGUAAUAAUUUUGGAAAGAAAGUGCUUUAAAGUUUAAAGGCACUUUUUAACUUGUCAAAAUCACACUUUCAACCCAAGUCUAAUUACAAACCAUAGUUAACCUAUAAUUUUAACCAUAGUCAUGUAUACCAAUUUUUGUCACACCAUUAUUAAAUUUCAUGUACUAUAUGAAAAUUUCAAUUAAGCUUGGUACAUGACUUAAUUCAAUGUAUCUUGUACCUAAUUUGGUAGGUUCAUGACUUUGGUCCCGAUACCUUGUACUUUUUCCAUAUAGCUUAUGCAUUUAAUCUUCCCACAUAUAUUAAGGGAAAUGUAAAUACAUUAGGUUCAUGAAUCUUUAUAAUGGUGGGGAUUAACUUCAUGUAAUCAUGAAGGUCACAAUAAUUCCGACGAUGUGUAUAUUACUAUGACAUUUAAUUAUAAAAAUUAAAUAUAAUAGUAUUUUUUUUAGAAAAAUACUUUUAAAAAUCUUAAUAAUACCUUUAACUUAAUAUAUGGACGAUAACUAUUUUGGUGAUUUUUCCAAAGCUCGCUUUUUAUUAUAUUACUAGUAAGUGUGCACAUGCCAAUAAAUUACAGGAUGAAAAAAGUUUAAUAAAUAAAUGAAUAUGUGAAUUUAUUCUUUCAAGAAUCAUGUAUGAAAUGGAGUAAGGAUUGAUAAUUGAAUUAGACAUGAAACCAAAUUAAAAAAAAAAAAAAAAAGGAUGAAAUAUAAAUAGGAUUAUAUAUAUUUUUCCACACUAAAGUUUAUGAAUAGGAUUCCAUUUUCAAAUUGUAAAACAUGUUUGUUUAAAAUUAUUUUUAGUAUAAUAAUAUAUAUUAAGAAAUUUUUUAAAAAAAUAUGAGAAUUCUAAUCAUCCCAAAAUGAAGAUUCAACUAAAUUAAAAUUAAAAAAAAAAACUCAAGAAGCAAUUGCCGAAAAAGCAUGGAAAUUAAUUGUCUUAACAAAUCCAUUUGUGGUAAAUAUAUCCUUUAAAAAUCAUAUGAAACAGAUAAGAAUUUAUAAUCACAAAAUGGGUAAAUAUUUAUAGAUUUAAUUGAUAGCAUUGAAUUUAUGGUAAAUUUCUUUAAGAAUCAUAUGAAAUGGAUAGAAAUUUCUAACCACAAAACAAUCAAAUAAUUAAUAGAAUUGAUUGAGAAUAUUGAAAGUUAUACCACAAAACAAAUGUUUCUAUUUUUUUAAAAUAAAAAAUGAAAUAAUAUAAUGAAGUAAUUUUUUUCCCCCUAAAUUGCUAAGGGGUAUUUUUGAAAAUUAAAAGUAAAUUAAUGGACAUUUUGGAAAUGAAAAAAUUGACAAAUAAAGUAGUAUAGAUUAUAGAAAGUAUUAUAAUUCUUUUUUUAUUUAUUUAAGUUUAUAUACAAAUCUCAACUAGUUCUCUUUAAAAACAUUUUUAACAAUUUUUUUUACAAAUAAAAGCAUUAUAGUAAAAACAUUUUAAUAUGGAAUUAUAUCCAAAUAAAGUUUAAAAUGACCUUAAUUUAGAGUUCAUUUGAUAGUGAUUUUAGAGAGUGUUUCUAAUAUUUGAAAAUUUGUAUCAUUCAAGCUUUAAAAAUGUUAAAAACAUAUAAUAGAAUUAUUACCAAAUACAUUGAGAAAAGUGUUUUAAACUUUUUUAAACACUUAAAAUUUUUAUUUUUCAAAUAUUAGAAAAUUUAGAAACACUUCUUAUAAUUACCGUCGAACACACUCUUAUAAAGUAUUGAAUUAUUUAUAAUAUUUAUUUUUUCUUGAUUUAAGUCUUAAAGCAAUUUGUCAAAAAGUAUAUAUAUAUAUAUAUAUAUAUUAUAUUAAAAUAGUUAAAUCUCCCCAUAGAUGUAAAAAAAAACCAUGACAAUAAAUUUCAAAAUUCUAAAAAGGAAAAUGUUGAAAUAAUGGUAAGAAAUCAUGAUAUAAAAAGUAGGAUAUCAAGGAAAAAUAAUUUUAUAAACAAAAAUAAUAAUAAUAAUAAAUUUACAUAAAGUUUCCAUAAACAUGGACAUGACAAAUAUGGGAAAAAAAUUUACAAUGGGAUACUGAAUUAUCCUUUAACUCAUGCUACCAUUUUUAGCAGAAUGCCCCCACAUUUUCAUGGUUUAUAUUUAUAACAUUAGAAAAGGAUGGCAUUUUACCAUUGGUUAUAUAUAGUAUUAAAUUAUUUUUAAAAAAAAACAAUAAAGAAGAUAUUUUUGAAAUUAAAAAGACAAAUAGGAUAGUGGAUUCACUCAAAAACAAAAAAGUCAAAUUUUGACAGACAAAGGGAUGAUUCUGAGGCAGAACAGUGGAGAGGGACCAUGGGCAGGUGUCAGCAUAGAGUCUCAGUCGUCCUUCACAAAGUUGGCAUUGGGACCCAAUACUUUUUUUACUUUUUUUUUUUUGUCUAUUUAUUUAUUUUCCAAAAUAAAAAUAAAAAUUACAUAUUGGGUUUAUAUAAAGAGAGAGUUGUUGGGUGAAUGGGUGAUGAGUUGAGAACUAGAGAUAGUGGAGUAGAGAGUUGGGAGUGGGGGGGCAUUGGCCAUGGCAGGGACAGAAGUUUCAUCAUACCCUCCUCUGUUUCGUGAAGAGAAAGGGUCAAUCCAUGGGGGGGUAGAGGGAGAAGAAGGGGUGAAGGUGGGGGGUGGUAGUUCAGAGUCAGACCCACUUCCAGUGAUGGAUCUUGAAUGCAUGGAGAUGGAGAAGCUAGGAGAAGUGUGUAGAGAGUGGGGCAUUUUUCGGCUGGUCAACCAUGGGAUUCCUUUAUCUCUAUUGAGCCAACUCGAGGACCAUGCAAAAAGGCUGUUUGGGCUGCCUUUUGAAUCCAAGGAGGCCGUCUUCACCACUCCUGUGUCCUACUUUUGGGGCACCCCUGCGCUUACCAAAUCCGGAGUGGCCCUUUCACAGACCCCCCAAAAUGUCAAUUGGGUGGAAGGCUUCAAUGUUCCUCUCUCUCAAUUGCCCCUGCUUCAGACCCAGGAUCCCAUCAUUGCUUCCUUCAGGUACAUCCUCUCCUCCCUCUCAUUCCUUUUGGGUUUUUUUCUUUUCUUUUUUUUCCUUUUUGGGGUUUCUCAUGUUCUUAGUAAGUAUUAAUGAUUAAGAUUAUAUAUUUUUGGACUGAGUUUCCGGCUCUCCUCAAAAGACAAAAAGUGUGUUCCCGAGGACAUGUCACUCAAAAUAUUUCUGAUCAUUUGCCAUCAAUUAUUUCCUCUUGUACUUAAGAAUAGUGAUUCUAAGAUACCCACCACCACCCCAUAUUUGAUGGUAAAACCCCAAUCCAAGGAAACGGAAUGGGUUUCUGCAAAAGGGGAAGGAAUCCAUUUCCCGGAGACGGAGAGAGAGUUUCCUCCCCUGUACCCAUCUGCCCAUGUCAACCUUUUUUUCAAAAUUUAAAGAAAUAAGAUGAAAAUAAUGAAGAUGAUUUUCAUUGGUUUCAUUCAAAUUACAUCAAAAGUCUUAAGCAAUCAUUUUUAAUAUUCCAUUACAUUUAAUCUAAGUUUUUCUACACAUAAAUUUUUUAUAAUAAUGUUUUUAAGCUAAAAAAAGAUUAGAUGAGAUUAUUGAUUGCUUUCUAAUUUAGAUUGAGAUCGAUGCUCACCAACCGACCCCGACCCCAACCCCAAAUUGUAAUUUUAAUGGAAUGAAAUUAAAUAAUACAAGGUCACAUCAUCUAGUGCAUUCCAAUCGAAUCUUACAAAAAAAAAAAAGUAUUAAAUUAUAUAUAUAUAUAUAUAUAUGGCAUUGAGAGUGUUUUAUUAAAUAGGAAGCAUGGCCACAUGACUUAAAUAUUUGUCUCCUAUUGUGUCCGGAUUGCUUUUGUCUCUUCCUCCAAGACAAAAAGUCCUUGCUAACUAAGAAUCCUUCUUUUUGCAAUGGCCACCAUCACUUUCAUUCAUAAUUCAAUUACUUUUUCUUGGCCCCAUUUACUUUUUCUUGGCCCCAUUACAAAGGGGAAAAGGUUAAGCAAAGCUCAACGUUCAUGUCUCUCUCAUCAUCAACACCAUUUCCGUUCCCCUUUUAAUUCUAUGAAGAAAGUAUGCUACUAAAUCAUAUGCCUUUUUUGUUUCGUUUCAUGGCCCACAAGACUUAUCCUCGAGGAAUAUGGAAGGCAUUUGUCUAGAAUUGCGAGAACUCUCUUUGAGGCUAUGGCUAAGAACUUGGGACAUGAUCCAAAGCAAUAUGAGUCUAGUCUAGACGAAUCUUCCGGAAUCGUUCGAGUUUAUAGAUACCCAUUACGCCCUAAUCGUGACCAUGCAAGCCACAUGGAGGUGCACACGGACAGUUCUGUGCUCUCAAUUUUGAAUCAGGAUGAAGUCGGUGGCCUCGAAGUCUUGAAGGACGGUGAAUGGCUAAGUGCAAGUCCAAUUUCCAAUACCUUGGUCAUCAACGUUGGUGAUAUGAUGCAGGUAAGACAUAUUUUAAUUGAAUUCAAAAGCUUAAAUUAUUAGAUGAUGAAAUGUAUUAAUAAAAAUUUGUCCUUUUGAAUUAGGUUAUAAGUAACGAUAAGUACAAGAGCGUGAUUCACAGAGUGAAGGUGGCAAAAGAGAGGGAGCGGCUCUCGAUAUGUUACUUCGUGUUUCCAGAGGAAAACACCGUAAUCAAAAGCUCUAAGUAUAGACCAUUUUCGUAUAAUGAUUUUCGUAGCCAAGUGCAGGAAGACAUAAAGACCUUAGGGCAUAAGGUUGGGCUUAAACGGUUCAAGAUUAAUGAUGAUAGUGACUAAAAGUUUAUUAGGUUCAAGGGAGCUUACCAUAUUUGAUUUGUAACCGUAAUGUUAAAUAAACAAAGGGCCCAUGACCCCAAAUGGUCCCAUGGUUCAAUGAAUUAAUAAAGCUCUUAACUAUAUUCUUAGCUCAAAUGAGUCAUUUUUAUGUUAUAUAAUUGUCCACUUGAAAAAGGAUAAAAAUAAAAUAAUGAUGAGGAUAGUGGAAAAUGGGCAGGGGGGCAAGGUCCUUGGUGUACCCAAACGGUGGGAUAAGAAUGGUACUGAGAAUUCCGUAACUAGGAAUUUUGUAAAUACCAAGAGACUAGGGUACCCUAGGGCCUAGUCCUUAUCCUCAUUCCAACCAUGCAAAUGCACGUGGGGCCUUCCUCAUCUGAUUUAUUCUUUGAAAAGCUGUUGCUACCUACCCAUUGUUUUAUAUAUUUAUUAUUGGUAUCACUUUUCCGGAUUCUUGAUAAAUAUACUGCAAUUAAAAAAAAAAAAUAUUUAAAAUACUAUAGUUUGGAAAAUAAUUCCAAUUCUACGGCACUUUUGAACAUGUAGGAUAACACGUAGGAUAGAUAUGAAAACCCAUUUCCCUUCCCGUUUUUCUUCUCUUCUCUUCUCGUUUUUCUUCUCUGCAUCAAAACUCCUCUGCCCGAAAACCCACUAUCCCACACGCUGAUCAUGAGUUGGAGAUCCUUGCUUCAACACCAAUAGGAAGGAAGUGAAGUACAGAUCUGAGAAACCAUUGCCCCCGGUGUUUUCUGUAAGUUUUGUGGUUAUAUUUGGUGGUGUGGUUGUGUUUGGUCACCGAGAAAGUGUGGGAAAGUUGUAAAAAAAAUAAAGUUUUUGUUUUUUUUUACAAUGAAACUGAGUAGACUAAAAAUAAUGGAGAAAGUUUUAAUUUUUUUUGUGGUUUGGCUUGUUGUGAUUUUGUUUGGUUGCCAAGAAAGUGUGGGAAAGUUGAAAAAAAAAUUUUCCCAAUAUUUCCUACCAGUCCAGCCCGCGCACAGGGUAUCUGUCCAAUUUUUUUUUUAUUAAAAAACAUAAGCUAUUUGGUAAUCUGAUCAUGAUUUGAGGAGAAAGGUGAUCAUGAUUUGAGGGGAAAGGUUGUGUUUUUCAGCGUGGCUCAAAAAUCGUGGAUUUAGGGUUUGUGAAAUUUCAAUCCAAUGGCACAAAAGCAAAGAGACCCCUGGACAGAUCCAGAAAGCACGGAGCAAAAAAAAAACAUUUUUUUGUUUGUUUUUUUAGGGGGUUUUGCAUGGACUUUCCCGGAAAGCAAAUGGGGGAUGGAUUUUCUUGGGAAUCAAACGGGGAUUGCACAAACUUGGGAAUCAAACGGGGGUUGCAACAAAAUAAAAAAAUAAUAACCUGAUUAGAUUAGUACCUACAAUAAUUGAAAUUGAAAAUUUGUUUUUUUAGGGGGUUUUCCAUGGAUUUUCCCGGAAAGCAAAUGGGGGAUGGAUUUUCUUGGGAAUCAAACGGGGAUUGCACAAACUUGGGAAUCAAACGGGGGUUGCAACAAAAUAAAAAAAUAAUAACCUGAUUAGAUUAGUACCUACAAUAAUUGAAAUUGAAAUUCAAAUUUAAAUUCAAGGAGACACUUUCAGUAUAAACCAAUUUUUUAAAAAUUAUGAAAGGUGUCCGAAUAUAAUUCCAUUUUUUUGUAAUUAUGGAAGGUGUCUCUUCAAGAGACACCUUCAGCAUAAAUUCAAAAUUUUCCACUGUUUGAAUGGAAAUUGUGGAAAGUGUCUUUUGAACAAGCACUUUCAGUAUAAACCCAAUAUUUUUAAAAUUGUGGAAGGUAUCAAGAAACACAUUUCACAAUUCCCAAAAAAUGGAAUUAUAUUGAAGGUGUCUCUUCAAGAGACACCUUCUAUUAUUUUAAAAAAAUUGGUUUAUACUGAAAGUGUCUCUUGAAGAGACACUUUCCACAAUUUUCAUACNNNNNNNNNNNNNNNNNNNNNNNNNNNNNNNNNNNNNNNNNNNNNNNNNNNNNNNNNNNNNNNNNNNNNNNNNNNNNNNNNNNNNNNNNNNNNNNNNNNNAUCAUGAUUUGAGAAGAAGGUGAUCAUGAUUUGAGGGGAAAGGUUGUGUUUUUCAGCGUGGCUCAAAAAUCGUGGAUUUAGGGUUGUGAAAUUUCAAUCCAAUGGCACAAAAGCAAAGAGACCCUUGGACAGAUCCAGAAGCACGGAGCAAAAAAAAAACAUUUUUUUGUUUUUUUUUUAGGGGGUUUUGCAUGGACUUUCCCGGAAAGCAAAUGGGGGAUGGAUUUUCUUGGGAAUCAAACGGGGAUUGCACAAACUUGGGAAUCAAACGGGGGUUGCAACAAAAUAAAAAAAUAAUAACCUGAUUAGAUUAGUACCUACAAUAAUUGAAAUUGAAAAUUUGUUUUUUUAGGGGGUUUUCCAUGGAUUUUCCUGGAAAGCAAAUGGGGGAUGGAUUUUCUUGGGAAUCAAACGGGGAUUGCACAAACUUGGGAAUCAAACGGGGGUUGCAACAAAAUAAAAAAAUAAUAACCUGAUUAGAUUAGUACCUACAAUAAUUGAAAUUCAAAUUCAAAUUUAAAUUCAAGGAGACACUUUCAGUAUAAACCAAUUUUUUAAAAAUUAUGAAAGGUGUCCGAAUAUAAUUCCAUUUUUUUGUAAUUAUGGAAGGUGUCUCUUGAAGAGACACCUUCAGCAUAAAUUCAAAAUUUUCCACUGUUUGAAUGGAAAUUGUGGAAAGUGUAUUUUGAACAAGCAUUUUCAGUAUAAACCCAAUAUUUUUAAAAUUGUGGAAGGUAUCAAGAGACACAUUUCACAAUUCCCAAAAAAUUGAAUUAUAUUGAAGGUGUCUCUUCAAGAGACACCUUCUAUUAUUUUAAAAAAAUUGGUUUAUACUGAAAGUGUCUCUUGAAGAGACACUUUCCACAAUUUUCAUACAUUAAAGAGAGACAUCUUUAGCUUUAAAAUCAUUUCCACAAAUAAAAUACAUAUUGGAUUUUGUGGAAUUGUGUAAAGUGUCUUUCCAAGAGACACAUUUAGUAUAAAUCUAAUUUUUUGGAAUUCUAGAAGGUGUCUCUUAAAGAGACACCUUUGGUAUAAAUUAAAAUUUUUAGAAAUUGUAGAAGGUGUCUCUUCAAGAGACAUCUUUAGCUUUAAAAUCAAAUUUAUAAGACAUUCAAAUUUUUGAGGAAAGUGUCUUUUCAAGAGACACCUUUAAUGAAUAUUGGAUUUUUUGCCACGUGGAAAGUGUCUCUGCAAGAGACACCUUUAAUACAUAUUGGAUUUUUUGCCAUGUGGAAAGUGUUUUUUCAAGAGACAUCUUUAAUAUAAAUCAAAUUUUCUGAAAUUGUAGAAGGUGUCUCUUGAAGAGACACCUUUAGCUUAAAUUCAAUUCUUUCAUGAUUUUGAAAAUUGUGGAAGGUGUCUCUUCAAAAGACACCUUCCACGUGGCCAAAAUUGCCGUAAAUCUAUCAAUAUUUUCAAAACUACCAUUUUUUAAUUAUAAUUUUUUAAAAUUGCCGCAAAAGUUAAAAAAGCCCUCACUUUUCCUCAUGUUUCGUGAAAACACGUGUUGUAGGCUUAUAGCAUCCAUACCGUUUUCAUCCUUUCUCUCUAUUGUGUUCGUGACAGGACAAAAAUAAAUUUAAAAUUUAAAUUUUAAAAUUUAAAAUACAAGCUAAUCCCCACCACUUAAGGUUCCCGACCAAAGUCAUGAAUCUAGUAAUUUACAUUUCCUUUAUUAUACAUUUAAUGCAUAUGGAAAGAAUACGUGUAUAAAGUGUGCAAAAAAUGCAUCGUGACUAAAUUCAUGACCCUAUUAAAUUGUGUAGAUGUACAAUAACUAGAAUCAUGUUCCUACGUUAAAAUUUUCGUGUACCAUUAAUACUAUAUAGAAUUAAAUGGGAAAAGUGGAUUUACGUGGUUAGAAGGAAGUGUUUAUUUGUGACUCUUAAGGGAAGGUGCUUGACAUGAAAAUGAUGAGAUUAAAAUACAAAUGAAUACAUCAAAGGUAUAAUAAUAUAAGGUCAAAGACAAAGUAAUGGAACCUUACAUAUGAUACAAAUGAAUAAAAUAUAUGACUAUAUAUAUAUAUUUAUAUUGAUAUUUAAAUAAUAAAUAGAAAAAUACUUAAAAAAAAAUUAGGGAGAAUUAUCUUUUGGGGGUAGAUGGGCCCCCAAAUUAACAAAAGGUCCAUAUAACUCUUCAAAUUGAGUUGAAGGAUAUGAAAUGGUAACGGACAAAUAUACCCUUUAAGAACACAUAUAAAAUAUUUUAUAAAAUUAAGUUAAAUAAUUUUUUUUUCAAAAAUACUAAAUUAAAUAAAAGUAGUUUUCAAAAAUAUUAAAUUAAAUAAUUUUUUUUUCAAAAAUAUUAAAUUAAUUUAUUUUUAAAAAAUAUUAAAUUAAAUUAAAGUAUUUUAAAAAAUAUUAAAUUACAUAAAAGUAUUUUUUAAAAAUAUUAAAUUAAAUAAAAAAUAUUAAAUUAAAUAAAAGUAUUUUUCAAAAAUAUUAAUUUUUUUCUCAAAAUCAACAAAGGGCAUUUUUGGAAAUACUGAAAGAUGAUAUCCUUCAACUCAAUUUUCAUAUUUUCAUUGGGUAUUGGGCUCAAUUUAAAGAGUUACAUGAACCUUUUGUUAAUUUGAGGGCCCAUCUACCCCCAAAACAUAAUUCUCCCAAAAAAUUAUGUAUUUUUUAGUAAAAAAAAAAAUGAAACAUAUUUAAAAAUAUUAAAAAAUAAAUUAAAAAUAGUUUAGGUUAUUUUAAAAUCGUUUUUUAGAAUAUUUUUUAAAACACUUCUCAAAUGGAACCUAAUUUGUUAGAUUGGAUACUGGGUCAAUCCAAAAACAUUCAACUCAAUUUCAAACAAAACUAUUCUUGAAAUUGAUAUACUUGUGUUAAAAAAUCAAGUAAAUAAGAUCCCUCAAUUUUAGUUUAAUGGAACAAAAUAGAUUUGCAAAACUCACCUUGUGUCAUGUGAUAAAGAUCACCUUUCUUGGAUUGUCUAUAAUGUUGAGUCACUUGGUAGCACUUUAUCUCCUUGUAUUGGUAUCGACACUUUGUAUCUUCCUUCUCCUCUCUCUUGUUAAAUGUUUGUAUAAAGUGAUGAGAAACCUUAUAAAACUUCGAAUGAGUGGAGAGGGACAAAAAAUUGUUUUAUAUCAUGUUAACUAAACUUCUAUCAAUAGUUAUAAAUGAACACUUCCUUCCCGUUGCAUGAAUCCACCUUUUCCACUUAGUUCCAUGUAGUAUUGAUGAUAUAUGAGAAAUUUAAUCAAUGUAGGCACAUGACUUUAGGGCAUUGUACCUUGUAUUUUCCAUACACCUUAUACACUUAAUCUUCUCACAUACAUUCAAUGUAUGAUGAAAGGACAUGUAAAUUCAUUAGGUUCAUGACUUUAUUCAUGAACCAUUAAGAUAUGGGGAUUAACUUCAUGUGGUCAUGAAGGCCACAAUAAUUCUAAUAACUUAAUCUAAAUCAAAUCCAGUUUCAUUCUUUUUAAAAUUUAGGUGCUUUGUACUCAUUGAAUUGAUCAAAUUGUAGAUCGAGAAAGAAACUAAAUUAGAAAUUAAGGUGACGUUUAAUUUUUAGUUGAAUAGAAAAAGUCAAAAUAUUUUGUUUUUUUUUAUUUAGUUAAAAGUAACAUUUUAAUAUUAACUAACAUAAUUAAAAUGAACUCAACUUUAGUUAUAUUGGUUAAUAUUAACAAGUUAUUUUUAAUUAAAUAGAAAAAGACGAAUAUUUUGGCUUUUUCUAUUUAACCAAAAAAAUAAACAUCACCUAAAUUAUAAAUUAUUAAUUACCUCACUUUAAAUUUUGGGGACAAAGUAUAAAAUCUUUAAAUUAUUUUAUAUUUUUUAUAACUAAGUUAUUGAUUAUGAUAAAUGUUGUCCAUUUUAUAGAUAUAUGUAUAUAUGUUGGUAAUUAUCUAGAUUUUUAUUUUUUAACUAAUUACUACAAAUAAAUUUUUUGAAUCAAAAUUUAUUAAAGUAACUUUAGAUAUAUACAAUAACAAAUAACAAUAAUUGAAUUUUGGGAGAGGUUACACUUCAAAAGAAAGUAAUUAAUAAUUAUGAAAAUUUGAAUUUAUUAUUUAAGAUAACAAAUACUUGUGUGAAUUGUUUUAUUUUUAAAAGUCUUAUACUUGUAUAGGUAAUCUUCUUGGGACUUGCAAGAGGCCAAAAAUAAAUGAAGGAAAAAAAUAAAUGAUGGUGAAGCUUAAUACACAACUUUUCAUAAACCAGCAUCAAUGUGAAUUCUUCCAUCUUAAUUAAAGUUAUUCACAAUAUUAUUAUUAAUUUCCUCUUAACUUUUCAAAUUAAUCCAUAUUCUCCUAAAGUACACUUUAGAAUGCACAUGAUCCAAAUCCCUUUCACUACCUUCACACUUAAUUCAUCAACUCUGAAUUCAUUUCAAAGUACAUAUUAUAAAUCAUUAAAUUUUGAUUGUAGUUUCUAAGUAAAAAUAUAUGUUGUAAGAUUAAUUAGUUAUUGCAAAAUAAUAAGAAAACAUAAUGCUAAAUUGAAAUAAUGAGUGAAAUUUUAUCACUUAAACACUCAAGUCAUGUUUGAUUAGUCGGAUAUAACAUAAGAUAAGACAAAAGAAUAAAUAUUAUAUUAUUUCUCAUAUUUGGUUUAUGAUAGGAUAAGAUAAGUUAUCUCAUCACUUAUCUUAUUUUAUAUUCAACCAAAUACGAGAUAAGAUAAGUAAUGAGAUAUAUCAUCCUUUUUUUUUUUUUUUUUAUCAUUUUUAUAUGAGAUGUGUUAAUCUCGUACUAAGGAGAUAUAUUAAUCUCACGAGGAGAUAUGCUAAUCUCCUGCUAAGAAGAUAUGAGAUACGAAUAUCCCAUGUAUCAUAAAUUUCUAUUUUAUCAAUUUUUAAUAAUAUUAAUAUAUGAUAUAUAAAUUAUUUUUAUAUAUUAAAUAACAUGAUAUAAAAAAAAUUUAUUGUAAAAUUUAAAUAUUUUAAUCAUGAAUAUUAUUAAUUCUAAGAGAGAUUUCAUUUUUCCUAAAUAGAAAAUAUUGGAAUGUAAUAUAAUUUUUAUUUUAAACAUUGAAAAUAAGAUAUAAUAUAGUAUUUUCACCUUAAAAUAUAAGGUGAUAUAUAUAUAUUCAAAAAUAAAAAAUGAAUAUAAUAUAAUAUAGUAUAAUAUAUCUUAUUUGAUAUAUCACCUCAUGUUUAUAAGAUAUGCAUAUUCAAAAUAUCAUAUUCUAAUAAAAAUCAUAUUUUAGGGUAUGUGUUUUGUAUCUAAUGGAUAUGAUAUCUUAAAAUAUACACAUCAUAUCAUAUCCUAUCCCACCAACUAAACUUAACUUCAAUAAGUGAAAUUAUUAUUAUUAUUUAUUUGGAUGAAUAUACAAAAAAUUCUUUUACCAUACAUAAAUUUGUUAUGAAUAUGUAUAUCACAUGAGUUAUUUGAUUCGGUAAUUGGAUUAAAAGAAAUAAAAUAAACACAAAAUCAAAUAAAAGAUAACCCACCAUGACUUUCUAGAAAAUUUCAAUAUUUUAUUAUAAACUUUUUAAAAUUUUUUGAAAUAGCUAAAUAUAACUAUGACAAUUUUUACCGUUUUUUUCAAUUGGGCUAUUGUUAAUUUUGAAAGAAAAAACCAACAAAAGAAAAAACAAUGGAUAAUAAUAAUUAAAAAGAAAAAGACAACAGAUAGUAAAACAUAUAAGAAAUUUAGAAUUAAAUUAAAAGAGAAAAUAUAUUAAUAGAAAAAAAAAUAAAGAAAAUAAGCAAGUCUAACUAGUAUACAAUAGAACACUGUUAAGGAAAAUUAACAAAUCUUGAAAAGAAAAAUGUAAAAUAUUUUUUGGCUACAAUUUAGGAUACUAAUACAAUAAAAUAAAACAAUUUUCAAGGUUAAAGGAGGGAAAAAAAAAGGAGGAAAAAAACAGGAAAACAAAAUAUCAAUAAAACAAAACAAAAUACAUCUUAUGGGAGAGAUCCUAUAAAAAAAUGAAAAAGAAAUAAAAUAAAACAAAAUACCAAUAAAACAAAACAAAAUACAUGUGAUGGGAAAUAUCCUAUAAAAAAUGGAAAAUAAAACAAAAUACCAAUAAAACAAAACAAAUGAAAAAUAUAAGUGUAGUUUCCUUUUACAAAAGAUGGAAAAGACACAAUAGCCAUACUAAUAAUUAAGUUUGAAGGAGAGAAUAUAGAUGAUUGUCAUGGUCAAAUGGAGGAAACUGAAGAGUCAUUGUGAAUGAAAAUUGUUAGCACAAGGGUUCUCCUAAUAAGGUUUUAAUGAAAACAAAUCAUGAUUAAUUUACUAAUUGGUUUGAAUUAUAAAGAAUUUUAAGUGUUAAUUUGAAAAUUCAUCAAAGAACCAAAUGAAUGCAAGAUCAAGACCUUUAGAAGACUUUUAACCAUAGAAAACAUAUAUAAGGUGAAUGCAUGAGUGCACUUAAGAUUAACAUAUAAUUUCAUGCAUCUUUGAAAAACUUGAUUUAUUAUUUAAAGUUACAGUUUCAUCAAAACUCGAAUUUUAUCAAAUAAACCUUAGGAAAAUCACUUCAAAAUUGUCAUAUUAAUUUACCUAAAGAUCUUGCCUAAAUGUUAAAAGAGAAAAUACCCAAAAAAUAUAAGUUUUCAGGCAAAAAAUGGUGAAUCAGUCGAGAUACUAGCCAACAGGCUCAACCGGCCAGGGUAUUAGUCGACGGGUUCCCUCUUCUCGAUCGAGGUAUUUGUCUUCCCGGUCAAGGUAUUUUCCUUCCCGAUCGACCUCCGAUUGAGGGUAACGGUCACCUGUCAAGCAUUAAAUGCUCCAACGGCUAAUGAACCGGUCGACCCCAACUCGAUCGAUUGAGGUUGUUUUUUGGUUUUCUUGGUUCUCGUGGUUAGAAACUUAUAAAUAGAGAGUUCCACUUCAUUUUUGAGAAAGAGAACACUUAUAUUUAUUUGUCUACCUACUUGUUCUUGUCUUAAAAGCUCUCAUUCAUUUCUUGGUGCAUUAAAUCCCAUUUGCAUAUCCUUUAGUGCACUUUUAUGAUUCAUCCUAGCAUUGAGUUGUAUUUGAGCUUUUGUUGAGCUAAAUUGAGUGUGUAAAAGUAUUUGAGUGAGUUGAAACUUGAAGAGGUUGUGUAAGAGCCAAUUAGAGCUGGAAUCCAAGUGUAAAGGUGAUUAGAAACUUGGUUGAAGUUUCAAGUUAGUGGAACCCUCACUCGGUUAAGAGCUUGAAGAAAAUGGACGUAGGCAAGGAAGUGUUGAACCACUAUAAAAUCUGAGUUUGAUUUCUCUAACCUUCUUUUGUGCUUAAAUUUGUUGUGUUUAAAAGAAUUUUUAAAAACUCAAUUCACCCCCCUAUUGAGUGUUUUUCUCUUUUUAAGAUUUGCCUUUAUUUUCUCAAGAAUGAAUCGAUGUUAGCAUACAAAGGAAUGAAUGGAUUUCAUUGUCGUUGGUGGAUAGGAGAUAAGGAUUUUUAGGGUUUUUUUUUUUUUAAUGAGAAAUACAAAAUAAAUAGAUAUUUGGUCAAGAAGGAAUUAAGUGAAAAGAGAAUUAAAUGCGAAAUGAAUUAUAUGAGUUGAAAAGUCUCCAAAUAAAUCAAUAUUUUUUUAAGAGAAUCAUUAUCUAAAUCAUUUAUAGUUAUCCACAAGCAUUAUCUGAAUUAAUUAAAUAAAAUAAUUAAUGAUAUAACUAUGAGAUGAUAAUGCCAUUUUAGGAAAGAAAAAAAAAAAAAAAGGAGUUCGAGAAACAUUCAGGCUUUGCUUUUAUUUUUGGAGACCUCUUUCUGGAGAAAAACCAGCUGCAUGGACGUGUGGCAAAGGGCAUGGCUGGCCAUGGUGGUGGUUGAGGAUGACAUAUUCCCUGAAUAAUGCACAGUGGAGCAGGUAGUGCAUUACAGAGGAAGACAGAAACAAGGGAGAGGUCUUUUAGCUGAAGAGGGUGAGAAGGAAAAUGGGGAAGCGACACUUUUUUAAGGGGUUUUUUUUCAGAUAGCUUGAGGAAAGCAAGGGGAGGGCUCGCCCGUUUGUCAAGGUACGAUUACAUCAUGCUUUAUAUUCUUCUAGUCCACAUUGUUCUGUUCUACCUCCAUUUUGAUGUCCAAUGAUGAACAUUAUACGUUGUGCACGUUUGGAGACUCUGGGAUUGCUUUCUGUUUCUAUCUUAUGUCUGUUAUUGAUUUCAUUUCUUUGGCUCUGCUUUGAUUCCCCUUCGAGAUGCCCAAAUCAUGCUUUUAUUCCUGUUAAAAAUGUGUUUAGUUUCGCUCACUCGUUUAAGCUCGUUGUUUAGAGCAUGAAAUAGGGUUUCGUUCAAUGGUUUGCCAUUUUCUAUUUCUAUUCUCCACCUAUACUCUGUUUUUGGUUGCUUACCCAUAUCUCACCCAUGCCUCUGCCACCCUAAAUUUCCCGAUUGCUACCCAACAACCACCCAACAACUAAGGUUGAGCCGCUCGGCCCAAAAAAAUAAGGUGGUAGUCUCUCUCGCCCCCGCAGCUACACCGACGUCAAAAUUCAACUCUUCCCAGGUGGAUCCGCCUGUACCGGUCUUCGAUCUGUUUCUUUCAUAGGCAGAUGAGGCUCAUUGGUCUAUGGGUGGCCUAAACUCUAAGCGCUGCGAACUCCAAGGCCGCAUCGAAGGUAGCCUUAAGAAGUUCCAAGCAGAGCGCGAAAGGUUCAUGAAGAUAGCCGAGAAAGGUGUCGUUGGGUUUGCCUCCAAGCGUCGCCAUUAAAAUUGAUGAUAACGUCGGUGGAAAACAUUUGUCCCCUUCUCCACCUUCUGUUUCGCCUCCUCCGGCACUUGUGGCGGUGAAACGGUAGCGUUUAGUGGUGAAUGAUGACGAAGCUCUCCACCAUACCCAUGCCCUUAUCCGCCUGCCUAUGCGGUGGCUCACAAGCAGCAGCUCCCACCCCAUUCCUCCAUUUCAUCAUUGUCGUCAUCAAUGUGCCUCCAAGCGUCGCCAUUAAAAUUGAUGAUAGCGUCGGCGAAAAGCAGCUAUCCCCCUCUCCACCUUUUAUUUCGCCUCCUCCAGCACUUGUGGCAGUGAAGCGACAACGUUUAGUGGUGAAUGAUGACGAAGCUCUCCACCACACCCAUGCCCUUAUCCGCCUGCCUAUGCGGUGGCUCACAAGCAGCAGCUCCCACCCCAUUCCUCCAUUUCAUUAUUAUCGUCAUCAAUGUGCAAGCCCUAUUCCUCACCGCUAGCCUGCUGCCCAUUGACCUUCAACUUAGCAUUUUAAAAAUGGGGUGAGGGCUUUCCUUGAUCUUCAUGGUAGAUAUUUUGAGCAGUGGGUUUUGUUGGUAGGCUCCCAAGGCAUUGAGUUGUGGGCCUAAGUUGGUUCAUGUAGGCCUUAAGCCCACUCUUUGAGUUUAGGCCUGAUUAGUUUAUAUUGGGCUUCACUACAAGCUACUUGGCAUGUUGUUUUUUUUUAUUAGAUUGCUCUAAGCCAUUGUCCGUUUAGUGUAAACCCCAAUGGGCCAAGCACUUGGCCCUCUCAAGUCUUCAUAUUUUUUUUAAUGAUACAAAUGUAAUUUUUUUUUAUUAAAAAUCUCAUCCUCAAAUAACCUUUCAAAAUUCACUUUCUAUUCAUAUAUUCCAAAUUUCAAAUCCUUUUCCGAAAUUCCAAUUUUUAAAGUUUAGUUUACCAAACUUUAAUUCUCGAAAAUUCAAUUUUCCAAAACUCCAUUUUUAAAUUUAAUUAUACAAAAUACCAUUUUUGAAAUAAUUUCCUAAAAUUUGAUUUUAAAUUUAGUUUAUAAAACUUUGAUUCCCCAAAAUUCAAUUUACCUAAACUUUGUUUUUUUUAAAAUUCAAUUUUCCAAGUUCCCAUUCUUGAAAUAAUUUUCUAAGGUUCUAAUUUUAGGUCUAAUUCUUCAAGAUUCAAAUUUUUAAAUUUAAUUCUCCAACAAAAUUCCAUAGUUCCGAAUUUAAUCCUUUUAAAAUGUCACCUUCAAAUAAAUUUCCGAAACUCCAUUUCCUUUCAAAUCAAAUCUUCAAAAAUUUCAUUCUCAAAUAAAUCUUCAAAAAUCCCUUUUCUUAUACUUAAUCUUCAAAUUUCCACUUCCAAAUAAUUUUUCAAAUUUUCGAUUUCCGAAUUUAAUUUCCAAUUUCCACAAUUCCAACUUUUCACACUUAUUUAUUAUUUAAUCAUUAUUAUUUUCGUUAUUUUUAUCAUUAUUCCAUUCAUUUAUUUAUUUAUUUCCUUUAAAAAUUCCAAUCAUUAAAGUUCAAUUUUUCAAAAUUCCAUAUUCCAAAUUCAAUUUUCAAUCUAAAAAAUUCCACUAUUAACUUCAUUCGUUUAAAUAUUAUUUUCGUUAUUAUUAUUAUUAUUAUUCCAUUUAUUUAUUUAUUUAUUUCUUUUAAAAAUUUCAAUCAUUAAAGUUCAAUUUUUCAAAUUUCCGUUUUCCAAAUUUAAUUUCCAAUCUCAAAAUUCCACUAUUCACAUUCAUUUGUUUAAUGAUUAUUUUCAUUAUUAUUAUUAUCACAUUCAUUUAUUUAUUCACUUAUUUAUAUAUUUAAAAUCUCAUCUCUAAAUAAUUUUUCAAAUUUUCAAUAUCUAACUUCAAUCUCCAAUCGCUAAAAUUCUAUUUUUCGCAAUUAUUUACCUAAUCUUUAUUAUUCUCCUUAUUAUUAUUAUUCCAUUCAUUUAUUUAUUCGCUCAUUCAUUUAUCUAAAAUUCCAUCUCUAAAUAAUCCUUCGAAUUUCCAAUCUCUAAAUUCAAUUUCCAAUUUCUAAAAUUCUACUUUUCAUAAUUAUUUAUCCAAUUUUUAUUAUUUUCGUUAUUCCAUUCAUUUACUUAUUUACUUAUUCAUUUAUUUAAAAUUCCCUCUCUAAAUAAUUCUUCAAAUUUCCAAUCUCUAAAUUCAAUUUCCAAUUUCCAAAAUUCUCAUCUUCGUAAUUAUUUAUCCAAUCAUUAUUAUUUUUGUUAUUCUAUUCAUCCACUUGUUCAUUUAUCUAAAAUUUCAUCCCUAAAUAAUUCUUUAAAUUUCCAAUCCCUAAGUUCAAUUUCCAAUUUCCAAAAUCCUAACUUUCACAAUUAUUUAUCCAAUCAUUAUUAUUUCGUCAUUAUUAUUAUUCCAUUUAUUUAUUAUUCACUUAUUCAUUUAAAAUUCCGUCUUUAAAUAAUUCUUCAAAAUUCCGAUUUCCAAAUUUAGUUCUGUGAAAUUUCAAUUUUCCAAUUUCCGAACUUAACUUCUAGCAUUUUAUUCAUUUAUUUCUAAAAAUUUUGUUUUCGAAUGAUUUCCAAGUUUUCCAAUUUUUAUAAUUCAAUUUUCAUAGUUUUUACUUCUCAAAUAAUUUUCAAUUAUGAUUUCUUUCAAAAUUUAGUUUCCAAAGUCCCAAUUUUCGUAAUUUAAUUUUUUAAAAAUCUCAAACUCUUAAAUAAUUUUCAUUUAAAAGUCUCAAUUUCUUUCAAAUUUAAUUUCUAAAAUUCUCAUUCUUACAUUUAAUUUCUAAGACUCCAAUUUUCAAAUAAUCUCUAAAAAUCCAAUUUUCAAAUAAUUUCUAAGACUCCAAUUUUCAAAUAAAUUUCAAAAAUUCAGUUUUCCCUUGAAUAGUUUUAAUUUUUGUUUGAUGAUGCAUGUGAUAUGUUUUGUACUCUUUAGUGUACACUGACCCCAUUUUUAUGAUAGCGCAUUGCUCGUUCGUGGCCCAGGUAUGCAUCCACUCCCGUUUUGGUCAUUCUCUAUGCAUGUUUUGAUUCCCAUAUGUGCAUGAUCGAUUUGAGUAUUCAUUGAUUUUUCUAUUGAUUGUCACAUCAGUUUCAUUUUAUUAUUAGAGACUCGACUUUAGGGACUUAGAGGGGUGUAACGGUCUUUACCGUACCUUCCCGAUAAGUAACCUGACCCCAAGCUCAAUCCGGUUUUCCAACAUCAAGAGUCACACUUAGGGUUUUCUUUCUUAUUUUGUUUAUCCUUUUAAAAAUAAAACAAAAAUAAGUGGCGACUCCAAGUAAUUUUUUUUAAUAAAUAAAAUCAUUUUUAAAUAAAAAUCGAGUUCGCCAUCGAGUGGAAGCGCAUGGGCCGAAAUACGAGGUCCACACCUACCAUAUUCUAUUAAGUUCCAUUAUGGAAAAAAAAAAGUCUUCACAUAUUAUAAUAUGUUUAACGGAUUAUUUAAUUAAAGAUCAAUCCUUCAAUUUUGAAAAUUAUUUUUUAUGGUUAAUUUGUUUAGUAAAGUAAAUAAAUAAUUAAUUUUUGGAGUGUUUGAUAAAACUUAAUAUUUAUUACUUAUUAUUUAAUAACUUAAGUUGAUUUUAAGUUAAAUUUUACAAAAGUGAAGUUAUUGAUUUAAAAUUUAUUACUUAAUUAUUGGUUGUUUAAUAAAAUUAACUUAAAAUUUAUUUUAAAUUAUCAAAUUAAUAUAUUUAUCCUCAUAAAUUAUAAUUAGAGUAAAAUAGGUUGAGUUAAUAAUGAAAGUCAUGGAAUGACGAAGAAAAUUGUGAAGUUAAUUAGGAUAAAUGAGGAUAAAAAAAUAAAAAUAAAAAUGUGAAUUUAAGAAUUAAUGAAUUAUUUUUACUUAUUACUUAAAGUUGUUUUUAACUUUAAAUCACACCAUUAAGUUAUUUUAUCAAACAUAAUUUACUUCAUAACUUAAAUUAAGUUAUUAAGUUGGUUUAUCAAACAAUCACUUACAUUUACUAGAUAUAUUAUUAAAAAAAUGGUUUUCUAUUACUAUUAUGUUUAUAAAUACUUUCAUUUUAUUACAUUUUUUUUUCUCGCAUUGCUUAUAUUUUAAAUAAAAUAUUUAAAUUUUAUAAUAUUUAUUGUAAAUAUAAAAGAAAAACGAAUGUUAUAAAUAUGUUGGCUUAAACCUAAUAGGAAAGUGAGAGUAUUCAUAGUUUGUAGAAAAAAGUCUUUCAAUUAAAAAUCUUAUUUGAUAUCAAAAUGAAGGAAGAUUCAAAAUUUUAGUAUCCUAUUUUGAUCAUCAUAAUUUUACACAAUAAUCUAAUAAUUUAACUUAUUAAAUAAUUAAAUAUUAUUUUUAAAACUCAAAACACUUUUUAAAUCAAUUUUUUUUAUCAAAUAUUUACAAAUUUACAAUAAAAUUCACUAAAACUUACAAUAAAAUCACAUUAAGGAUAUGUUUGACAACUGUUUUCAAUAACAAUUUUCUAUAAAAAAAAAAACAAGAAAACACAUUUGAAUUGUUUUUUGUUUUUUGUUCUUAAGAGUAUAAACAAUAUUUUUAUAGAAUAUCUUUUAGUUGUUUUUACUUGUUUUUAAAAGGGUUGUUUUAGAAAAUAAUUACAUAAGCGCGUAGAAUGAUUAAAAAUAAAUAUUGAAUAUAAGAAUUAUUUUUAAAACAUAUUUAAAAAUAAUAAAAAUAUGUUAAAAAUAUUUAAAUUUUCUAAACGGACUUUUAUUUUAUAAAACAUUAGAAAAAAAAUGUUUAAAAACAGUUUUCGAUCAGGACCUAACCUUCUCAAUGCAUCAAAGGCACAACUUGCAUAGCAUAGACCCCCUUUGGUAUAUAUAUAUAUUUAUUAUUUCUCAUUUAUAAAUUAUAUUAAAUAAAUAUAAUUUAUAAAUAAAAAAUAUUAUCAAUCGUUAUAAUUUAUUUUUCUUCGAAUAAGAUUUUUUAUUUUAUUUUAUAUAUGUUAGAAAAAUAAAAAAUAAAAAAAAUUAUUUUUUAAUUUUAAUUAUAUACAUAAUUCCAAAUAAAAUUUAUUUUAUUUUAUUUUAAACUUUUUUUUAUAAAUACGCAAAAAAAAAAACAAUUUAUUAAUUUUUUCUUACCAUUUCUUUUCUUAUAUCUUAUUCUUAUUUAAUUAAAUUCUCAAUUAUAAGCCAUGCAUGUCUCAACUAUCCGCACUUUGAAAAAGUAAGAGCAUCAAAUGAAAGCACUUCAAAAGUUUUUUUUUUUGAAAUAAUGAUAGAUCUUAUUAAUGAGAAGAAAUAGAAACAUCAGAGGCUAAGAUAGCUCCUAAUAGAGGUGGAGCAUCCCGCCAAAAACUUGGACUAGCAAAAGAGCUUGCUGCUUUUGCAAGAGCAUCAGCAGCAGCAUUGCUUGCCUUUUCACAUGACAUAGAGUAAAACUUUGAUCUAAAAAUAGAGAUCUAUAAUCUUGAAUAAGCAUGCCAAAUUCAGACCUAUCAAGAGCUUUAGAGUAAAAUGCAUCAUAAACACCUUUAGCAUCCAAUUCUACUAUAACAUUUGAAACACGCAGCUCCAAUAGCCAUCUUGCAGCUUCACGUAACCCCAAAGCUUCAGUCUCCUUAGGAGAACUCACACCAUUAACAACCUUAGAGUAGCAACCAACAAUAGAGCCGAAUUCAUUUUGGUAGAAUCACACCCAGCCCGAUGGUUUGAUGUUCUGAGAAAAUCGCUGCAUCCACAUUACAUUUCAACAUUCCCGGGGAAGGUUUACUCCAUUUGACCUGAGUGUUGGCAUUUCCAUUAGAAAGCUUUUGAUCAGAACCUAAUCUUGCAUCUAACCAAUCUUUUAGGAACGAUAAGCUAGCAGAGACUGUUUGAGUAGGAGAUGAGACACUAUUAUUCCAUAACAAGGAGUUUCUCUGCCUCCAUAUACCCCAAAUGAUAGACCCAACACGCCCCAUCACUUCUUUAUCAACAUUAGUGAGGAACAUGAAAAACCAGUCAAGAAAAGAAUAGACACCAUUAACUGAGGGAAUCAAGUCAACUUGUGACCAACAUGAAAGAGCAAAUGGACAUGAGAGAAAAAGAUGCAUUAAAUCCUCUUCAUGUCCUCCACAGAGUAAACACGUAUCAAUCAUAGGCAUACCUCGUGCAUAGAGAGCAGACCUGGUAGGUAGACAUCCUUUGCAAGCACGCCAUAGACAUAAUUUUAUCUUUGGUGGGAUAGACAAAUCCCAUAGCAUAUUCCAUGCUACAGGCCGUGAAGGCAAAUUACCAUGCAAGGAAAGCCAUCUCGCUAUACGAUACCCUGAUUUCAUCGUGUAGUUUCCAUGAUUGUCCCAAUGCCAAAUGAGCGAAUCAGGUAGAGACUUUGAGCUCAAAGGAAUACUAGCAAUGGCUUGAGCAUCCCUAGGUGAAAAUAUCUCCCCAAGUAAUUCCAUAUCCCACUCCUUACAACCGUGGAUCCAGAGAUCAUGAACUUUUAAGUGAGCUAAGUCAUGAAUAAUAGGAGUUUCAACUUUAAAGUUUUUCGCAUCCUUAAGCCAAGGGUUGUUCCACACAUCAAUACUACAGCCAUCUCCAAUUCUCCACCUACUACCCUUUAAGAGAAUGACUCGAGAACUCCAUAUCCCUUUCCAAGUAAAACUUGGAUUAUGGCCCAGACGAGCUGAAAGAAAAUCCCUAGAACGGUAAUAUCUAGCUUUGAGGAGUCUAGCAAUAAGAGAGUUUGGUUUAGUGAUCAAGUUCCACCCUUGUUUGCCUAGCAUGGCUAGGUUGAAAUCACGGAGAUUACGAAAACCUAGUCCACCUUCUUCUUUCCGAAGGCAUAAUUUAUCCCAACUGAGCCAAUUAAUACGCCUUCCUCUAUCGGACUUCGGGCCCCACUAGAAAGAGUUCAUCAUUUUUUGUAGCUCUUCACUUAGAGAAAAAAGCACUUCAAAAGUUAACAACCAAUCUUAGUAUAAAAAUAAAAGUAUAUCCUAAAAAUAGAUUAAAAUAAAAAAAAAAAUGUAUAUCCUAAACUUACCUUAUAUUUUCUUGGGUUGAGAAAAAUUUCUAAAUCCAAUUUAAAAUGUAAAAUAAAUUUAUUUAAAUUGGGUUCUCAAGCCUAAACUCACCUUAUCGAGAAAAAUUUCCAAAUCCAAUUUUAAAUUGUAAAAUAAAUUUCUUUAAAUUCCGAAGUGACGGUGAGGAGAUUUGAUACUGAAAUAGAAAGGAUUCAGUUUCUUUCUUGGCGACAAAGUUUCCAGAGAAAGAAAACCUCAGUAAACUCAAAACUCUCUCUCUCACCGCCAUUUUCUCUGCAAUGCCGGAAUCGAACUCCGCGACGAAGAGAAAGCGCAAGGGAUUAGACCAAAGCGUCGAAAGAAAGCUUCUCGUUAGCAAGAACGAUGAGGUAAUUAAUCAACGACUCCGACUUUUUUUUUUCCCCUUUUUUAUUCUGUUUACUUUGAUUUCUGGUGGUUUUGUUUUUUCAUUAUCAUUCUUGUUUGAAUGAAUGCCGCUUCUCGAUCUCUGGAUUCUCGAGUCUGUUUUCUUGAUUGAGAGAAUUAAUAUCGAUUAUCCUUUUUCUUCUUUGAAAUUUGUAGAUAAGGAGAAAAAUAUUGAAUUUGACGAUCAUAUGUAUCUAAAGAGCUGUUGGAUGUUAAAGUUUUACGGAGUUUGUUUUUUUUAAAUAUAAAUUUAAUAUUUAAAAUAUUAGGUUAUUUAUUUUUAUAGUAUUUUAUUUUUAUUAAGUAUUAAAAAUAAAAAAAAUCAAUAUAUUAUUAUUUUUAUUUAAAUAUUUUAAAAUUUUGUAUUAAUAAAAAAUUUAUAAUAAGUUAUUAAAAAAGUAAAAAUAUAAAAAAUUUAAAUUCUGAAAAUAAAUUACUUUUAACAAAAAACCAAAAAAAUAAUCACCCUCUCAAUCUCUGCUUAGAAUUAUUCGAGCUAUUUUUAUAAUUUUAGCAAAUUGCAUUGAUGCGGGUUAAGGUUUUUAUUUUAUUUUUAUUUUUUAAAUAUUCGUGGAUAAAGGAAAGAAUAGAAGAGAUUGUUAUAAUUGGUGGAUGAUCAAAGGAAAAGUGGAUGGAGGAUCCUAGUUGUUAUAGUCAUAUUAGUGGCACAAUUUGAGGGAAUGAUGUGGGAUAAUUAGGUUCCCGGGAAGAAAGAAAUGUGAGAUAAUUUUAUUUUAGGAAAUAAAUAAAUUAAAUGUACGUUCGAAUAUAUUUUUUAUUUUUUAUUCUUUAUUUUUAAAAAUAUAUUCGUUCCCGCAUGCGUCAACGUCUUCUUCACCUUCUGAAACUUCGACAACAAUGACGGCUUCCUCUUUUUAAAUCUGUUUUUUGCAAUUCUGACGGUUUUCUCUUUUUAAAUCCUUUUCAUAAAAGGUCAGUUAAUGCCACAUAUGAAAUAUGAAAAUAUCGAUGAUUGAAUUUUGUAAGAAAAUAUAUAUUAAAAAAAAAUUAUAUAUGAAAAAAUUUUGAUAAUAUAAAAAUCAAUCAAAAUUUAUGAAAAUAUUUUUAAAAGCUAUAUAAAUAAUUUUUAUUUUAAUAAAACAAUAAAUAAAACUUAUGAACUAAUUAAAUUAUAUAUCAAACUAAUAUUUAAAUUAAAAUAUUUGACUGAUUAAAUAUAUAAAAUAUAACUAAAUUAUUUUUUCUACACUUAUAUAUAUUGAAAAAACUCUAAAAAGGAUUUAAAAAAAAACCAAUAAAUAUGUCUAUUAAUAUUAUUUUGACCAUUUUAGAGUUUUUUAAUAUAUGUAUCACAUUAUUUUUUUAAUUAUUUUAAAACAUUUUCAAUAUAUUCAAAAAUUUUGGGCAAUUUUCAUAUCAUCCAAUUUUUUUUUCUAUAAUUUUCAUUAAAUCCAACCAUCAAUAUUCCAUAAUUUUUUUUUAUCAAAUAUUUGAAAAUUGAUUAACCCACUUUUAUUUAUAGCUAAAGGAUUUUGUUAGAAACACAAAAUCCUGUAGCGUUUGUGUUUUUCAUUUUUAAAAAUAGAAAUAAUAGUAUAUAAAAUAUAAAGAUUCCAAAAUAUAUUAAUUUUUAAAAAAUUAUUAAAAUUUUUUACCAAAUAAAGUAAAUCCAUACUUUUAUAAAAGUUUUUAAUUUCUAUAUUUGUAUUUUUUAAAAAUGGAAAACUUUGGAAUUUCUCAAUUAUUACACUGGGCUUUAUUAAUGGAAAUUAAUAUGUUACUUGGAUUUUGAUAAUUAGGAUAACUAAUUUCAGUUCGAGUUUUAAGUGGUCAAAAUGGAAUGAUUUAUUAAUCAAUUUAUUGCUAAAUUGCUUAAUUUAAAUUUUAUUUUUAUUCAAUUAAAAAAAUAUUUUAGAUAUUAUAAGAUAUGAUAUAACAAAGGACGUGUUUGGGAAUUAGAGUUUUUGGCUGGAUUAGGAAAGUAUAAAUUAUGAACGACCAAACAAGGUAGUAAAAAGAUCCUUCCUGUAUUCUCUGUGUUUGGCUUUGGAUCAUCUUCCAUGGCAGUUACGGUUGAGGUUAAAGAAGUGGGUUGUGACAGGAAGAAGAAGCGGAAGAGAUUACAAUCUAAGACAAUGCCUUUUGAUCAGAAAGUGGAGGUAGUGCACGACAGCAUUGGGUCUUCAAGGGCGGUGGACGUUCAAGAACCUGGUUCUGAGAAAGGGAGAGUGCGCAACGAAAGAAGGUUUCUUGACGACGAAGUUGGGGUAUAAUGCAUUCUUGGUUUUUUGUUCAAGGGUUUUUCUGGGGUUUUUGAUCGGGUUCUUGGUUUCCGUCUCUUUUAUUGAUUUCGAUUUGUAUUUUUUUUUCCUUUGGGGUUUACUGCGAUUAUUCUCGACGGCCUCAUUGCCAUCUUUGUCGGUCCUUUUUCUCUUUUCUCGGAUCAUUGGUUUUUCCACGGUUCUUUUGUCUACUCGAGUUGUUUGACUUCCAUUCGAUCCUUUUUUUUUCUUUUUUUUUGUCAGUUAUUAAUUCACAAUAACGUUUUGUUUGGAGAUUGGAAUUUUAACACAUCAAUGUGAAAUUUCUGUAGGUAAGGAGUGUGGAAGAAUCCCUCGUUUCUGCAACUGUCAUUGGUAGUUGUGACUAUGGAAGGAAGAGUGACUGGACGCGUUUUGAUGCUGACAUACUUCAUGGGACUGAGUCCUGCUCUAAUGCAAUCGCUGAAUAUGCACUCAGUUCUGCUGGGUAUAGGAGACCUCCAAAUGCAUUAACGGAGAAUGUUAGGAAGCUCCUUUCACAUCUGGGCUGGAAAAUUGAGUUCAUGAAUAAAGAUAUGCCUAGAUUUCGUUACACCUCUCCUCAAGGGAAGACUUACCAAUCUCUUCGUCAGGUUUGUCUGGAUUUGGGAGGACCUGCAAUGAGAGCUGAUUGUCAAAUUUCCCAGGAUGAGCAGAGGACUUUGUGUAGUUCACAUGAUGAUGUGAAAAAAUCUCAAGUGAGUGAGCAGGAGAAGACAGACCCUUGUCGUGAUGAUGAUCUGGUUGAUAUUGAUCGUGAAUAUUGCCCACAUGCUGUAAUAAACUACUAUUCGCUUGGAUUGGACAAGAAAGAUUAUAGAAGGAAGGAUAGUGUUACCUCGAAUUUGAUAGCUAAGGCAAAGAAACAUCUCUCAUUCAUGGGGUGGCUGUUUUGGUAUGCAUAUAAGAAAGGGAAGCGGGAAUUGCGCUAUUGUUCGCCAAAAGGAAGGUGUUAUUAUUCCCUUCGGACAGCCUGCAAGGCCUGCAUGGAUGAAGGUGGAGCUUCUGAAGAUACUUCUACAUGUAGCCCUAUGAAAAUCAUGAACGUCAGUGAGGAAUCUGAGGUCCAGGAAUUCGUUCCUCCCAUGAUUGAUAUGAGAAUGCAGAAAAACUUGGUACAACAAAAUGUAGAGACUGAAAAGCGGGCUGUAAAGUCUUCCAACAGAUCACAAUUUAAAAGCAGAAGAAUGAAGAGACAUGAUGGACUCCAAUGUGUUGUAUCUAAUUCUCUUCAACAUUAUGCACAAAUCAAUGGAGCUUUGGUGAAAUUAAAUAAUCUAGAUGGUAAUUAUCCGACUCCUGCUUUGCAAUCAAGAAAAAGUGCUCAUCAGGUGCCAAUUCCUGAUUCAUCAAACAACUCUCAAACUAUACUUUCUCAGUUGAUAGACAACAAUGUGGUGCUGUGUAGGGCAAAGGUACAUUACAGUAGUCAAAAGGACCAUCAUCCAAUGCCAGAAGGGAAGAUAGCUCGUGAUGGGAUUAAAAAUAGCUGUUGCCAAGAGGUGUUUAGUCCUAGAGGGUUUGAAGCUCAUGCUGGCAGUUCUUUCCACCAAUCAGAUGCCAAUAUUUUCUUGGAAGAUGAAGGAUCUCUGUUGGAAGGCCAGAGGCAAAUGGUACAUCGUAUUACUGGGAAAAGCUUCACAAAAGAAUCAAGUCAUGGGAAGAAGAGCAAUGGGGAUCAAUGUAACAAUGACGACAUCUGUUCUGUUUGUCACUAUGGCGGUGAUUUAGUCCUCUGUGAUCAGUGUCCAUCCUGCUUCCAUCAGAGUUGCCUUGGUUUGAAGGUACAUUGUUUUAUUUUGAUGUUUUUUUUUCCUAUACAAACUUCAUUUUUAGCUCUUUUCCUGCACUUACUUAUAUCUUUCUUCCCUUUUGUAAGAAUAUAUUAUCCUGAAUUUUGAGAUCUGGUUUUCAAUUGAAUUAUUUAUUUUUUUGACUUAUUUAGAAAACUUUUCUUCAAAGAAAGAUUUGUCCUUCAAGGCUCAGGAGAUAAAGAUAAAAUUUUCUUUCUUCUUUAGGAACUUCCUGAGGGAGAUUGGUUCUGUCCAUCCUGCUGUUGUAGAAUUUGUGGCGAAAACAGAUUUGAUGAAUAUAGUGAAGAAGAUAAUUUUAAAUUCAGUUGUCAUCAAUGCGAGCUUCAAUGUAAGGGUUUUUGUUCUUCUCUCUUUUAUUUUUUGGGGUAUGUUUAAUUUCUAUUAAAUAGAUGAGGAAAUUGUACAUGUGAGCAUGCACAUUUUUAAUUAUUUCUAGACAAUUUGAUGCAGAUCAUGUAGGUUGCCUAAGGAAACAGAGGCAUGUUAAGUUGGAAACCUAUCCUGAUGGAACUAGGUUUUGCAGUACACAAUGUGAAAAGGUACUUAUGACUUGUCUUUCUUCUUAAUUUCCUUUUUGGCUCAAGAAGUAUUAUUUUGGUAUAUAAUUGUGUUCAUGUAGCUUCAAUUUUUUUUACUCCUAGAAGCAUAACUAUCCAUUGUAAUCCAAUUAAAAAUUCAGAUCAUAUAACUGAAUGUUGCAUUGUUUGUGUUGGUAGUUACUUUAUGUGAGCUCAAUUUGACAUAAUCCUAGCUAAAUUUUUACAAAUGAACUGCUUUUUUUUUUCCAUAUUUUUUUUUUCAGGCAUGCCUUUUCUUUUCAGCUUCUUAUCAAAAUUACUUACCAAUAUACAUUGGCCCAUGGUAUCUUUCUUUAAGCAGAAUUAAUUUUUCUUAGUAAUUAGAGGAAUACAUUUUGCAGUUUUAACCUGUUGUUCCACUAUUAGUGAAUCUAAAGCAUUGUAAAAAGAAGUGGCAUGAACAUUUGUUUCAAGCAGACAAAUCUUACUCUUGUAAGGCUAGUCACUUAAGUGAUUGGCUAUGUUGCAUGGGUUUGGGUAUGAGUGUUGGAUGCGGGUAUGUGUCUAGGUGUCUAAUCCUUCACAACUCAUAUUUUAGGAUAUUAUGGGGAUUUGGAUAAAAAGAAUCCAAAAAAUGGGCAUGGGUUCUAGGAUACAAUAUAAUAAAAUAAAAAUCAAUUAAAAAUAGAUUGGAAAUGAAGAUAUCCCUUUUAAAGCUCCUCUUUUCCACUCUAAUCCAUAUUUUCACUCUUAUCCCUAAAUAUAUUUUUUUUUUUAUAUAAAAAUUCACUUUUCAUCUAACUUCUCUUUUUUUCUCUAAUGUAAUUAUUAUUGAAAAAGUUGAAAGAAUAAAAGGAUAUCAAUGAAAAAAUCAAAACAGGCACACACAAAAUAAAAUAGGAGGGUCUGAUAAAUAAAUAAAUAAAUAAAAUAGGAGUAUUUGAUAAAGAUCCAAUACCCUUACUCAUGUUGUGUCAUGUCAACAUUGGUAUGUUGGGUGAAAUUGAAGGAUCUGGGUAUUAUAGGCGAUUGGUGCUUUACAAAAAUAAGUACAUAAUCCCUUAGUUUGUAACUGUUGCAAAGGCUUUGAUAGUUCUGCUUUUGCAACCAAUGUUAUAUUCCUUUAGGCUUGCUCUUUGUGGAUUUGGCAAGCAAUUCAUACUUUGUAUGUUUAGGCUGAUUUGUCUUAGUUUCUUUUAUUGGAGAAAACCAUUUAUUAAUCCUAAGGUGCCAGAAUAUGGAGCAUAUUUUUGAAAAGAGGUGGGAUGUCCUCUGAAGGUAAGUUGCCUAAGAUUCUGAUUUUCAUUUUACUGCUAACAAAUUUGUUAUGUUGCAUUUAUUGGAAGCUUCCAUGAUGGAAUUAAUAUGACUUGAAUGGAUGAAAAUUGUGGUUGCUAUGGGGCGCACAUUGUUGAUUUUUUAGUUGAAUUUGAUGUGGUAUUAAUUGACGAUAACUUUCUGUUUAUUCUUAUUGUUGUGUUAGAUAUUUCUAAAAGCUACAUAUGAGGACAGAACUUUAAAUUGAAUGCUUUUUUGGUUCAUGGAUAUAUUCUGUUCGAUACUGGCUCUUGAACAUGGUAUUAGCAACCAUGCAUGUUAUUAACCUAUAAUACUUGUAUUUUUGUAGAUAUUUUUGGGCCUCCUGAAGCUUUUAGGAAAACCAAUUCCAGUGGGUGUGGAUAAUCUAACUUGGACUUUGCUGAAACCUACAAUAAGUGAAUGGUUUGAUAUGGAUGUCCCUGACAACAAGGCCUUGACAGAAGUUUACAGCAAGCUCAAUAUUGCUCUCAAUGUCAUGCAUGAAUGUUUUGAGCCUAUUAAAGAACCUCAUACAGGGAGAGAUCUGGUUGAAGAUGUUAUUUUCUGUAGAGGGUGAGAUAUUCUUCUUCACUAGCUAUCUUUACAGCCUUCUUUAUAUUUGAAUUGUGUAUGUGCAUAUUUUUUUAGUGCAUGUUUGCUUUAUGUGGCAAUGAACUUGAAUUGCGUAUUAUGUGGUCUAACAAAUACUUUUUAGGACCAUCAUACUUGCCGACCAUCGAUGAACUGAUCGGAUUAACCAACCGAAGUUCGCUUUUAUUGUUCCUUAUUAUUCUAGUGGAUCAUGAAUGAGUUUUUAACUUGUUUUUAGUAAAACGUAUAUUUCAUGUUCCUUUUGUUAACAGGCUAAUAUCGGUGACUGUUAAAUUGGAAAUCAACUUACAAGUUCUGUUGAAAUGAUACUACUAGUUAAUAGGUUCUUUACUUCAUGUUUUAAAAGUAUAUCCAGUAUUUGCCCAUGUUUCUGCAAAAAGAACUUACUGCUACAAACUACAGAGUUUUGCAUAAAUGCAGGAAUGAGGAAAACUUUGAAUGAUAAAAAUUUGCUAAAUUUAAUUGCAUGAAUCAGAUGGUGGGAUUGAGUCACAUCCUAUCAUGUGAUGGAUAUGGAUUGGAAGGGGCCUUCUGAAUAGGAUCAUUCAAAUUAAUAUUGCAUUUCAAAUUGUGAGGUCCUUUCUUCCAUGCAAUUCAAAUUGCAACCCUUGAUCUGAAGGGUUGACAUUCAAGUGCAUAAAUGGAAACACAUUACAAUCAUUAGAAAUAAAAAUGGUGGAAGCCUAAUCCAGUAGACCUCGUUUUGAUAAGUUUGCUAGAUGGUUCACUGGUUAUGCACCAUGAUAUUGUCUGUGACUUUUUCAAGAGAUAUCACUGAAGUGUGGAUUUUUCUCAUUAGAUUAUGCUAACAAUUAAAGGUAUUAUCACUUGGAGCCUGAUGCAAGUGGCAUGGAAACUUUCAGGUCAGAUCUCAAACGUUUGAACUUCCGAGGAUUCUAUAUUGUGCUGCUGGAGAGAAACGAUGAGCUGAUUAGUGUUGCUACUAUUAGGUAGGCUUUAUAGGAUGGUAGAUCCUAAUUUAACUGCUUUCUCUUUGCUUUGUUGAAUAAUGGUGAUCUGACAUUGGUAUUUUCUUGUUUAAGGGUCCAUGGAGAAAAGGUGGCAGAAGUACCACUUGUUGGUACCCGAUCUCAAUAUCGUCGACUUGGAAUGUGUCGGAUUUUGAUAAAUGAAAUUGAAAAGGUAAUCAUGCCCCUUGUUUAUGUUUGAGUGCAUUAAAUAUAUAUCUGUUUGUUUGAACAAUUCCUUGAUCAUCAGUAUUGAUGUUGGCAACAUUGACGUGAGUGAUUGUCCUGAAAUAUGAAACGAGGAAAUCAAAGGCUAAGGAGAUCAAAACAAUGUCCGCAUGCCUCAUGUAGAACUAAUAUAUUUCUGAUUAUUUGCACUGAGAAAUAUCAGUAAUACUCAGGAUUAGGCAGAAUAAGUAGUUUACUUCCUACAUCUCAGAUUCUCAUGUGUUUCACUCUUAUGUGUGAAUCAGUAAUCCAGUUAUAAGUUUGACCAUCUUUAACUAGAUACAAACAUAAGGCUUCAACAGAUUUUUGAAUUCCAGAAAAAUAAGACUUGGGUUACCAUAAUGGUGAUCAUGAUCCUAAAUAAAAAGUUUUCUAUCUACAACAUUUCUGGAAAAUUGUGUGAAAAGAUAUUGUCUCAUAUAUGCAUGUUGCUUCACCAUUUGUAAUUUGCAUAUGCUUCAAUUGACUUGCAAACUAUUUGUGGACACUGUUGGGUUGUAAAUUAAUCAGAUAUUUCUGUUGAAGUGGCUACUUUGUACUGUCUUGGUAAACCUUAUUUGACUGGAAUCGAGCAAUAUGGACAUCCUGCCUCAUUUCACCUUAUACUAUUGAGAGAAAGUGGUUGAAAUUAAGGAAUUUUAAUUCAUAAACAUAACUUAUUAAUUUAUGCAAGAUGCUUGAAUCCGAAUUGCUAACAUCACCAGGCAAUCACAAUUGAAAUUUUAUUUAUGAAUUCCUUGUAAUAUAGCCAUAUCAAUGUGGUAAUAUCAGAUGUUUGACAUCUUAAGCUAUUUGUUCCAUUACAGAAAAUUUCAUGAUUUGAAAUAUUAGAUGGGUGGAAUGGUCUUACGAAAUUGUAUUAGUAGGUUUGAAUAUGAUAAUUUUAUAGCAAGGCUAAAUAAACAAAUGCCUUCAGAUAUUUUAUUAGGUGGGUGGAAGGCUGAUUGUGCCAAUUGGUUAAGAAAAGAACAGCAUUCUCCCCAUCUAUUGUCUAUCAUGUCUUAAGAUAUUUUGGCAAUUUCUUAAUAUUAUUUUCUGCUUUGAUUCUUCAGAAGCUCGUGGAAUUAGGAGUGGAGAGGCUGACAUUACCUGCUGCUCCUAGUGUGCUAGAUACAUGGGUUACUUCAUUUGGUUUUUCCAAGAUGACAGAUUCUGAGAGACUAACGUUUCUGGAUUACACUUUCCUGGAUUUCCAGGAUACAGUCAUGUGCCAGAAAUUGUUAAUGAAGAUCCCUUCAACAAAAUCAAGCCAAUCUACAGGUAUAUUUGCAAUUCCUUCAGCUAACUUAGAUAAGUGAAGAACAUUCUGCUAACUUGCAUACAUGCUCUUAUAUACCAUUUUGCAGGACCCUGGUCAAAGCAUAAUACUGAGUUUGAUAGGCAUAGUGCUGAGUCUGAAGUUCUUCAAGCAGAACAAGUUGAGGAGUCUGCAAUUGUAGCUGAAGGAAUAACAGAGUAUGUCUCACCUAAAAUUUCCUUUAUUUAUGAAAUUUGAAAGAAAUGGCUCAAAUGUUUCAUCUAUAGGGAAAAUCAGUCACAUGGAGAAGGAUUUCCCUUUCAGAAAUUGAACUUAUUGGUGAAUUUUAAUGCCAUGAUGUAGGUUAAUAUAUUUGUGGUGGUACUAAUGCUGUAGUGUCAUUUUCAAUAUUUGUUAAAAACUAAUUGUAGAGUGAAAAUCAUGUAUAGGCUACCUAUUGGUCAAUAGAAGAAAAGGAAGAAUUGGAAUAAUAAUGGGAAACUUGCUUAUGUGUAAUUGAAAUUAUAUCUGCAGAUGUGCCAAAGUUUUCUUUUAGAUUGAAAGGAAGUGUCUCAAGAGGGUUUCUCCAUAUUUCUGAACCUUAUUGUUAAUAUUGAUAGUCCAUUCCUUGUAUGUGACCUUCCUUUCCCAUGCCAUUGCCGAAGCUAUUCCAUAAUUUUUCCAAAAUUCCUCCAUAAGAGGGUGGGCCCUAUCCACAUCAAAGUUUCUUCUGAAUAACGUACUCCUCUCCCAUCUCCUAGAAUAAACCAAAUCCCCUUGAUUGUAUCAAGCCCAAAUAAUGGUCUUCCAAACACCAACAAAGAAGAUGUCCUGAACAUCUUUAAGCCCCGUCUCUUCUCAACUACCAAGAUAUGAGUAUCUUAAAUUAUUUCUCCCUUUUUGUUGGAAUUCUAAACCACCACUUACCUAAGGAUGGUUAAUAUUAGCGCCUUGACUCGGAGCAUGUGGCACCAAGGCCUCAUAGUGUGGCAAAUUGGCCCCAUGAGUGGCCUAUGACCAAGGCAAGGUGGCAUAAGGGCAUAAUGUCUCAUGCAAUGAGGCAGCUUGGUGAACCAUGGGCAUAAUGCCAUGGCUUGUUGCAGCAACAAGAUGGACUUGGAUGAGGCAUGGAGAUGCAACAACAACAAAGCUGACUCAGACAUGGUGUGUGAUGCUUGGCACAAGGACGCAGUGCCUUGUUCACGGAGAUGAGGAGUCAUGGACGCAAUGACAUGACUUGUUGCUGCACUAAGAAGAGGACUUGAGCAAGGCAUGGAGCUGUAUCAGCAACAAGACAAAUACAUGAGCAGGCUGCCUCGACAUAGAUGUUAGGGGAACACACGAGCAUGGCUGGUUGGCAUGCUCAACAAGAUGGUGAAGCAUGUUGCGAGGAGUGUGGGCUAAGAGAGGGCUUGGCAUGCAUAGGGUUUGCAUAGAGAGCAUGCGACAAGUUGUCUAGAGAUGCUACAAGAAGUUGGUGAAGCACGUUGCGAGGAGUGUGGGCUAAGAAAGGGCUUGGGAUUCACACGAUAUGCAUUUGAGGGCAUGCCUAGAGAUGCUACAACGGGUUGGGGAACCAUUUUGCGAGGAGUGCAGGCCAACAAAGGGCUUAGCACACACAUGAGCUGCAUAUAGAUGCAUGUGGCGGUCUGCCUAGAGAUGCAGCAACAAGUUGACUGGAUGCAUGACUGAUUCAAGCACAUAGGUGGACUGAUUCAAGGCACAAGAGUGGGAAGACUUGAGGCAGAACACUAGAAACGUCUUAGCAUUGGGCCAAGCCCAAGGAAGAUGUGUUGCCCCACAAACCAGGGAGUUGAAGGAUUGGUUUGUGGACUGAUGCAAGCAACCUCAACAUGAGGAGUUUCAAAUGGAUGAGGAAUGGGCCGAAGACAUUUGAAAUCUCAAAGUUGGAUUCAAAGUGUCUUUGAAAUUUGAUUUUGAGUAAGAGUUCAAAUUCUUAUUGCAAUUAUAAUCUGAGUAGGACUAUGAUUUGCUUGUCCCUACUAGUGAAAAAAGGAGUGGUUGGUGCCACAACCUAUGAAUAAGAGUUUGGGUAGGACUAGGAUCGUUGGUUCUUAGUCAAAAUAGGAGGGUUGAUGCCACACCUAUAAAAGGAGGGCUGAAGUGCCUUCUGAGGGGAUCAUGAAUGAGAUAGCAUGAGAGAGCAUGAACUCAUGAAAGAGAUUGUGGGGGUCUUGCUGAGUUAUGUCUUGUAUUGUUAGUUAGAGAAAAUAAAAUGCAAGUUGGGGAUAACCUUGUGUUUCUUUGUGGGUUUUAUUGAAUGAGCUCUGGCUUGGAGGGUUUCAAAGCGCCGCAUGGAUGAGAAAAACUUGUUGGGAAAGUUCAUGCUUGUGACAGAUAACUUGAUACAAACAACCAAUCUCAAAUCCUGACCAAGCCCCUUGUCUAGGCAGGAAUAUGCACUACCAUCCAAUCAACAGGAUGGUAUUUGAACUCAUCUUCCAUACCUUUUCAGAGAAGGGGAUUCAAUUCGUAAUGGUGUAAGAACUAUGGUAAACUGCUUAUUUUAAUUUUCCUCUUUGAUAGGGAAAUCCGGGCAUGGCAUGGCAUGAACUCAUCUACCUGUUCAUGUUUCACUGAUCAGGGCAUGACAUCAAAACAUCCAUCCUCCUCCUAAAUGGCCUCAAGGAUUUUGAUAGGGUGGUUUAUAGUCAUGCAUUAAAGAAAAAAAUAACUAGGACCCAAUCUAGCAUGUUACAGAGAUUAUAACACCCCAAAAUGCCAAAUUUUCUCAUUUUAUUUGAAGCAUGUUAUAUGCUACAUUGGAGCAUGUUUUACUGUAUAUUACUGUGUUAUGAGAGUACUGUGUGAUACAAACAUGCACGGCAUGAGUAAAAUGAAUAGUGAGUAUAUGACUAGAAAGUAGAAACUUGGUGCAUGUUUGGAUGAUGGGAAUUAUGCAAGCAUAGUCUUGCUGAGCUCUCUUGAAAGGAAGUGGUACCAUUUCAUGCAGCAAGCAUUCUGCUAUUCACUUUAAGUGAAUUCCAAGUGAGUAUACAUGCACAGCUAUAAUAUUUAGUACGAUUUAGGUUGAUCCUAAAAGAUGUUAGAAUACUUUUCAGAUGAAAACUUACUAAUAAAAGGGAAGAAAAAUUGCCACUGGUCAAGACUUCUCAGGGAAUUAUCAUUCUAAUCCUACAUUAUUGUGCACAUGGCCCUACUCUUAACUAUUCAGGUAGGGAAUCCCCCUUCCGCAUUAAAUGCUAGUUAUGCGAAAUACAAAUUCUUCUUUGAAACAUCUCAUGUUGAGUUAUAUGUAGUCCACCUGACUCUGCCCAUAUUUCCAUAUGAUCCAAGUGUAGUUCUAUUGUUCCCAUUCUUCAUCAUUUGAAGUUGCUGGUUAUGUUACUGACAAUUGUGAUCUUUUUCAGUACUACUUCAGGAAAUGGCAUUGAUGGCAGCAAAAGCAUGGCUUCCCUUACAACCGAAGUGACUGAUUUUGAAUGGAGACAACGCCUUGAUGAAGACAUGUUAGAGUUAUUGCUUAAGGAUGAUAAUCAUAAUGAAAACAGUUUAGAGGGCUUGCUUAAGGAUGACGAUCAUGAUGAAUGCAGUUUAGAGGGUUUGCUUAAGGAUGGCAAUCAUGAUGAAAACAUUUUAGAGUGCUUGCUUAAGGAUGAUGACAAUCAUAAGGCGAGCAGAGACGAUGGUGAUGGCUAUUACAGGUGCUACAAGAGAAGAAGAAUAUCAGCCUAUGACAGCUGAUCUCAUUCCAUAUGAAUUAACCUGCCAGGACCUAACUUUUGGGUACAGAGAUCUGUAGAUUGUUUCUUUGUAAAUGAUGGAGCUUCUAUUUAAUGUAUAGGCGGAAGAAGAGGUGAUAGGUACAUAUGCAUAUAUGGCUCAUUUUGAGGAUCUGUUUUGGAUUAGAACUUGGAGUAAAAGUGAUGCUGCGUAUAUUUACUGCAAGAAUCACACCCUUCCUGUGUUGUCCGUGUGAGAAUCAUCCCUUUGUAUAAUCUGCCAUAAUCGUGGUGUAUGUUCUUUUCCUUGUUGGGUGGGGAGGGUGAAUUGAAUGUGCAGGAUCUGAUAAGUGUCAUAGAGGGUAAUUUUAGUGAAGUUCUGUGAAUUAAUGGAGGCUUUCUUUUUCCCCUUCAUUUUUUAUUUUUAUUUUAUAUAUCCUGCCUUGUUCAUAAGAACAAGAGAAGUCAUGGGUAGUGCCAGGGACAUUUCCUAGGACUCUUUGAUUGAGACUUUUCAAUGUGUCAUUUUGAUAGCAUUCACGGAGAGAGUAUACACAUUCAGAAUGAAAUAAAAUAUUCAUUAACUACAUAAAGAAUGUUAUAAUCAAUAUAAAAUAUAUAAUAAAUUUUAUAAAAAUUAAUAAAUUAUUAAAACCAAACCCAUAAAAAUUACAACAUAAAAAAUCUUGCUUGUCAUUCACGUUUUUAUGCCCCGUCACUCACACGAUUUUUAUGCCAAGUCACUCCCAUGAUUUUUUAUGCCAAGUCACUCCCAUGAGCUGGAAGCGUUCCCGACUCUUCGGGGUGUUCGCGCCAAGUGUGGGACCCAGCCAACCGUAAUUCCGUUUUUUUGAUCGCAAAACUCGAAUGACCUUUUUUUUUAUUCCACCUGGCUUAGCUUUUAAUGUAAAUAAAUAGAAAUAAAUAGAAAUAAUGGGGUUUAAAUUUAUUUUAUCAUAACUUACGGGUGAAAAUAUAAUCAUUUUACUUAAAAAUGGGUUUGAUUUUUUUUCUUACUUUAGGAGGUGUUUGGCAGGUUUGGUUGAAUAAGGGAAGUCUGACAAACCAAACAAGGCAGUAAAGAAAUUUCCCAUCAGAGAUAUGAUCAUAAUAUUAUGUGUGUAACAGAAAAGGGAAUCUCUUCGGCUCCAAGUAAACUGCGCCGCGUCUCUUUGGAUCGACCCGGCUCGGCGCGUGAAGGAGGGAACCGGGUUUAUAUGAGAAAGAAGGUAUCAGUUUCAUUAAAACCAGGUGGACCUGCACUCUACUUCUGUGGCCUUGCAUUGGGUCUUCAAUGGCGGUUAAAGUUGAAAAAUCGGAUUGGGAGAGGAAGAAGAAGCGGAAGAGUUUACACAACGAACGAAAGCUUUUUAAUGAUGAGAAAGGCAAGGUAAUGCGGGGUGGUAUUGGGUCUUCAACGGUGGUGAACCUUGAAGAACCGGAUUGUGGGAGGGAGAGGACGGGCAACAAGAGAAAGCUUCUUGUUGGCGAAGAAGUUGAGGUAUAAUUCAGCCUUGGUUUUCUUUUUCAUUUUUUUUUUCAAGGGUUUUUGUGGGGUUUAUGAGGGUGUUGUAGAAACCCUUUGUUUCCUUUUGUUUUAUUGAUGCUUUCGGUUUUUAUCUAUUUUUUUGGGGUUGAAUGCGAUUAUUCUUGACUGCUGCAUUGUAAUCCUUGUGGGUUUCGUUGUUCUCGUCAUUGUUUAUACGUGGCUUGAUUAGCUGCUCGGGGUUAUUUGAUUCUAUUCAAUAUAAUUCAAUUCUCUUUAAUUUUUCUCAAUUGUUGAUUUUUUGAUACAUUGAAUUUUAACGCAUAAAUGUGUGAAAAUUUGAAGGUAAGGAGUGUGGAAGAAGGGCUUCUGGGCUCGUGGCAUUCAGGAACUAUCAUUGGUUGUGAUUAUUUAGUUCGGAACGUGAAAUAUAGUGAGAUAUUGGAUGAUCGGAUGGGAGAAAGAUUCUUAGAGUCUGUGAGUGUUUCUGGUGCUAUUGAGGGAACAAGUGUUGUUGAUACCGACCAGUGUAAUCAUCGUGGUAGGAUAAGGCCAUUGCCACCACAAUGUGACUUUGGGAAAUGGAACCUUCAUUAUGGACUAUGUGUGGAUGUGUUUUUUAGGGAGGCUUGGUGGGAAGGUGUGAUUUUUGACCAUGAAGAUGGUUUGGAGAACAGGAAAGUUUUUUUCCCAGAUUUGGGUGAUGAAUUGACAGUUGGAGUUGAUAACAUUAGGAUUACUCAGGACUGGAACGAGGGUACAGCAACUUGGGAGCGACGACGGAAUUGGUUGUUUCUUGAGUUGAUUGAGGAAUAUGAACAGGAUUGGCCCCUUAAUGUCUCACUGAAGCAGAUUUGGUAUGAUGUGAGGGAAAAAAAGGGGUUUGAGAAAGUUAAGGAGUGGACUUGUCCAUCAAAUGCUCUAUGGAGAGAGUUGGUUCGGGAGGCCAUUGCUGACAAUUUCAGGAUAACUCUAAAUAAAAUCUGUUCUAUGUUGAAGCCUGAAGUGUUGGCUAACUGUCAUGCGGUGGAACCAAUACGGGGUAUUAGCCCAUUGGAUGGUAGUAUGAUGAUGACUAACAAUGAUGCUAAUGCAACAAAUUCAGGGGAUUAUAGUAUUGGACUCGUUGAUAAAUUGGUUGAAAAUGGUGGCUUGGCUACUAGGUUCCAGUAUACUGAUCCAAAAUGUAGUAGCAAUCAACAUGUCCAGGAGAAGCAUGAGGUGGAUGGUGUGAUUCCUUUUGUGGAGAAUAGUGGGUUGGAUAUGCCCUAUCGUGAUAAAGAGAUGUCUGUUCAACCUCAGCCUUUGUUGGUUAUACCUUCUAAACCAAAUAAAUUGGAGAAUUUCACUUUUGAUUGCAAAAGUGAAGGAUAUUCUAAUAACCCUUCAGCUAAUAGGAAGAAUGAUUGGAGACGUGUUGAUACUGACAUACUUCACGGAGCCGAGUCCUGCUUUGAUGCAAUUAUUGAAUACGCACUUAUUUCUUCUGGGAAGAGGAAACCUCCAAAUUCAUUAACAGAAAAUGUCAGGAAGCACCUUUCAUAUCUGGGCUGGAAAAUUGAGUUUAUGAACAAAGAUUUUCCUAGAUUUCGUUACACCUCCCCUGAAGGGAAGACUUACCUAUCUCUUCGACAGGUCUGUCAAGAUUUGCGGCGACCUGAUGCGGGAAUUGAUUCUCCAAUUUCCCAAGAUGACCAGAGAAGUUUGCUUAGUCCAUAUGAUGACCUGGCAUUUCCACUCGUUAAAUUGCAAGUGAAUGAUCUGUCAAGUCAGCUUAUUGAAAAAUCACAAGUGAGUAAGGGAAAAUGGACAGUGCCUAGUCAUGAUGACAGAGUUGAUAUUGAUCAUGAAUAUUGCCCUCAAGCUGUAGUCAACUACUAUUUUCUUGGGUUAGACAAGAAAGAACACCAUAGCAGGAAGGAUGACAUUCGGAGUUUGAAUUUAAAAUCUAAAGCAAAGAAGCACCUCUCAUUCAUGGGUUGGACAUUUUGGUAUGCAUAUAGGAGAGGGAAGCGUGAAAUGCGCUACUUCUCACCAAAAGGAAAGUGUUAUUAUUCUCUUCGUACAGCCUGCAAGGGCUGUAUGGAUGAAGGUGGAGCUUCUGAAGGUACUUCUACCACUUGGAACCCUGUGAAAACCAUGAAUGUUAGUGAGGUAGCUUUGGGCCAAGAAUUAUCUUCUGCCUUGAUUGAUAUGAGAAUGCAGAACAGUUUGAUAGAACAAAAUGUACCAUCUGCAAAGUGGCCAAUAAAGUCUUCCAGCAUAUCACAGUUGAAAAGCAAAGAGAUUAGUGCAGUUACAAAGAAGAGACAUGAUGGACUACAUGGUGUUACCUCUAAUUCGCUUCAAUCUUGGACACAAUCCACUGGAAAAGAUGGAUUUGGAAUUGGAUUAGUAGGUGACAGAGAGUUGAGGCACCCAAAGGACAAAAAUGUCUGCUUCUCAAAGUUGAAGAAUGGAAAGGGAUCUAAAGCUUUGAUGAGACUAAAUGGUCUAGAUGGUACCCGUGUUCUGCGAUCUAGAAAAAGAGCACGUCAGGUACUGAUUCCUGGUUCAUCAAACAACCCAAGGACUAUACUUUCUUGGUUGAUAGACAACAAUGUGGUGCUGCCAAGGGCAAAAGUACACUACAGUAGUCGAAGGGAUCAUCAUCCAAUGGCAGACGGGCGGAUAACUCGUGAUGGGAUCAAAUGCAGUUGUUGCCAAGAAGUGUUUAGUCUUAGCAGGUUUGAAGCUCAUGCUGGCAGCUCUUAUCACAGGUCAGCUGCCAAUAUUUUCUUGGAAGAUGGAAGGUCUCUGUUAGAAUGCCAAAUGCAAAUAAUACGUGAUAUUACUGGGAAAGGCUUCACAAAAGAAUCGUUUAGUAGGAAGAAGAGCAAUGAACGUCACCAUGAGAAUGACCACAUUUGUUCUGUUUGUCACUAUGGUGGUGAUUUAGUCCUAUGUGACCAUUGUCCAUCCUCAUUCCAUAAGAGUUGCCUUGGUUUGAAGGUAGGUUGUUUUGUGUUUUUUUUUUUCUUUGUUUCUUUGAUUGUUUGUUUUGUUCCAUUUUUAUAAUUUCAAACUUCAUUUAUAGCUCUUUUUCCCUUUUUACUUUUAUCUUGUUUCCUUUUUCUAGUAUAUUAUUGUGAAUUUUGAGUAUGGUAUUCAACUGCAUUAUUUAUUUAUUCUUCAUUUUUUUCUUGCUUCUUUAGACACUUCCUGAGGGUGACUGGUUUUGCCCAUCCUGUUGUUGUGGAAUUUGUGGUGAAAACAAAUUUGAUGGAGGCAGUGAACAGGAUAAUGUUGUUUUCAGUUGUUAUCAAUGCGAACGUCAAUGUAAGUUUUAUUUCUGUUUAUGGUACUUCUAUUACAUGCAUGUGCAUUUGUAUAGAUGGAUAUGCUCAUUUGAAAAGUUUGUAGUUACAUUUUUACAAUUUAAUACAGAUCAUGUAGGUUGCCUAAGGAAAUGGGGGCAUGUUAAGUUGGCAAGUUAUCCUAAUGGAACUUGGUUUUGCAGUAAACAGUGUAAAAAGGUAUGUAUGACCCAUCUUUCUUCUUGAUUACCUUUUCGCUCCAAAAAGUGUUGUCUUGGUAUAUAAUUGCAUUUAUGCAACUUCAAAUUACGUUUCUUUCUACUUAGAGGGAAUUCAUGCGAGCUCAUAUUGAAAUAAUUCUAGCUGAAGUUUUAUAAAUAAACUUACUUGUUUCUUCAUUAUUAUUUUUUUUAAGGUAUGCUAUUGCUUUUGAGCUUCAUAUUAGAAUUACUUACCAAUAUGUGGUCCCAUGUUGUUCUAUGAAUGGAUAUAAAAAGAAGAAACAAUUGAAUAUAGAAAUAAAUUUUUUUCUCCAUUUUUCUUAACCAGAAUUGAUUUUUCUUAUUAAUUAGAGGAAUAAUUUUUUUAAUUUUGAUUUGAUUUUGCUCCGCUACUAGCAAAUCUAAAGCAUUAUGCAUUUCAGUCUGGGCAGUUUAUAUGUAAUUUCAAGCACAAGAACUCUUAGAUAAUAGGUCUAAAAAGGCAGAUAGAAGAAGUAAGAAGAAGUGGCAUAAAUAUAUUUUUUUCAAGAGGUAAAAUAGUGAUAAAUCUUGCUUUUGUAAAGGCUAUCACGUACAUGAUGGGGGCUCUACAAAAAAAUAAAUACAUAAUUCCUUAGUCCAUUACUGAUGUAAAGCCUCUGAUUGUUCUGAUUUUACAGUUGUCCAGAUGUGGAAAAAAAAGGCUAAUAAUAAAUUCUUUUAGAUUUUCUCUUUUUGGAAUUAGUAAUCAAUGGACUAAUUUUCAUAGUUUCUUCUAUUCCUAAUGUGCAAGAAUCUGGAGCAUAUUUUUGAAAAUGGUGGAACGUCCUAUGUGGAAAUAUUGCCAUACACUUGGUUAUGCAUUGUACUGCUAAGGGGCUUUCUAUUUUGCAUUUUUUGGAAGGUUCUUGAUGGGAUUAAUAUGACUUGAAUGAAUGAACAUGGUGGUUGAUAAAGGGCACAUAAAUAUGGUAUUAGUUGAGGAUAAAUUUUUAUUUAUUGAUCAUUAUUGGGUUAGAUGUUUCUAAAAGCUAAUAAUACUAUCAAUAUGCAUGCUUUUAAUGCCAUCAUCAGCAGAUGGUGUCAGUAACUACUUUGUACAGUUUUAUUGCAUGAAAAACCAAACAUUAAAUUGAGUGCUUGUUUGGCACAUGGAUGCUUUCUGUUAUAUAUUGCUACUUGAACAUGAUAUAAGCAAACACACUUGUUAUUACAUUAUGAUACUUGUGCUACUGUUGCAGAUAUUUUUGGGCCUUCAGAAGCUUUUAGGGAAAUCAUUUCCAGUAGGUGUGGAUAAUUUAACCUGGACCUUGCUGAAACCCAUUCGAAGUAAAGGUCUUGAGAUUGAUUUACCUGAUAUUGAGGCCUUGACAGAAGUUUACAGCAAGCUCAAUAUUGCUCUUGGUGUCAUGCAUGAAUGUUUUGAGCCCGUUAAAGAACCUCAUACAAGGAGAGAUGUUGUUGAAGAUGUUAUUUUCUGUAGAGGGUGAGAUAUUCUUAUUUCUGCACUAUCUAUCUUGACAACCUUCUUUUGUAUGCAUUUUUAUUUUUUUAUUUUUGUGUGCAAGUUUUAGGAUCUUUUCAGUUUCCUUUCAUUUUCUGAUUCGUUUGUGUGAAGUUUCAGCUAAUUCAUUUUUCUAUCUUUGUUGUUGACAUGUUAUCAUUGUAUGUAAUGAACUUGAACUACAUGCUGUUUGAUCUGAUGAAUACCUUUUCUGUUGUUCCUUAUCAUUCGACUGGAUCAUAAAUUGUGAACUUGUUUUUAGUAAAAUGUAUAUUUUGUGUUCCCUUUUUCCCAUAUGCCAAUUUUAUGAUGGUUAAAUUGGAAAUCCACCUACAAAUUCUGUAGAAAUUAUACCAUUACUUAGUAGGUUCUUGACUCUGUCUUUUUAAAAAAUGUCUUAUGUAUUUGCCCAUGUUUAAUGUAAAAAAAACUUAGUAAAAAGUUAAGCAGAAAUGAAGGCUAAGACUUGAAGGAUAAAAGUUUGCUAAUUCUAUAUUGUUAAUUACAUGUCAAGGAUGAGCAAAUGGAUGUAUACCUAUUUUUUAAGGGUAUGCAGGGAAAAGAAAAGUGUACAAAAUCAUGUUAGUUACAUUAAAGGAAGGAUCAUGGAACGGUGAAGGAGUCAUUUCUUAUAUUAUUUAAGGAAAACCGUAUAAAGGUUUUGACUUAUCACUAUUGUUUCUGCUAUUAUUUUGAGAUAUAUUGUCUGUAUUUAAAUCUUUAGGUUGUUACAUGGCUAGUGUCAUCAGAAACAAAAGCAGUGGAAGCCUGAUCCAGUUUUUCCUGUUCGUUCAUUUUUCUUAAUGGAUCACUGGUUGGUCCACAUGAUAUUGUUUGUAGGAGAAAAAUUACUUUCAUUUGGAUUUCACUAUCACAUUAUGCUUACAAAUAAAAAGUGUUUCAUUUGAAGUUUGAUGCAAGUGGUGUGGAACUUUCAGGUCAGAUCUCAACCGUUUGAACUUCCAAGGAUUCUAUACAGUGCUCUUGGAGAGAAAUGAUGAGCUGAUUAGUGUGGCUACUGUAAGGUAGGGCUUACAGGAUUACAGAUCCUAAUGUAGCUACCUUUUUCUUACUUUUUUAAAUAAUGGUAAUCUGACAUUCUAUUUUCCUGUUCAAGGGUAUAUGGAGAAAAGGUGGCAGAAGUGCCACUUAUUGGUACUCGAUUUCAAUAUCGUCGACUAGGAAUGUGUCACAUUUUGAUGAAUGAACUUGAAAAGGUGAUUAUUCUCUUUAUUUGUGUUGGAGCUCAGCAUAUAUACAUACAUAUGUAUAACUUGCAAACUUUUUGUGGACUUCAUUGGUCUGUAAUUUAGUUAGAUCUUUCAUUGAAGUGCUACUUUGUAAUGUCCCUGUAAAUCUCAUUUCUCACAAAUAUAACUUGUUAGUGUAAGUAUAAUGCUUGAACUUUGAUUGCUGACAUCACCAUGCAAUCACAGUUAAAAGUUCAGUAUCAAUUUGUUUAGAGUUGGUCAAUCAUUUUUUAUCACCACCUCAUUGUAAUACCUGUAUUGAUGGCUGGAAUGGUCAGUGCGAAAUCUGGUGUCACUGUAGUUGAUUCAAAUAUGACAAUUAUAUCAAGGGUAAAUUUCCAAAUGACCUGAGAGGUGUAGGUGGGUGGGAGGCUGAUUCUGCCAAUUGGAUUAAGAUUGACACGCAUGGAAAGAAUAGCAUUCUCCCCAUCUGUUUUUACAAUUCUGAAGGGUAACUUUUAUUUUGUCAAUUUCCUAAUAUUAUUUUCUGCAUUGAUUCUGCAGAAACUCAUGGAAUUAGGAGUGGAGAGGUUGGUGUUGCCAGCUGUUCCUAGUGUGCUAAACACAUGGACUACUUCAUUUGGUUUUUCAAAGAUGACGGAUUCUGAAAGACUAAGGUUUUUGGAUUACAGUUUCCUGGAUUUCCAGGACACGGUAAUGUGCCAGAAACUCUUGAUGAAGAUCCCUUUAGCAAAAUCAAACCAAUCGACUGGUAUGUUUGCCAUCCUCUCAGCUACCUUAUUGAAGUGCGAAUAACAGUCUGCUAGCUGGCAUGCAUCCCCUUAUAUGUUCUUUUGCAGGAGCUUGGUCAAAGCAUAUUAUUGAUUUCAAUAAGCGUGGUGCCAUCUCUGAAGCUCUUAAAUCAGAACAAGUUGAAGCUGAAAUUGUUGCCCCAGGACCAUCGGAGUAUGUCUCACCUCUAAUUUCCUGUAUUUAUAAAAUUUCAAUGAAAAAGCAUAGAAGGGCUUACAUGGUAGUGCUUUAGAUCUAGACUGAGGUUAAGAAAUGGAGAUGGAUUUCCUAUUUCAAAAAUUUCUCUUAUUGGUGAGUUUUAAUGCCAUGAUGUAGGAGAAUGUGAUAGUGGAUGGGCUGUAUGCUUUAGCAGUGUUUUCAAAAUAUACUAAGAAGCUAAAUAGUAUAGUGAAAAUUAUUUAGUCUGCCUAUUGCUCAAUAUAAGAAUAAGAAAGAUUUGAAUAAUAAAGCAAGACUUUGCUUGUGUAUAUUGAAAUUAUUUCCACAGGGUGCCCUAAUGUUUUCUUCUAGAUUGAAAGUUGUGCUCUAUGACAAAGGAAGGAAGAAUCUCAAGACAAUAUCUCCAUAAUUUCUGAACCUUAAUAUCAUUGUCGAUAUUGAUAUUUCAUUCCUUGCAUGUGACCUUCCUUUCCCUUGUCAUAGUAGCACGUCUAAAUUGCAUUAGCCAAAAAAAAUCCAUAAAAUUUCUCUGAUUUCUCCAUAACAGGGCCGUCCACAACAAGAUUUCUUCCAAAAGCUCACUCUUCUCUCAUCCCCUAAAAUAAACCAAAUCUCUUUAAUUUUAUUAAACCCAAGUACUUCAAACACCAACCCAAAAGAUGUCCUGAAUCUCUUCAAGCCACCACUCUCCUCAAUUGCCAGUUACACUUGUACUGCGAAGAUAUUAGUUUCUCUCAUUAUUCAUCCUUUUCUGCUGGAAUCUCCAAAUAACUACUUACCUAAGGAAGCUUAACUUAUACAAAUACCAAUCUCAAACCCCAACCAAACCCCUCAUCUAGUCAGGAAUACACACCAUCAUUCAAUCAAGAAGAUGAUAUUUGAACUCAUCUUCCAUACCUUUCCAAAGAAGGGGAUUUCAUCAUGGUACAAGAACUGUGGUAAAUGAAUUAAUAAACUUUCCUCUUUAAUAAAGGGAAAUCCCAAUCUGGCUUUUUGGAAAUAUUGACAAAUAUUCUUCUGCUCUAAGAAAAAUACUCUGGUAGGGUGGACUAGAAUGGAAGAAAUUAAUUCUAUUAAUGUUUGUACCAUUUAAAUGGUCAAUUGCAACUAUUGUCUGUUCAGAACAACUGGAGCAUGACAAAUUAUGUACUAUAUCAUUCAAGUUUCAUAGAUCAGGGCAUGACAUCAAAACAUCCAACUUCCUUCUAAUUGACGACAAGAAUUAUGCAAUGGUGCUUUCUAGUCAUGCAACAGAGAAAAAGUUAAUUAGUACCCAACUUAGCAUGUAAGAAAAAUUUUAACUCGAAAAUGCCAAUUUACUAUUGUAAUUGAAGCACGUGCUGUACUAGAGCAUUAGAGCAUAUUUUGUCUAAAUGACUGCAUAACACGAUGCUAUGAAAUACUAACAUAUGUAAUUUGUGAGUAAAAUAAAUAGAAAUUUCAAGAAAAGAAAUUAGGCCACCUAGUACUGCCUUUUAAAUUUAGAUCAUAUGGGAGUUCUACAUGCAUGGUCUUUCCAAGCUUUAGUUGAAAGGAGGUUACCAUUACCACCAUUAUAUGUGACAGACACUAUUUUUCAGAUGAAAAUUUACUAGAAAAAUAAACAAAUUAGCCACUUGUCAAGACCCCUCAGUGCAAUAUCAUUCUAAUCAUAGGUUAUUGUACAAAGCGCUAAUUUUCACUAUUUGGGUAGGGAAUCCUGCUUUUCCAGUCCAUUUUGUCAAAAAGAUUGGAGACUGCAAACGACAGAUGUUGUUGCUCGAUAUAUGUGUUUGAAAAAGGGGUUCAUUUUAGGUGUUAUUAUCUUUAUGCCUUGAUCAAUGUGUAUAAAUGUUGAUGUUGAAGUCAAUUUGGUAAAAACAGUUAGAUCCACCUUGUGUUUGCUAGUAAAAUUCAGGCAGACCAUGGCCCACCACCAUUUGUCUCUUCUCAAGGAUCUAUACAUCCCAUAUAAUUGUCCUUGAUACAUUGCAUCAUUUUGCCGUUUCUGUGCUCUCUAUUUGUUACCACCAUGCUGCUAGUAAAUUGCCCUUUAACAUUUGUUCAUUUAUUUCACAUAUUUUUUAUGUUCCAAGUUUCAUAGGCAUAUAGGUUUUUACUUGUUAGAUGUUUACUUGAGCAAUACUAGCAACGUGAAACACAAUUCCCCUUUCAGAUGCCUCAUGUUGAGUUAUUUGUGGUCCACCUGAUUUGAGCAACUUCAUUCCCAUCUGAUCCAUUGUCCCUUGAUUAUGGAUGAUUGGCACCUUUCUAUUUCUUCCUAAUUCCUUUCUUUCCUCAUUUGAAGUUGCUGAUUAUGUUACUGACAAUGGUGAUUUUUGUCAGCAGUACUUCAAGCAAAGGCGGUGAUGGUAGCAAUAGCCUGCCUGCAACCCAACAGACUGAUCCUGAACAUAAACUGGGCCUCAAUGAAAAUAAUUUAGAGUGCUUGCUCAAAGAUGACAAUCAUAAGGGCAGAGACAUUGGCAAUGGAUAUUUCAAGUGCUACAAGCGAAGGAGAAUACUAUCAGCCAGUGGGAGCUGACUUCAUUCCACGUGCACAGACUAACACAACUAAUUGAAUCUAAAUGCAACUAGUUCCCCAGCGACAUGAAAAAUCAGUAAAUUUGGCUUUGUUCUGUGAGCCAGUCAUUUAGACUGUGUCCCAGGACUUCAAAAAUUUUGACUCAGAAAUCUAUAGAUUGCCUUUUUGUAAAGGAUGGAGUGAGUCACAGGGGCUUGAAUUGUGCUCACUUUUAUUUUAUGUAUAGGUCGGAGAAUAGUUUCAUGCAUAGCUCAUUUUGAGUACUUGUUUCACAGACGAACUUGGAGUAAAACCAAUACUGGGUAUAUUUACAGUAAGAAUGAUGUCCUUCUGUGUUGUCUUACUGAGAAUCAUCCCUCUGUAUGAUAUGUCAUACCAAUUGUGUUCCAACUGGUGACAGCAACCCAGUAUCUUUUUCAUGCUCUUCUUGUGGCCUCAUUUUGAGGACCCGUCUCUUGACACAUUGAAUUGAAUACUUCAAUGCAUGGUAUUCAAUAAUUCACCUGAUCAAACCGUUCAUUUAUUCAUCUUUUUGGUAGGUUGAUCAAGUUGUUCUUUUAUAUGCUCCAAUAAUUCUGCUGUGGACACCAGUGACCUGGAAUCAUUAUUUCUAUUGCCUGGAAAAUUGACUUCUUAGCAUACUUUCCACUAAGACUAUUAACAUCAUUCUUGUAUCUUCUUAUCUUUCUUUUUUCUUUGGUGGUUGGGGAAGGUGGUGUAGUUCCAUUAAUUAAUGGAGGUUUCCUUUGAUCUUAGCUUUUGGGACACAUACAAACACAUUCCCUUCAUAAGAACAAGAGGAGUCAAGGGUGGUGCCCACUUCAUAAUAACUACGAGGGUCAUGUCUUUAGUUAAUAAAGAUAAUGCUAGGAUUAAGGAGACUUUUCAAUGUCACUUUUGAAACUCUGAUUGGCUCCUAUUCUUUUCAUGACAGCCCAUUUCUUUCUUCUUGUUUGUCUCUAUAAUCAUAUACUGCUUCAUUAAUAAUCGAUUUCAAAUCUGGGUCAAUCUAAUGAGCACUACUUUAAGGGCUUUUUCAACUAGCAGAAAGAUCAUCUUACGUAUAUUUUUCCAAAAGGGGGAAGACCCAAAAAUUAAAAAGGGAAAGAAAGAGGGAAAAGAUAGGGGGUGCUGUAUGACAAUAAAUUGAGGGAUGAUGAAAGGUGGUGGAAUCACUAAAAUUGAUUCAAAAGAAAAGCUUUUACCCUUCUUAAAGCUUCUGAUUUUAAACCCCUUGGUAAAAAUCAACAAAAUGGCUUACAAAAAAAAACACUGAAAAAAAAUGUGAUUGUAAAACAUGUAAGCAUCUGCUACAUCAUUGUCUUGUCCUCGUGAAAUUUACGAAAAAGCGUUACUCACAUGGUAGCACUAGAGUCAAACAUACGUCAAGCUUUCCCUUCUAUCAAUGCCUUGCAGGUGUCAUUUUCCUCAAUCACGGAACUCAGUCUUUAGACUUCUCUCCAUUGAAAUUAUGGGGUGCAAGAACAACAUUAGCAUUAUGGUUCUGUGCUGACUACUCUUCUCAACUUGAUGCUUUUUCUGAGAAUUGUGUCAGUAAAAAUGUAUGUGUCCUUUCUCCUUUGUAGAGGGUAUGAUAUGCCUAAUACAAGGACAUUUUUCACAUUUAGUUAAGUCCCUAGAAGUAGAAUACAAGUUAUUCUUUGUGUCCCUCCUCCUCCCUAAAAAGUUUAGGUUUUGAUUCCUAAGACAAUUUAACAAAAACAGAUCACUUUUUUUUUGUGGGAAAAGUACUAAAGUAGGUAUCCUAGACUUCUCGUGCCUUCAAAUCCAUGCUCAUUUCUUCAAAUUCUAUAAAUUUUCCAUCUCCUCUAACAGGCUGCAACCCUCAAAAGGACUUACUCUUCUAAAUAACCAUUGCUGAUAUGUUGAGAACUUUGUAAUCCACAAUCUUGAAGUCCAAGCCUGGGGCAACUAUUAAUUGAACCUUAUUUAUUUUUAGGGGAACACACCUAGAAGACAAUAAUUGUAUCUCAGCUACUGAAAGAAAUUCUCUUGCCCAGCUUUGAUGUGACCAAAACUUAUUAGAUCAUCUGUAAUACAGUUAUCUUUAAUGCAGAUACAGCUAGCAUUGUUGGGGGGGGGGGGGGGGGGGGGGGGGGGGGGCCCCCAAAAAGGGAAACCCCCCCCAAAAAUUUUGAACCCCCCGAAAAAAAAAACCCCCAAACCCAAAAAGGGGUUUUUUUUAACCCCCAAAAAAUUUUUGGGGGGGGGGAAACCCCUUUUUUUCCCCCCCGGGGGGGGAAAUUUGGGAAAAAAAAAUUUUUUUUAAAAGGGGGGGGGGGAAAAAAAAAAAAAUUUUUUUUUUUUUUUUUUGGAAAGGGGGGGAAAUUUUUUUUGGGGGAAAAAAAAAAAUUUUUUUUUUCCUUUUUUUUUUUUUUGAAAAAAAAAAAAAAAAAUGGGGGGGCCCCCCCAAAACCGGGGGGGGCCCCCGACCCCCCCCCCCGGGGGGGGGGGGGGGGGGAAAAACCCCCCCCCCCCUUGCCCCCCCCCCCCAAAAAAAACCCUGAAAAAAAAGGGUGGAAAAAAACUGGGGCCCCCCCCAAAAACGGGGGCCCCCCCAAAAAGUUUCCCCCCCCCNNNNNNNNNNNNNNNNNNNNNNNNNNNNNNNNNNNNNNNNNNNNNNNNNNNNNNNNNNNNNNNNNNNNNNNNNNNNNNNNNNNNNNNNNNNNNNNNNNNNGGGGGGGGGGGGGGGGGGGGGGUGCUCAGUAAAAGGUAAACCCACUCAUAAAGUUUGAUACACUCUGAAAAUCAUAGCUACAUAACUCAAUAUGCAGUUCUUUUAAUCCCAUGAAAUCAUUCUGGGAUGCAUGAAUCUCUGAUUGUACUACUGCUGUGGAGGAGAUUGAGGAGAGAAUGAUGUUCUAUGAAUGUGGGUGAAGGAAAGCAAAGAACAUUUGAUAUUCAUUUUGAUGGAAAGGGGGCAGAGUUGCUUUUGGGCAUACAGCAAGUAUUCUUUUGUUCCUUUUCUUUUGUAUUGAAAAUGAGAAUCAAAAUUGGAGGCGCCUGCCAAAACCAGGAGUGGCCACAUGACCACACCCCAAGUGGAGUGUACUGGGGCUAAAAACCUCACCCACCUUGUCUCCUCUCCCUAAAAUAAAGCUCUGAUAGCAAUGGCUCAGUACAAUCCUGGCCCCAUCCCAACAACUGGCGCCUCCUCUAUAUGUUUCCCUCCUUCCUAUUUUAUACUUUUGCUUUUGCUUUCUUUCCCACCUUUUUCAAAGCAAAUCUUUCAUGUCCAUGAUACUAUUCAAUAUAUAUAUUGUACUGUCAUCCCAAAGUGCCCAAAUCACCUAUUUGAGGGGAAAACCCAUAUGCUAACUAUAAAAUAAAUAAAUAAAAUUAUUUGGGCUGUCAACUCAGUGCCCAAAUCACCUAUUUGAGGGGAAAAAAAACCAUAUGCUAGCUAUUAAGUAAAUAAAAAAAAUUAUUUGGACCGUCAUCUCAAGUGCCCAAAUCACUAUUUGAGGGGAAAAAACCAUAUGCUAACAAGGGAGUACUUAAUGCUUGGGAAACUACUAAGUCAAAUCUGUCAAAUUACUUCUUUGACAGAUAUAAAUUAUACACAUAAGGGAGAAAUUGAAUAUGGGUUAAAACCCUUGGAAAAAAAAAGAAGAAUGACUGGUAUUGUCCAGUUGCUUCUUUUGACAAAUAGAUAUUGGUAAGCUGGAGGUGAGACAUUAGAGGGAAACAAAAGGAACAUAUAUGGGAGGGGGGUGUUGUCCAGUUGCUUCUUUUGACAAAUAGAUAUUGGUAAGAUGGAGGUGAGAGAUUAGUGAAACAAAAGAAACAUAUAUGGGUGGAUUGGCGUGGGGGGAGGGAUGUAAGGACAAAAAACCAUUUCAGACAGCCAUGACCUCAAUGCCCAAUAAGAAAAAACUGGAUUCAAAGGUCCAAAGUAGCUUCACAAGCCACCGUCAACCAAUCUAUGAUAAUAACUCACGUGAACCAGCAUAGCUACCUUCACAUGCACACAACACAACAAAAAAACCCCUCUUUUAUAUGCACUAUGCAGGCCUCCAUUAACUCUUCCUCUCUCUUUUAGCUUUACUUUCCUUUCUUUUUCUUUUUCUUUUUCUUUUUCUUCUUCUUCCUAGAGCUGUGAAAUGGAUUUUCCUUCUGCUCCAUCUUCUUUCUAUGCUUUUGGGUCUUGUUUCACAUUCUUAGUUCUAGUUCUGGUUCAGCCACACAUAGCUUCAUCAGCUCUGCUACUGGGGUUGAAGAACCACAAUAACCACCACCAUAACAGGAGGCCAUUUCUUCAGGCUAACCAAAGCACAUGUGCUCUGUUUAUGGGCACCUGGGUUCGUGACGAUGCAUAUCCCUUGUACCAGUUCUCUGAUUGCCCCUUCAUUGAUGCUGAAUUCAACUGCCAAAUGUACGGUCGACCCGACACUGAUUACCUCAAAUAUCGUUGGAAACCCACCAAUUGCGAGCUUCCAAGGUGCUUGAUUUUCUUCUCUUCUUUCACCAUUGCUUCAGUUCGCUUGCCCAUUCUCAUGACCUAUGGUUUUUGCGCUUGCAUUGUAGGUUCAAUGGACUCGAGUUUCUGCUGAGAAUGAAAGGCAAGACUGUGAUGUUUGUAGGUGAUUCUCUGGGGAGAAACCAAUGGGAAUCGUUGGUUUGCAUGAUUUCGACUGCAGUGCCACGAUCACCAACCCAGAUUAUCAGAGGAGACCCCCUCUCAACCUUGAAGUUCUUGGUGGGCAUUGGAUCUUAAUCACCCUGUUAUUCAAUAGUUCAUUUCAUUCUUUUUCCAAUUCGAACAUACCCUAAUUGGAAUUGUUUUGGGAAAUGCAGGAGUAUGGUGUGGCUGUCUCAUUUUACAGAGCACCAUAUCUGGUGGACAUAGAGGCAGUUCAGGGGAAGAGAGUCCUAAGGCUGGGUGACAUCUCUGGAAAUGGUAACGCAUGGACAGGGGUCGAUGUACUGUCAUUUAACACAGGUCACUGGUGGAGUCACAAGGGAUCCCUCCAAGGGUUAGUCCCGAUUUUACCAAAAUUACAUGACAUAUCAGUAUAAAAGAAGUCGACUUCAUUCUAAUCGAGUCAUUUAAUUUUGAUGGGAAAUGGGUGAUUUCAUAUUGUGUGAAUUUGCAGGUGGGAUUACAUAGAAAUGGAUGGGACAUUGUAUCAAGAUAUGGAUCGUUUGGUUGCUUUUGAGAAAGGAUUGAGAACGUGGGCGAGAUGGGUUGAUACCAAUGUUGACAGAACCAGAACCAGAGUUUUCUUUCAGUCCACUUCUCCCACCCAUUACAAGUAAGUUCCUCUCUCAAUCAUGUGUUAUGCUAGAUUUUCUUCCAGGCUUUUAUUAGUAGGAGAAGAAUUUGAAAAACUUUAUCGUUUUUUAGAACUGAACACUUUGCCUCCUUGAUCUUGUGCCUUUUGUGCCUUUUACUGAUGGUAGGGCAUCAACCCAUAAUUCCAUUGAAAAAACUAUUGGCACCCACCAAAUGAUGAAUGUCUUAAGCACAUUAGGUCGAUCCCAUUAGAUUCCCCGAAAAUUAGGUUAUCCCAGUCGGUACAAAUUGAAUAGAAGCCUCAGAAUUCCUUCACCAUUCCUCUGAUAUGGUAGAAGAGCAACGAGUACUGUCUGAUUUUAGGCUGUGUCCUAAUAAAUAUAUAGCUCUUGAUCAUGGACCCUAGUUCAUAAAAUCAAGAAUCAUAUUACCCAGCUGAGAAAAACUGUGAUUUUUCUUGGGGGUCACCUAACUUGUGGCAGAAAAUGCUUGGACUGCCCACUUGCAGGUACCAUUAUUUAGAGGAUACUAUUACUUUCUCCCUUUAUGAUUCGCUACGUGGUCUCCAUGCCCUGCACUGUAAAGGCAGUAGGACUUCUGUUUAUAUAUUUUUCAACCCAGUAGGCACCAGACUGCUUGUCUGCUUGUUUUCUUUUGUCCUUGUUGUACUAUGGUAAUUAAAUGCUCUCAAAUAACAAACUUUUUCCAAUUCACCAUUUCCCAUAUCCCGAAACUUCACCAAUGGAGAUAAGGUUGUUUGUAGCCCUUCUUUCUUUGGUUUAUGAUGAAAGCAACUAGUAAAAAAAUAAGGCCCUGAUGUUGAUUUCUAGAACUCAUUAAUGAGGGCCCAAGGUUGAUUUCCAUGGAUUGUAUGGGGUUGAAUGAAUCAACUCCUCAAACUUCCUUGUCUCCAUACAAUUGCAGAGCAUGUUGUCCUCUCAGGCACAUGUGCAGUAACUUUAUUUCACAUUUAAUCUUGUAAAUGCUAGAAAAGGUAAAGGUUAGUCCAGUUGAUGGAGGAGCAUCCAGUGAUGAUGUUUUUUGUCAUUUUCCAAUCACUCUUUCUGUCGGUGGCAUCGCAAAAAAGAGACAAAACAAUACUCGGUUUAUUAAGAUUAUAAAAACCUACCUUGGGAGUUUCAAAAUAGUAUCAUAAUUAUGCUAAUCAUAGUUGACAUUGCUAACCCAAACCAAGUGGAAGCACUAGUCCCUUUUGAUUCCUCAUUAACUGUGAUUCAAUUGUUGAAAAGCUCCUAAGAACCAUAGCAUUUUGUCUUUAAAAAGUCUUGUAACUUAUCCACUUGAAUGGUCUCUUUGAACAAAGCUGAGAUCAUUCUGAUCUUGUAUCAAACUUGAAGUGAUGUAGAGAAUAAAUUUUGAAUGGGGACUGAAUGAUGUGGGUGAAUGAAAUUGGCAGCCCAUCUGAAUGGAGUGCUGGGGCAGUGACAACAACAAAGAACUGCUACGGUGAGACUGCGCCAAUGAGUGGAAUGACUUAUCCAGGAGCAUACCCAGAUCAAAUGAGGGUGGUGGAGGAAGUAAUGAGCCAAAUGAGUGGCCCUGUAUAUUUGCUGGACAUAACAUUGUUGUCUGAGAUGAGGAAAGAUGGGCAUCCCUCAAUCUACAGUGGGGAUCUGAGCCCUGCGCAGCGAGCUAACCCUGAUCGGUCUGCCGACUGUAGCCAUUGGUGCCUUCCUGGAUUGCCUGAUACUUGGAACCAACUAUUCUACACUGCUUUGUUCUUCUAAUCUGCUAGUGUUUGUCAUUUCUUCUUUAUAUAUAGUCACACAUCCCAUGAGAGGGUGCCAAACUGCACCUCUCUCUCAUGUAAAUUAGUCCAUUGGAGAUGUGUAUUGUUUCUGAAAAAUAUAGUUAGUUUCCUCUUCUAGGUGUUCUUAUCAUCAAACAUGUAAGCUUCUCGCUUAGUUGGUAACAGAUGCAUUUGGGAAAUCUUAGCUCUUCUUGAAAUCAAAGAAGAAGAAUGGAACUCUGUAAUUUGUUCUGAAUUAACUUUCAUUGGCUUCAUUCUAAGCAAAUGAGACUCCAUAUUUGAGAUUUCCUUGGACAAUCUUCUCCCAUGGGGUACCCUGAUGAAUGAAGUAGUCAACAGAAGAGGCUUGGGGAUAGGAAACAGGGCUCCCCAUUUUCAGGGUGACUCUUUUCGAGUACAGAGCUGAGACAACCCUGUCAAUAGGUCAGCCUGGAUUCAUUCUGAGACUAGCCCGGGUUUAUAGGAGUAUUUUCAGUGGAAGUAUUGCAUGCCUUGACUUGCUUAUUGACUCAUUAUCCCUCAAUUUAAGCUGAAACACAUUUUAGUUUUCCUAUAGACACUGAUAACAUGAAGUAUACCAUUUUGAGUGAAUUGUGUAACAGAGGGAAGCUUCACAAACUAGUGUUUAAACCACCACAAGAUACUGAAAACACACUUCAAAACCAUGUACAACAACAGAGAAGGAAAGCUUACAACCUUGUACUUAAACUAGAAAAUACUGUCUGAUACCAAAGAUUUCAUGGACUACCAUAUAGAAUGCCUUCCCACUUCUACGAUUGCGCCUAAAGUUUAUAAGUAUAUUAUACCCUGGAAUCCAUGCAUUGAAUUGUCCUUCCAAGGGUGAGUCAGGGUGCGGUUACUUCCAUAAUCCGCGGCAUAUUAUCAAUGAUCUUUGUUGGCACAUUUGCAGCACUGACUGUGGUUAACUUCUGGUCAUAAGCUGAAAGAUGGACUCCUAAUGCCGCCCUGCCAGAAGGAUCAAGGUUAUUUGACCACGCAGAAUCCCAUUCAACUGCUUUGGCAGUGCUGCAUGCAACGCUUGCUCCUCCCGGAACAGUCAGCCUAGCUGAGUUCUGUAGAACAGAAAUUGACAAUGAAUAAGCAUGAUGAAGUUAGUUUUAUAUGUCACGUAUGUGACUAGUGUUGUAUUACAGGAUUAGGUCAGAUUCGAUCAGAUCACCUGUGGGAAGAACCUCUCAAAGAUCAUUCGGUAAUAGUAGGCUUCUUUUGUGGUAGGGGUAUUGUGUGGGAAGAUAUGUGAAGCAUUGAGCAUCAUUUUAUCGGUCACCUGAAGGUAGGAGUUACAUGUUAAUCAUGAGUUAGACCAAUCAAAUAUCCUUGGAAAAAGUAAAAAUCCAGAUGAACAUCAGAUAGAUAUUUACAUGUUGUGACGCAUGGGCUUUGAGCCCAUCAAUCCAACUGUAGCCGACACCAUCACUGAAUUGCUCUUUUUGCCUGUAGAGAAUAUGCUGCAGGGAAUCAAAUCAUUGACUGAGCUCGUUAGUUUCAUUUGUUAAUCUGAUCAAUGGGCACGAAACAGUAAAAGAACACUGGAAAUUAUGAUGUUACACCUUUGGCAGAUAGGGUUGUUCCUCAUCAUCAAAAGCCCUCCUCAGAACCCAUUUCUCAAUUCGCCCUUGUUCUGGCUUUAUCUGAAACAGAUUUGAAGCUGUUAUCAGAGAAUCUACUUGAUAAACUUAGAAUUUUUUGCAACCCACAUUAAAAUAAGCAAUCUAAUUGAUAAUUGAAUUUUUUUUUUAAUACCAUCUUCCACUCAGGGUCAAUAUCCAUUGCAACUUUAAUGAAUUCCUUGUCUAAAAAGGGGACCCGGGCUUCCAAACCCCAUGCAGAUGUUGAUUUAUUAGCUCUCAAGCAAUCAUACUGGUAGAGUGCCUUUAUCUGCAUACAAACAAGGCCAUGGAAGACUUUACUUCAAUCACUUUGGAUUGAAGGAUGCAGAUAUAAAACCAGACGCCUUGCAUAAAAUCUGUUACCUUGCGACAUGUUUCCCUAUGGAACUCUUCCUUGUUGGGCGCCUUGUGAAAGUAUAAGUACCCACCAAAAAUCUCAUCAGAGCCCUCUCCGGAUAUCACCAUCUUCACUCCUA